GUGAUGAGGAAGGCCCACCAGUACGUGAUGGAGAAUAAACUGUCACCCAAGUGGACUGGACCGUUCAGAAUAACCGAGGCGCUCGGGAACGGAGCCUACCGCUUAGAGACGCUGGAAGGAGGGGUGAUUCCUCGCACCUGGAACGCCACACACCUGAAGUUGUACUAUAGUUAAAAAGCUUUGUAAGUAAAGACAAACACAAAUGUUAUAUUACAAUGUCUCUGAUGAAACAGUUUCAAGGGGGCACUCUUUUUUCCCUAAGGAGGGUUUUUAAUGAGGCCACCCAAUGAAAGAAGAGUUUUCAAAGUAUAAGGCGUUUUCUGGUUGCAUGUUUGCUGUUUUCCAAAAGUUUUGAAGAAAGACCUUGUCACUUGUAAGUGAUUUAAGGCAAGAAAAGAUAUAUCGCGUGCUUUCCAGUUAAAGUUUUUAAGUCCUCAUCGUUUUUCGGCGAUUAGAGGCAUCAGUUAAAGUUUUUAAAGCCCUCAUCGUUUUUCGGCGAUUGGAGGCACCAGUAAAAGUUUUUAAAGUCCUCAUCGUUUUUCGGCGAUUGGAGGCACCAGUUAAGUUUUAAAGUCCUCAUCGUCUUUCGGCGAUCGGAGGCUCCAGAUGAAAGACCUCAACGCCCUCGCGCGUCCUGAGGCAAGGAAAAGACCUCCUCGCCGUUGAGCGAGUGCAGGCGAGGAAGAGUAAAAAGUCCUCCAUGUUUCUGGGGGCGAGAAGAUGUAACCCCUGGGGCAAUGUAGAGGCAAGUAAAAGACCUCCUCGCCGUUGAGCGAGUGCAGGCGAGAAAGAGUAAAAGUCCUCCGUGUUCUGGGGGCGAGAAGGAUGUAACCCCUGGGGUCAACGUGUAGAGGCAAGGAUAAACGACCUACCUUGCCGUCUGGGGGCGAGAAGAUGUAANNNNNNNNNNNNNNNNNNNNNNNNNNNNNNNNNNNNNNNNNNNNNNNNNNNNNNNNNNNNNNNNNNNNNNNNNNNNNNNNNNNNNNNNNNNNNNNNNNNNCCUGGGGCAAUGUAGAGGCACCAGUAAAAAGUCCUCCUUGUUUCUGAGGGCGAGAAGAUGUAACCCCUGGGGCAAUGUAGAGGCACCAGUAAAAAGUCCUCCUUGUUUCUGGGGGCGAGAAGAUGUAACCCCUGGGGCAAUGUAGAGGCGCCAGUAAAAGUCCUCCGUGUUUCUGGGGGCGAGAAGAUGUAACCCCUGGGGCAAUGUAGAGGCGAGUCUAAAGACCUUCUCGCCGAUGAGCGAGUUCAGGCGAGUUAAAGACCUUCUCGCCGAUGAGCGAGUUCAGGCGAGUUAAAGACCUUCUCGCCGAUGAGCGAGUUCAGGCGAGUUCAAAGACCUUCUCGCCUACAUGCGAGCUUAGGCAAGAUAAAAUCCUUCUCGUCUCGAACGAGUUCAGGUACGGUGCAGAGGGUGGAAGAAGUUUGGAAGGUGGCUAAGGUAGGUUCGAAGAGAACGCCUAGUCACCCGGUCUUUUGUUCUGAAGUUCAAGGAAGAAAAGAAGGAUCCCAAAAGGCGUUUCUGCCCCCAUGCAAAGAAACAGUUGCCAAAGCAUGAGGCUAGGAAAAGCUGAUGUUACUAAGAGUUCUUGGCGAUCGGGAAGAGUUCAAACAGCGGCGAGAAGGUUGAAAGACCUGUUUGAUAAGGCAGGUCGAGUGGGACAGUGUUUUGAGCCAAUAACUGAGUUACAGUUCGUUGCUUGAAGGGUAUUCUUGCGAUAAGGUUAGUUGCCUUAAGAGUACAAGUUGGUUAAAGUGAUUAUUACUUGAGUUUGAAGUGGUUCGAAGCAGUUAAGUCAAAGGUCGUGUUUGCAAAAUCAUUAAGUUAAAUCCGACAAAGUUAAACAUGCAAAGAAGGUUAAAGCGCUUAAAGAAGUCAGGAGAGGGAAUAUCCAAACUUUGUCAUUAAGAUAAGUAUCUGUUAAAAGCACAUACGCACGAGUUUAUUACAAGGUAUAUACAAGGGAAAUCAUAAAAGUAGCAGAUGAAGAGGAGUUCAUUAGUCUUCAGCAGGAACGACUUUUCCAUCUACUACUUCGUUGUUCAGCGACACCAGGCUGAGAUCCAGGUCGGGGAAUAGGCAAGCGAAUUGUUCCCGAGCAGCUUCGAAUCCAGCAGCCAGAAUCUGAGCAGAGUUUAGCUUGAGUUCUUCGAUUUGCCCCUGAAGUUCCUCAAUCCGCUUCUUGAGGUCUUCAGUUUGCUCUUUCAGCUCUUUAUUCUGCUGCUCCAGCUCUUCAACCUGUUUUUUAAGUUGCUCGUUGGUCUCUUGAGCCUGGAGAAGGUCUUCAGUAACCUUCUUGGAUUCCGAUUGUGCUUGGGCCAACUCAGCAGCCACCUUUCCCUUCUCUUUAUUGGCCUCGACGAGAUCAGCCAUGGCGUCAUCCCUCGCCUUUUCUACUUGGCCAAGUAGUUUCUCUCGGUCGAUCGACCUCUGCUCCAGUUUUUGCACCUUAGCGGCGUCAGCUUUCAUGAGAGCCUCCAGGUCCACCGCCUUGGCGCGGAGAGGCACAUUUUGCUUUCCAGCUCGACCUUCUCUUGGGCAAGUUCGUGAAGUUUGCGGCGAAGGUCAGUAGCCUCCUUGCGCGCCAGCCUGAGCUCGGUAUUCAUUGCAUCCUCCACUCGGGAGUGUUCGAUUUCUGCGAGCGUCAGGCUGAAAGACAACUUCUCCACCUCGAUCCUGAUGGUGCUGUUUUCGGUUUUGAGGUUGAAGAGGUCGUCUUGGAGCCUCCUGGUUGAGCCUUCCACAGCCCUGGUUAUGAUCGCUGGGAUAUCCUCUGCUAUGGUUUUCAGCUUGGCGGUUAGAGGCUCCCACAUCCUUGUGACCUCAAGGGGAAGGUUUGCUGCUUGGAGAGGCGCCAGGUGGGCUUGUUGUGGGUUCUCGUCGCCACCUUCCUUAGAAGGUUCUUCAGUUGCUGCUUCCUGGCGUGGCAACGCAAUCGGGGAUUCGGUAAUCAGAAUCGGAGAGGUAUGAGCAACCUCAUCCCCGAUUGGAGCAUUUUCUGCAGCUGAAGCGUUUGAAGGGGGGCCCCCUCCAGCUGACACAUAGGGCGUAGAGGCGCUUGGGGGGUCCUCCAGGAAAUUUGGCUCUUGGGCCUCAGCUGCAGGUGGCGCAGUGGCCAGUGGAACCGCUUGGACUGGUGAGGAAGGAGCCUGUGGUGUUGGCGAUGAUGGAGGAGGAGCAGGCGUCGAUGGUGGUGUUGAGGUUGGAAGAGGGGGUGGAGCAGGUGGUGAAGAAGGUGCCACCCUCUUCCUCUUCGUAACGAGGCCAUCCUCGGUGACCUCGUCGUCCUCUUCUUCCUCCUCAUGGACGACUUGAGGGGCUUUCCUUUUAGGUCUCUUAAGGACCGAUUUUUUGCGUUGGGCGGGUUUCUUGGGUGGUGAUCGCCCUUGGACAAUGGCGGCCUCCACCACCGAGUUGGGCACCGUUUGGGAACCGGUCGCCAACCCGUGGUUUCGGGCGAGCGCCUUUAGCUCAGCGAGCAUGUUUCUGGGCAACAUGUCGUCUGCAUGGAACGAAGAUGCAUGGGUUAACUCAAGAAAAACAAAUAAGUGCAUAAGGUAAUAAACAGCAAAGCAGAAGGUAUGCGCAAAGGUAAAGCCAAAGUCUUGCGCAUAACGCACAAGACGCCCAGAAACAGCUAAACAAGAAGCGGUAUCAAAACAAGAGUUUAAUGUCCUAACCUAUUCGAAUUUCUAGCUGAUCUUCGUAGAAUUCGAAGCAUAUCAAGGUGGUGGUAAGGAAUGUUAUAUUGGCGUCCGCCACCUUCUUCCAGAAGAGACAGAGGUCUCUGUCCAAUGCUCCCAUGCUGUCAGGACUUCUGGGCCUCCUGAAACAGCUCUUGGACUCUUUCUUCCCCUUGUCCACCUAGUACAAGGGGAAGCCAUCGAGAAGGGAGGUGUCCUUGUCGUUCGCACGUACUUGGACGAACUUCCCCUUCCAGUCUUUGUACGAUUGCUGGAAGAUGGUAAAGAUGGACCUCCCAGCAAUCGCGUUCAAGCUGAUCCACAGGCGGUCUCCUGGGUGCUUGGCUUCGAAAAGGAAUAAGAACACGUCCACCGACGCGGGCAACCCCAGGUGGGCGCACAUUACUUGAAAAGCUCGAACAAAUGCCCAGCUGUUGGGGUGGAGCUGGGCGGCAGCAAUGUUGAGCUCGGUAAGAAGUUCCCUUUCGAAUCGGGUGAAAGGGAACCUGAGCCUGACCUUCUUGAACAAAGUCGUGUAGACAAAGCAGAAGGGCCCGUCGGCGCUUACUUUGUCAUCAGCACACACGGGCAGAUCGGGGGGGCAAGGCAGCACCAUCAUCUUCUCGUCGUGCUCCNNNNNNNNNNNNNNNNNNNNNNNNNNNNNNNNNNNNNNNNNNNNNNNNNNNNNNNNNNNNNNNNNNNNNNNNNNNNNNNNNNNNNNNNNNNNNNNNNNNNACGAUUGAUGGAUCUCGUCCCCCUUAGUCAGCCGCAAGACUGCUCCCGCAGUGUUCACAGAGGAUGUCUCUUUCAGAAGGGUUGAGUUGGCCCAGGGAUAUAAAGUUUUGAAGUCUGGCAGGGGAACGGGGGCUCCUCCAGCGUUAGGUGGAGUCGCCUGGGCCAGGACAGGUUGGGAAGACGCAGGCCUCUCAGCCUGCGAAGAUGAAGCGCCACGAACUUGUGUUGGGUCGUGUGCUUGUGAAGGAAGGUUUCGUGCUGAAGGAGGUGGGUUCGGGGUAAUCUUUGUGCGAGUCAUGAUAGCAGCUGCAAAGGAAGAAGAAAGGAAAAAUGAUCAGGGGGUUACAGAGGCUGACUCGAUCAUAGAAGGAAGGUGAAAAACGAACGAAUGUAGGCUCGUUGCGACGAUUGACGAAGCCCUAAGUUACGCAGAAGGAUAAAUGGAAAAACAACCCACAGCGUAUGCACCAGGCAGUUACAGGAUGAUGCGAAUCGGUUAAAAUGCAAGGAAAGCCAGCAGAUGAAGGAAAGUAGGUACCUUUUGAUGAUCAGGAAGACGAUGGAGGAAGAUGGUGAUCUGGAGCGUUGGAGAGCAUUGAGAGUUUUCGCAGAAAGAAGUUAGAGCGUUUGCAGGCACGAAGAAAGUGAUGGAACAGUGGAGCGAAAUGGGUUUAAGGGUUUUUCGAAAUGGGUUUAGGAAGCGCAAACGGCAAAUGAAGAGAGCCGUUGAUGAAGCCACGUGUCGAGCGGUGAGUGAGGGGUUUGGUGGAGCGUCAGAGCAGCAGAAGGUACAACCGCUCGGAAUUCUGCGUCAGUGCCACGUAGAUCGGUGUUGACGUAGGCUCUUUCAUUUUUUUUCGCUAGACAAGUCUUCGCUUAAGACUGGGGGGCUUGUGUACCGCCCUGGUGGUCAGGUGUGAUGACGUGGCAUCCUGCUACAGCAUAGGCGUGUUGGCAAGGCGCCAGGUUGGCAGAAGGGAAAGAAGUCGGGGGGCUCGUGUAGUCGCCAGUUGUCGAGUUGGCGUGUUCCGACCUCCAGUUUAUCAGAAUAGGCGAUCGCCAGAUGUACAUUCAGGCGACUUAGUCAUUGGAGAUCGCCAGAGCAAGCACAUCGCCGAAGAUGAAGGAGAAGCAGAUUAUGAAGGCGGCCGGCGAGACCACAGGGAAGGUGUAUGAAGACCCCUAACUCGCCAGUUCCAGUAGAGAUCGCACUCCCAAGUUAGCUAUGCACUGGGCAGUACCAUGCAUAGGUAACUUAGCCAAAAUGAGAGUAGAAGCAGCGCCAAGUCAGGGAGCCUCCAGAUGAUGGCACGUGUACGGUUGGAUGCGAGCCACGUGUCCAAGUCUGUAACUGCCAGGAGAGAGAAAGCUACCAGGUAUAUAAGAGUUCUUAACAAACUUUCUGAGGUACGCACGUUCAGUUUAUACACUUUACGCUUGCGAGUGAUAGAGCUGACUGUGAGAGAGGAUUUGCACGGUUCUUGUUCUCUUAGUAUUUGGUGAUACCGUCACUGACUUGAGCGUUGGAGUGCGAUCGGCCGCAGCGGCGCCGUACUGUUUCUUUACAGGUUCUUGAGGUAGAUCCCGAAGAGGAACGGAGGUGAGAAGCGGUGCGCACGUCGAUCCUUCGACGAGGCAGUUUCCAGCGUUCCGGUCAACAGGCAGGAUCAAUGGCCAAAACCGAUUCCCUGUUGGUUACCGGGCAGGUGACGGGAGAGUUCCAGGCCAAAGACCCACAGAUGGUUGCAUACCUCGAGUAUGUGCACACCUUGAAGGGGUCCUUUGCAGCAUUUGAGCUGAUCCAUGUGGGGCCACGUCGGUGGUCGCGCCUUGGCGGGUAGAGUUCUCCGUGCAGGGUACUACUGGCCAACGCUGAGGGAAGAUUGUGUGGGUUAUGCUCAGCGAUGCAAGCAAUUCCAACAACAUGCAGAUUGGCACAAGGCGCCCCCCGAAGAACUGAGGUCGAUUCACAGCCCCUGGCCAUUUCACAUGUGGGGAAUCGACAUCUUGGGACCUUUCCCCCUGGCGAUCAGGCAGAUGAAGUUUCUGAUCGUCGCCAUCGAGUAUUUCACAAAGUGGGUGGAGGCAGAGCCGGUUGCGCAGAUCACCGCUCACAAGGUUCAACAGUUCGUGUGGAAAAAUGUCGUGUGCCGUUUCGGAGUGCCUAAGCGUCUGGUUUCCGACAAUGGCACCCAGUUUACGAGUCAUCAGCUGAGGAACCUAUGCGAGGAGGUGGGAAUACAGCAGGUGUUCGCCUCGGUAGAACACCCUCAAACGAACGGGCAGGUGGAAUCGGCCAACCGAGUGCUGCUCAGAGGGCUGAAGAGAAGGAUAGAAAAGGCCAAAGGAACAUGGGCGGAAGAAGUUCCCAGGAUCGUAUGGGCCUAUCACACCACUCCGCAAUCUAGCACCCAUGAGACACCUUUCAGCUUGGUCUAUGGGUCAGACGCUAUGAUUCCUGUGGAGAUACGAGAAAAUUCACCAAGAUUUCUGAAUUUUGUGGCCGAGAAGUCCAACGAGGAGAGAAAGGUGAACCUAGACCUUUUGGACGAGAUACGAGAAGAAGCCAGGGUCAGCGCUGAAGCUGUAAAGAGAAGGGUGGAGCGAAGGCACAACUCCAAGGUGAGGCAGAGGCAGUUCCAGGAGGGAAAUCUGGUGAUGAGGAAAGCGCAUCAGAACGAGAUAGAAAAUAAGUUGUCUCCCAAGUGGACCGGCCCGUUCAGAGUAGUGGAGGCGUUGGAGAACAGCGCUUAUCGGCUGGAGACCUUGGAUGGAGGGGCGAUCCCUCGGACAUGGAAUGCCACGCACUUAAAACUCUACUUUAGUUAAAAUAUUGUAGUGAAGCCGCGCUUUCGCGCCAGGGAAAACAAUGUGAACAUGUUCAAGGGGAAGCCCUUUUCCCAGGAAUAAAACGAGGUUAUCAGUAUAAGGUUUGCAAGUUUUUGAUUUUGAAAUCCUCCUCGCCCCAGGCGCGAGCGCAGGUGAUCGGUUAGGCCUCCCUCGCCCCAGGCGCGAGGGUAGGCAACCGGUUCAAGGUCCUCCUCACCCCAGGUGUGAGUGCAGGCAACUAAAGUUCGAAACGCCAGGGGCGCUAGUAAGCCCAAAGAAGGGAAAGGAAGGAUUCGAGAAACGCCUUUACCCAAGUGGCAUAGCGUCAAUAUUGGCUCGGUAGAACUCUUAGUCAAACCCCUUCUCACCCAAGAGGGUUUGUCGAGAAACACUCUUCCUCCCAAAGCAAGGUAUCAUCCUAGACCGACCGGUGUGGAAGUCCUCUAUGCAUUUAGCGCUGGAGCGACGAGAAAUCCAGAAAGGUAUAAGGAGGGAAAGGGGAGCAGGAUGACCGGUCCCUGGUCGGCUAUCAGCGAACGGAGCAUUGCUUAAGAAGUUUUAGAAGAAGUUCCUACACGAUAGACCUAAGCGGGCAAGCCCAAGCCAAGAACAGUCGUCGAGCGUUGUUAGAAGCGAUCAAAGACAGAAGUGGAAAGUAUGAGGGAAAUCGCGCUAAGUAAACAGCUAUAAACAUACAUAGCAAGAGACGAAAAAGAUACCCCGCAGAAGGAAGAAAGAAGGCAUUGAAUAUAUGCAGUAAAAAGUCCUUUACAUUAGAAAGUUUGAAGAAAAGAGAAAGUAAAACAGCAAGUGAUCAGGGACGAACGACCUUGCCGUCCACCACCUCAAAUUCUAUAGAUAGUUGGGAACGAUCGACCUCUGGGAAGGCACACUUGAGUUGCUCGAGAGCGAAGUCAAAACCCUCAGCGAAGGUGUCGGCCGCCUCUUCCCAUAGCUUGGCCUUCUCGGCCUCGAACCCAGCCUUGUCGGUCUCAAGCACAACCUUCUCGGUGGUCAGGGUGGCAAUGGCCGACUCGGCUUCUUUAAGCUUCUGAUCACUCGCGGCGAGAGCCUCCGCCAAAUUCGCAUUAUGUUGGCGCAUAUAGACGUUCUCAGCCUCAAGAAAGCAAUCCAAGCACAGAAAGGUAGUUAGCAAAUGCAUGCAUGAGGGGCAUGUUGGGAAAGAGCGAAGUUGCAUGGAAAAGAGGAGACAAACCGAUGUAUUUUUCGAGCUUUUCAGCAUCGAACUCGUGCUUAAUAAGGGUGGAAGAACUAAAUUUGGUGCCCCAAGCUUGAGAGGAGGCCGCACAGCUCGCGCUCGUAUGGGGCCAUGGUCUCCAAGCCUCGGGGUUUCCUAAACUCCACUUUUGGGACCCAUUAGAGAGGAAAGCCCUCGAGAAGGGCGGGGCUGGGUCUGUUGGAGGUGAUCAUGUAGAAUCUGCCUUUCCAAUCCUUGAAGGACUGCUGGUACAGACCCAAGAUCACCCUCCCUGUCACUCCAUUUAAGCUGACCCACGACCUAUCACCUGGGUUCUUAGCCUCGAAGAAGUAGAGGAAGACGUCGGUCGAUGGAGGGUGCCCAAAAUGGUUGCAUAAGAUUUCAAACGCCCGGAUGAAGCCCCAAGCAUUCGGAUGGAGUUGGCAAGGGGCGACAUUUAGCUCAGUAAGGAGUUCCUUCACGAAGAAGGUGAAGGGAAGGCGGAGGCGCAACCUCUUAAAGAUUGCUGAGUAGGUGAAAGUAAAGGGCACCCCGUUGGUGGCCCUGUCAUCUACGCAAAUGGGCAUGCCUUGGGAUGUGCACGCCCAGGUUUCGGUCGUCCUCCCUGUCGAUGGCGCAUGAAGGCUCAUCUGCAGCACCCUUCAGCAAGGUGGCGAGGUGAUCGGCUAGGAGUUGGUUGGAUGUUUCGGCGAGUAGGUGGAGGGGAGCCCACUUGUACGCUUGUGCGUAGCCUUGUGGAGGGAGCGUCGCCCUGGGUUGCGUACUCGCCGAGGGAGUUGUGCUCGUCGAGGGCGAUGAAGGUGAGGAAUCAAUAAAAAACUAGAAAAAGACGAAGGGAGCAAAUGCUAUGGUUCGAAGGGGUAGAGAAAUGACGGCGAUGAAGAGGAAGAAGAAGCGGAACAUAGAAAAACCAGAAGGGGUCUCGGUACAGUGCAGAAGAGGAAAAAGUGACCCAUGAUGCAUGCACGAUGCGGUUUUUGAGCAAUGCAAUCGGUAGAAAAUAUUCAAAUACGCCAUAGAUGAAGAAAGGGAGUACCUUUUUGUGAUCGCGAACGAUUUCUGGAAGCCUGGGAAUGGAGAAGAUGAAUCGCAGAAGGAGGGUUCGAGAUUUGCAGAGAAACAUGUUGGGGAAGAUAAUGAAACAGUAGAGGCGCGUAAGUUUUUGAAUAAGGGAACUGCAAACGAAGUUUCACGCUAGCCAUUGAUGCGCACACGUGUCGCAAGAUUAGGGAAGGAAAGCGUAACGUCACUUAAAGCACAACACGUGACGUGGCACGUGACGUGGCGUCACUUGCCACGUGGCCACCGAGAACAAGCACUUAGUCUCUUCGCUGAGAACAGGGGCGCAGCUCGAGACUGGGGGCUUGUGAUCCGGUCGGUCAUCGGUCUAGGGUGACUUCAGCGACUGAUGGCCACGUGGGCCGUUGUUAGUGGGCCAUGUGGGCCGGGGAAGCUGAUGUGCCUUGAAGAGGGUCACCUGGAGGGUGAUCGAUGAUCAGGCGGAGAUCGGUGAUCAGAGGGCGAUCGGUUGUCGUAUCACACGUAGUUAAGCUAGGAACGAGAAGGGAUUCCCGGCAAGAGCGUUGCAUACGAGUCUUGUGUGGUAGAGUAUCAGAGAUCAGAGAGGUUAGGCGCUUUGCAGUACCAUGCAUGAGAGUGGUCUAAGCGAGCUAGCAGUCGGUUGGUGAUUGGUGCUCUCUUAGCCCAUAACGUGCAUGGGGCAAAACAGGGGUGAUCGUUCACGCGUUAGGUGAUGCCUGGUAUGUGUGCUUGUCCAAGUCACACCUGGUACUCACGCUGAGGCUGCCCGAGACGCCCAAUGAAUGAAACACGCUAAGUUACUUCGUACACGAAUAACUUGGGCGCGCGGCAGGGUAUAUAAAGGCAUUCCACGCUCAUUACGAGGGUACGUUUUCAUACUGACAAGUGACUAGUUUUCGCACAGAGAGGAGAGAGAGAAUCACAGAGUGCACGAGUCUCGCUGAGAUUCAGAGUACACGAUUCUUUGGUGGUCUUGUUUGAUUGACUUGAGCGUCGGAGUGCAAUCGGCCGCUAGAGGCGUCGUUUGUAGUGUUUUCGCAGGUUCGCUCGGACUAAUUGGAACGUAUUUGCGGAAGACGGAGUUUGACGUGGCGAGACCUUCAACGAUCAAGUCACCUGCAAGAUCAGAAAUAGAUGGAAAAGAGAGAAGACUUAUGUGGUUGAAGAACUUGGUUGAUGAACACACCACUUGAAGUGUGAAUGCUCCAAGAUAAGUGUGAAAUGCCGCCACUUGAGGAACCAAGGCACUCAAGAUGAGACUAGGAAGAGGAGAAGGCAAUUCUCACUCACUCAAUCACCAAUUUGGGAGAGUUUCAUUACUUCAAAAAUCAAUUCUAUUAUUUGAAGGACCUAAGCUCUCCUUUUAUAGGAGCAAGGGCCGGUUAUGAGGCUACAAAGCUUGCACAACAAGCUAAUCAAAAGUCCCUUGCAUGCUACCCACUUCUAGCGCCUAUAGUGAGACAUGAAGGGUCAACUUCUAGAAAGUUCUAAACUAAUGUCUAAAGAUGCUUUACAAAAAGAGGUAUCUUUAGGUUUCCCUCUUAGCACCUACCUAAACACUAUUCUAUAUUAUUUACAAAUUUAUACAAAAGAAACUUGUACCGCCCUGGUAGUCGGGAGUGAUGACGUGGCAUCAGGCUAUUGUAUAGGCGUGUUGAGAGGACGCCAGGUUGGCAGAAGAGAAGGAGGUCUGGGGGCUCGUGUAGUACAUCGUGAAUAAGGCACCGCCCAGGGUGUCUUAUGAUUUGUUUGAUAUAAGGCAAUAUCAGGGAGAGUCCCUCAGGGACUACCUAAAUCGUUUUGGGGCGCAGAUGGUCAGAUCGCCGGCCAAAGAUGAAGAAAUGCUGGUCUAUGCAUUUAAGAAGGGCGUGCUGCCGGGACCAUUCUGUGAGGCAUUGAUCAGGGCUCACCCUGCCACGUUUGCUGAGGUCAGGCGACUUGCGGUGGCUCACAUCGCUGAUGAGAAUGAAGUCGCCGAGAAGAGAGGAAGCGUGGCUCCCGCCAGGCCACGCGCCCAUACCAGGAUCCAGCCGCAGAGGGUGCUAGAGACAGCGGCGGCCAGAAGGGAUCAGAGGACUCGCCAUCCUUAUGAUCCGAGGAAGAACAAGGGCAGGGGGCAAGGACGCCCUAAACCAGCACGCCGGGAGUACAAUCGCCCGCCUAAGCACAAGUUUGUCAUGGGAUUGGCGGACCUGAUCGCCAUUCCCAAUAUAUCGGCUAGGUUGAAAGCGCCCGAGAAGGUGGGCGACAAGGUGCUGGGACCAAAGCCAGACGCCUGGUGUGAGUUCCACCAGGGCUUUGGCCACACCGUGGAUUCGUGUUUGGCUUUAGGAUACCAGCUCGACGAUCUGGUUUGCGGGUUCCUAAAUAACUACUUGCUGGACAGAAGGACGGGGGGUGCGUCGAGCUCCCAACCAGCAGGAGGAGAGGCUCAGCAGCACGAGAUGCCUACGCACGGGGAAAUCCACACCAUUGCAGGAGGUUUCUCAGGUGGUGGAUGCACCGCAUCACAGAGGAAGAAGUAUGCCAGGUCUGUGAUGAUGGUGGAUAUGUUUGAAGACCACUCGCCGGAUGUGGACAUUACGUUCACCAAGCAAGAUCUUCGGGACGUUGUGCCUCAUGACAACGAUCCCAUAGUCAUCUCGUUGAUCACGGCGGGAAGGAAGGUCCACAGGGUUCUGGUGGACCAAGGAAGCUCGGCAGACGUGAUGUUCUGGCCGACUUUCACGCAGUUGGAGCUACCCCUUGACCAGCUGAGGCCCUAUGGAGGGUGCCUGUAUGGUUUUGCUGGUGACCAGGUAGAGGUCAGGGGGUACAUAGAGUUGAGGACUACGUUUACAGAUGAGGCGGGUUCGAGAACAGAGAAGAUCAAAUACCUUGUCGUGAACGCUCCUUCAGCAUACAACAUUCUGUUGGGAAGGCCCACGCUCAACAGGAUAGGCGCUAUACCGUCGACCCGGCACAUGAAGGUGAAGUUGCCGUCUAUGGAGGGGGUGGUGAUCACCAUCAAAUCCGACCAGAAAGAAGCAAAAAAGUGCUAUGAGAAUAGCUUGAAAAACAAAAGGUCUGUGAGUUAUGUGACAACCACCCUGCCUCCUGGUGUGAAGCCCAGAUCGACGGUAAUAGAAGAGACCGCCGGAAGAGAUGUGGAGAUGGUGGAUGCUGAGCUGGGGGAGGGGAACGCCGGUCUGGGAGAAGAGGAGGCAAGGAAUCGCCCUGAGGAAGUGAGGGAGCUGGGAAUCGCCAGGGCGGUGAUCGCCAGAGAAACCAGGCCAAAACCCGUCGAGCAGUGGCUCGAGAGAGAGAUCGGGGGAAAGAUCUUCAAGCUGGGAAGAUCCCUGGAGGUUGAGCUCCAGGACCAGAUCGCCAAGGUGAUAGAGCGGCAUCUGGAUGCAUUUGCAUGGUCCGCUUCGGACAUGCCCGGGAUCGAUCCCGACUUCUUAUGCCAUCAUUUGGCGAUGGACAACUUGGUGAGACCAGUACGGCAGAGAAGAAGGAAGUUCAAUGAGGAGAGGAGGCAGGCGAUUAGAGACGAAACACAGAAACUCCUCACCGCAGGCCAUAUCAGGGAGGUGCAGUAUCCUGAUUGGCUGGCCAAUGUCGUGCUGGUGAAGAAGAGUAAUGGGAAAUGGCGCAUGUGCGUCGAUUUCACCGAUCUGAAUAAGGCUUGCCCGAAGGACUCAUAUCCUUUACCAAGCAUAGACGCCCUAGUGGACAGUGCUGCAAGGUGCAAGUUGUUGAGCUUCCUGGACGCCUUCUCGGGGUAUAACCAGAUCAAGAUGCAUCCCAUGGAUGAAGAAAAGACUGCCUUCAUGACCGAAAGAUCGUGCUACUGCUACAAGGUGAUGCCUUUUGGGAUGAAGAAUGCGGGGGCCACGUACCAGAGGUUGAUGGAUCGAGUACUUGCACCCAUGCUGGGAAGGAAUGUGCAAGCGUAUGUGGAUGACAUGGUCGUGACCUCGCCAGAGAAAAGCAAGCACGUUGCGGACUUGGAGGAGUUGUUUACUACGAUCGCCAAGUUUAGGUUGAAGCUGAAUCCGGAGAACUGCAUCUUUGGCGUGGAGGCUGGGAAGUUCUUGGGUUUCCUCUUAACUGAAAGAGGAAUAGAAGCCAACCCUGAUAAGUGUGCCGCCAUCUUGGCGAUGAGGAGCCCAGCCACUGUGAAGGAAGUACAGCAGCUUACAGGUCGGAUGGCCGCCCUGUCUCGGUUCGUAUCGGCUAGCGGAGAGAAGGGCCAUCCAUACUUUCAGUGCUUAAGGCGGAAUAACAAGUUUGCCUGGACGAAGGAGUGUGAGGAGGCCUUCGUCAAGCUGAAGGAGUACCUGGCGAUCCCGCCGGUUUUGUGCAAACCGCUGGUGGGAACCCCUCUCAGGUUGUAUUUUGCUGUAACUGAGAGGGCGGUGAGUGCGGUGCUCGCCCAGGACCAGGAUCAGGCUCAAAAGCCUAUUUACUUUGUUAGUAAGGUGCUGCAGGGCCCCGAAGUAAGGUAUCAGGCCCUGGAGAAGGCUGCGCUGGCUGUGGUAUUUUCGGCGAGGAGGUUGCGCCACUAUUUCCAUAGCUUCACAAUAUUGGUGAUGACCGACCUGCCCAUCUAGAAGGUCUUGAAGAAGCCCGACGUUGCUGGGAGGAUGGUAAAGUGGGCAGUGGAGCUGUCGGAGUUUGAUAUUAAGUAUGAGCCUCGAGGCCCGAUCAAGGGGCAGAUCUUCGCAGACUUCGUGGUCGAGCUCUCAUCUGAAGCAACACGAGUUGAAGGGGAUGACUUCCGUUGGGUACUCUCAGUGGAUGGAUCGUCAAACCAGCAGGGUAGCGGUGCUGGAGUCAUCUUGGAGGGACCCAACGGCGUGCUGAUCGAACAAUCCUUGAGGUUUGCCUUCAAGNNNNNNNNNNNNNNNNNNNNNNNNNNNNNNNNNNNNNNNNNNNNNNNNNNNNNNNNNNNNNNNNNNNNNNNNNNNNNNNNNNNNNNNNNNNNNNNNNNNNNNNNNNNNNNNNNNNNNNNNNNNNNNNNNNNNNNNNNNNNNNNNNNNNNNNNNNNNNNNNNNNNNNNNNNNNNNNNNNNNNNNNNNNNNNNNNNNNNNNNNNNNNNNNNNNNNNNNNNNNNNNNNNNNNNNNNNNNNNNNNNNNNNNNNNNNNNNNNNNNNNNNNNNNNNNNNNNNNNNNNNNNNNNNNNNNNNNNNNNNNNNNNNNNNNNNNNNNNNNNNNNNNNNNNNNNNNNNNNNNNNNNNNNNNNNNNNNNNNNNNNNNNNNNNNNNNNNNNNNNNNNNNNNNNNNNNNNNNNNNNNNNNNNNNNNNNNNNNNNNNNNNNNNNNNNNNNNNNNNNNNNNNNNNNNNNNNNNNNNNNNNNNNNNNNNNNNNNNNNNNNNNNNNNNNNNNNNNNNNNNNNNNNNNNNNNNNNNNNNNNNNNNNNNNNNNNNNNNNNNNNNNNNNNNNNNNNNNNNNNNNNNNNNNNNNNNNNNNNNNNNNNNNNNNNNNNNNNNNNNNNNNNNNNNNNNNNNNNNNNNNNNNNNNNNNNNNNNNNNNNNNNNNNNNNNNNNNNNNNNNNNNNNNNNNNNNNNNNNNNNNNNNNNNNNNNNNNNNNNNNNNNNNNNNNNNNNNNNNNNNNNNNNNNNNNNNNNNNNNNNNNNNNNNNNNNNNNNNNNNNNNNNNNNNNNNNNNNNNNNNNNNNNNNNNNNNNNNNNNNNNNNNNNNNNNNNNNNNNNNNNNNNNNNNNNNNNNNNNNNNNNNNNNNNNNNNNNNNNNNNNNNNNNNNNNNNNNNNNNNNNGGAAUCGACAUCCUCGCUAUCUGCACGCUCCAUGACCAUGUAUGUCCCACACACUGGUGGUGGCGAUUGAGUAUUUUACCAAGUGGAUCGAAGCAGAACCAGUGGCCCAGAUCACCGCACACAAGGUUGAGGGUUUCGUGUGGAAGAACAUUGUGUGCCGGUUUGGUGUGCCCAAGCGCCUGGUGUCGGACAAUGGGACUCAGUUUGCAAGUCACCUGUUGAAGAAGCUGUGCGAAGGAGUGGGAAUUGAACAAGUGUUUGCAUCCGUCGAGCACCCUCAGACGAAUGGCCAAGUAGAGUCAGCCAAUCGGGUGUUGCUGAGAGGGUUGAAGAGAAGGCUAGAGAAAGCCAAAGGAAGCUGGGCUGAGGAGGUACCCCGUAUAGUCUGGGCGUACCACACCACCGAGCAGUCAGGAACCCAUGAGACCCCAUUCAGCUUGGUCUAUGGGUGCGACGCAAUGAUUCCAGUGGAGAUCCAGGAGAGCUCGCCGAGAUUCCAGAACUUUGUGGAGGAAGACUCGAAUGAAGAGAGAAGGUUGAACCUAGAUCUGCUGGAUGAGGUCAGGGAAGAGGCGAGAUUGAAAGCUGAGGCGGUGAAGAGAAGGAUUGAACGAAGAUAUAACUCGAAGGUGAUGCCAAGACAGUUCAGAGAAGGCGACCUGGUGAUGAGGAAAGCCCACCAGUACGAGAUGGAGAAUAAGCUGUCGCCUAAGUGGACGGGACCGCUCAGAAUAACCGAGGCGCUCGGGAACGGCGCCUACCGCUUAGAGACAUUGGAAGGAGGGGCGAUUCCUUGCACCUGGAACGCCACACACCUCAAGUUAUAUUACAGUUAAGAACGUUGUAAGUAAAAGACAAACACGAAGUUAUAUUACAAUGUCUCUGUUAAAACAGUUUGAAGGGGGCACUCUUUUUCCCCUAAGGAGGGUUUUUAAUGAGGCCACCCAAUAAAGAGUUUUCGAAGCUUGAAGUUGUUUUAGAUUGCAUGCCUGCUGUUUUCCAAAGUUUUGAAGAAAGACCUUGUCACUUAUAUGUGAUUUAAGGCAAGUUAAAGAUAUAUUGCAUGUUUUCUAAAAGGUUUCCAAGUCCUCAUCGUCUUUCGGCGAUUAGAGGCACCAGUGAAAAGUCCUCAGUGUUUCUGGGGGCGAGAAGAUGUAACCCCUGGAGCAAUGUGGAGGCACCAGUGAAAAGUCCUCAGUGUUUCUGGGGGCGAGAAGAUGUAACCCCUGGAGCAAUGUAGAGGCACCAGUGAAAAGUCCUCAGUGUUUCUGGGGGGGAGAAGAUGUAACCCCUGGGGCAAUGUAGAGGCACCAGCAAAAAGUCCUCAGUGUUUCUGGGGGAGAGAAGAUGUAACCCCUGGGGCAAUGUAGAGGCACGAGUUAAAGACCUUCUCGCCUAUGUGCGAGUUCAGGCAAGUUAAAGACCUUCUCGCUGAUGAGCGAGUUCAGGCAAGAUAAAACCCUUCUCGUCUCGAACGAGUUCAGGUAUGGUGUGAAGGGUGGAAGAAGUUUGUCGGGUGGCCCAGACAGGUUCGAAGAGAACGCCUAGCCACCCGGUCUCUUGUUCUGAAGAUCAGGGAGGUAGAGAAGGAUCCGAAAGGCGCCUCUACCCCCAGAUGAAGGAACAAUGGCCAAGUUAUGAAGCCAGGAAGAAGCUGAUAUCGCUAACAGUCUUUGGCGACCAGGAGAAAUUCAAGCAAUGGCAAGAAAGUCAAAGACCCGUUUUGAUGAAGCAGAUCAGGUGAGCGGUGUCUUAAGCCAUUAAUUGAGUUGAAGUUCGUUAUUUGAGGGGCGAUUUUACGCUAAGGUUCAUUACCUUGAAGUUACAAGUUGUUAGAGUGUUUUGUUCGAAGAUCGGCGGUUCGAAGCAGUUAAGUACACGAUUGCGCUUACGAAAUUACUAAGUUAUUUCUUGAAGAAAAUUGUGCAAGAAGAGAUAAAGCAGACAAAGGAGUUGCAAGAGGAAAUACAAAGACCUUGUCAUAAAGUGAACAUCAGUUUAAGGUACAUGUACAGAAAAAUCAGAAAAAUAGAAAGUUUAUUACAAGCAGAUUGGGUAAGGGAGAAAGCAUAAAGGUAGUGGAUGGAGGGAAUCAAUUAGUCUUCAGCAGGAACAACCUUCCCGUCCACCACCUCGUUGUUGAGAGAGACCAUGGUAUGAUCUAGAUCGGGGAACAGGCAGGCGAACUGUUCCCGGGCGGCCUCGAAUCCAGCAGCAAGAAUUUGGGCAGAGCUCAGGUUAAGUUCUUCGAUCUGUUUCUUCAGCCCCUCGUUCUGCUGCUUCAGCUCUUCAACUUGCUUCUUAAGUUCUUCAAUGGUUUCUUGAGCUUGAAGAAGGUCUUCAGCAACCUUCUUGGAUUCUGCCUGCGCCUGGGCCAGUUCGGCGGCGAUCUUCCCAUUUUCUUUGUUGGCUUCAGCGAGCUUAGCCAUGGUGUCAUCUCUUUCCUUUUCCACCUUCCCCAGGAAGACCUCCCGAUCGGCUGACCUUUGUUCGAGCUUCUUCACCUUGGCGGCGUCAGCUUUGAUUAACGUCUCCAGGUCAGCCACUUUGACGCGAUAGGGCACCAGCUUGCUCUCCAGCUCAAUCUUCUCUUGAGCCAAAAGCUGCACCUUAUGGCGUAGAUCGGUGGCCUCCUUGCGCGCCACCCGGAGCUCGGUGCUCAUGGAAUCUUCUACUCGCGAGUGCUCGAUCUCGGCGAGUGUCAGAUUGCAGGAUAACCUCUCCGCCUCAAUCCUUAUGGUGCUAUUCUCAGUUCGGAGUGCGAAGAGGUCAUCCUGGAGCUUCCUGGUAGAGCUCUCCACAGCUUUAGAGAUGAUGGAGGGGAAGUCCUCCGCCAUCAUCUUCAGUUUGGCCGAGAAAGGCUCCCACAUCCUCUUGACCUCAAGAGAGAGGUUUGCUUGUGGAGGCACCGGGUGGGCUUGUUGUUGAUUUUCGCCGCCACCUUCUUGAGUUGGUUGCUCAGCGGGUGCUGCUUGGCGUGGUGGCGACGUCGGGGAUUCGGUGAUGAGGAUUGGGGAGUUGGGAGCACCCUCAUCCCCGAUUGGAGCAGCCCCUGCGGUUGAAGCAUUUGAAGGAGGAUCCCCUCCCGCUGAUACAUAAGGCGUGGAGGCGCUCGGGGGGUUCUCCAUAAAGUUGGCUUCGGUGGCCUCAACCACAGGAGGCGCAGACGCCAAUGGAAUCGCUUGGACUGGCGAGGCAGGAGCUGGUGGAGGAAGCAAUGUUGGAGGCGGAGCUGGUGUGGAUGGCGGUGUUGAUGUAGGAAGUGGAGGUGGAGCUGAUGGUGAAGAAGGCGCCACCCUCUUCCUCUUGGUGACGAGGCCAUCUUCAGUCGCCUCGUCGUCUUCUUCCUCUUCCUCAUGAACCACUUGAAGGGUUUUCCUCUUUGGUUUCCUGAGGAUAAGUUUAUUGCGCUGGUUGGCGGGCUGGCCAUCGGGAGGAGUUGGGCCUUUGGGUGGCGAUCUGCCCUGUGCGGCGGCGAUCUCCACCACCGAGUUUGGCACGGUUUGGGAACCCGAUGCCAACCCGUGGGCUUGGGCGAGCGCCCUCAAUUCAGCAAGUUUACCCUGGCCCAACAUACGAUCUGCAUAAUGCAAAGAUGCAUGGGUCAGCUUAAAGAGAAAAAGGUAAAAACAUAAGUCAGGAUGCAACAGAAAGCAGAUCAGUGGUGCAGAAAAUAAAACCAAAGUCUUAUGCACAACGCACAAGACGCCCAGAAACAGUUAACAGAUAUAAUGUCAAAGUAAAGACUUAGACGGUAAGGUGAGUUCUAACCUAUGCGAAUUUCGAGUUGAUCUUCGAAGAACUCGAAGCAGAUGAGCGUGGUGGUGAGGAAGGUAAUGUUGGCGUCUGCCACACUCUUCCAGAAGAAGCAUAGGUCCUUGUCCAAGGCACCCAUGCUAUCAGGACUCCUUGGCCUCCUGAAGCUGCCUUUGGACUAUUUGUUCCCCUUGUUUACCCAAUACAAGGGGAAAAAGUCGAGCAGAGAAGCGUCCUUGUCAUUGGGGCGCACCUGGACGAACUUGCCCUUCCAGUCUUUGUAGGAUUGCUGGAAGAUAGAGAGGAUCGACCUCCCAGCAAUCCCGUUCAAACUCACCCACAGGCGAUCUCCUAGGUGCUUGGCUUCAAAAAGAAAGAGGAAGACGUCCACUGACCCUGGCAGCCCCAAGUGGUCGCACAUUAUCUGGAACGCCCGCACGAAGGCCCAGCUGUUGGGAGGAAGCUGGGCGGCGGCGAUGUCGAGCUCGGUAAGAAGCUCCCUUUCAAAGCGAGUGAAGGGAAACCUAAGUUUCACCUUCUUGAACAGGGUGGUGUAGACAAAGCAGAACGGCCCACCGUUGUUCCCCUUGUCGGCGGCGCAAACUGGCAGGUCGGGGGGGGCAAGGUAGCACCGUCAUCUUUUCGUCGUGCUCCUUGUGGAAUGACUGGUGAGGCUCAUCCCCUUUCGUCAGUCGAAGAACCGCCCCAGCAGAGUUUACUGAGGAGGUUUCCUUCAGCAAGGUCGAGGUGGCCCAUGGGUAUAGUUUUUUGAAAUCUGGAGAAGGAACGGAGGCUCCUCCGGCGACGGGUGGAGUGGCCUGAGCCAAGUUGGGGCGGGAGGGUGCAGGCCUCUCAGCCUAAGAAGAAGAAGCACCACGUGCUCGCGGUGGGUUGUGUGCUUGAGAUGAGGGGUUUCGUGACGAAGGAGGAGGAUUUGGGGUGAUCUUUGAGCGAGUCAUUGCGGAAGCUGCAAAAGAAGAAGAAAAGAAAAGGUGAUCAGGGUUCGCAGAGGCUGACUCGAUCAUGAAAGAAGGGUGAAAAACGAACGAACGAAGGUUCGUUGUAACAAAGACGAAGCCCUAAGUUACGAAGAAGGAAUGGAAAAAACAACCCACAAUGUAUGCACCAGACAGUUAAAGGAUGAUGCGAAUCGGUUAAAAUGCAGGAAAAACCAGUAGAAGAAGUAAAGGAAGUACCUUUUUAUGAUCGGAAAAGUGAUGAAGGAAGUUGGUGAUUCAGGAGGUUGAAGAACGUUGAGAGCUUUUGCAGAAGAAAGUUGAAGCGUCUGAGAAUACGAAGAAAGUGAUGGAACAGUGGAGCGAAAUGGGUUUAAGGGUUUUUCGAAUAAGUUUGGGAAGCGCAAACGGAAAUUGAAGGUAACCGUUGAUGAAGCCACGUGUCGAGCGAUGGGAGGAGUGUUUGGUGGAGCGUCAGAAAAGCAGAAAGUACAACCGCUUGGGAUUCUGCGCCAGUGCUACGUAGAUCGGUAUUGACGUGACUCCUUUAGUCUUUUCGCUGGACAAGUCUUCGCUUAAGACUGGGGGGCUUGUGUACCGCCCUGGUAGUCGGGAGUGAUGACGUGGCAUCAGGCUAUUGUACAGGCGUGUUGAGAGGACGCCAGGUUGGCAGAAGAGAAGGAGGUCUGGGGGCUCGUGUAGUCGCCAGUUAUUAAGUUGGCGUGCUCCGAUCUCCAUCACACCAAUACCAGCGGUCACCAAGUUGAAGAUGAAGUCGCCAGAUGUAAACUCAGGCGACCAAGUGAUCAGAGAUCACCGAAGAAAGGACAUCGCCGGAGAUGAAGGCAGAUAGACAUUUCCCAGCUGACCAGAGGAUGGGGUCGGGGGGCAGCUUGUUUGAGCAUACAUGGUGAAACAGGUGGUGCAGAUGAUGAAGGCGGCCGGCGAGACCACAGGGAAGGUGUGUACGAAGGCACCCUAGGUCGCCAAUCCAGUAGAGAUCGCACUCCAGGACAACUAUGCACUGGGUAGUACCAUGCAUAAGUAACUUAGCCAAAUGAGAGUCAGAAGCAGCGCCCAAGUCAAGGAGGCUCCAGAUGAUGGCACGUGUACAGCUGGAUGCGAGCCACGUGUCCAGGUCUGUAACUGCCAGGAGAGAGAAAGUGUCCAGGUAUAUAAGGGUUUCCCAACGAACUUCUGAGGUACGCACGUUCAGAUUAUCUUCUGAGGAACGCCACACACCUCAAGUUAUAUUACAGUUAAAGCUUUGUAAGUAAAAACGAAUAUGAAGAGAUUUGCAAGCUUUCUGUUAAAACAGUUUGAAGGGGGCACUCUUUUUUCCCUAAGGAGGGUUUUUGAUGAGGCCACCCAAUAAAGAAGAGUUUUCAAAGAGUUUAAAGCUUCUAAAUUUGCAUGCUUAUUGUUUCGAAAGUUUUAGAAAAAAGACCUUUUCACUCGUACGUGAUUCAAGGCAAGUUUAAAGUUACGCUGCAUGCUUUCUGAGAAAAAAGUUUUAAAGUCCCCAUCGCUUUUCGGCGAUUGGCGGCAUUAGUUAAAGUUUUAAAGUCCUCAUCGUCUUUCGGUAUGAACGAGUUCAGGUAUGACGUGAAGAGUGAAAGAAGUUUAGAAGAUGGCUAAGGUAAGUUCACAGAGAACACCUCGCUAUCCAGCUCCUUGUUCUGAAGCUCAGGGAGGUAGAGAAGGAUCCGAAAGGCGCCUCUGCCCCCCAGAUGAGGGAACAAUAGUCAAGAUAUGGAAGCAAAGAAAGUUUACAUCGCCAGAACCCUAUGGCGAUCAGAAGAGUUCCAGGCGAUGACAGGGAUAAGGGUCACCUUGCUGGGCAGAUCAGGUAAACUGUAUUUUGAUACUAGCUUAAGUUAAAACCUGCUGCCUGGUAAGUAACUUAUUGUUUUAAGUUUGCAAGCUGUCUUAAAUGUCAUCGCUUGAAGGUUAAUAAGUUGCUCAAGUUUUACUUCGAGUUAACAGUUCGAUAAAUUGUUAUAAGAUUAACGGUUUGCUCAAGUUCAAAGCGGUGAGUGAAUAGUUGAGCCCGGAGUAUCGUUGGGUUGAUUUGUUUAAGCAAGUUUCACCAGAUAAGUUGAUCAACCAUACAGCGAGUAAGAAAGCCGAUGAAGGUUAAAGAAUGCGAAGUAAACAGAAAGACGAGGUGCAAAAAGCAGAAGAAGUUAUAUAAAAGCAAUGUCAGUACAAGUUUACACAUAAGCCACUAUUACAAUUGAAAGAUAAGCAGCAGUUUUCAAAAACGAGGUGAUGAGGAGAGGCAGCUAGUCUUCGGAGGGUACGAUCUUCCCAUCCACCACCUCGUUGCAAAUGGACACCAUGGUCAGAUCAAGUUCGGGGUAUUGGCAAGCGACUUGCUCCAGGGCGGCAUCGAACCUGGCGGAAAGGACUUGGGCGGAGCUUUGCUCGAGCUCUUCAGUUUGUUUCUUCAGCUCGUCAGUUCGUUUCUUCAGCUCUUCAGUCUCCCUGCGAGCUUGAGCAAGGUCUUCAGCAACCUUUUGGCGAGUUAUGGCCACCCUCAUAUCCUUCUGGUGCAGCCCCAGCGAUAGAGGUGGUUGAAGGAGGACCCUCUCCAGCAGAUACAAAUGGCGUGGAGGCGCUUGGAGGAUUCUCAAAGAAAUUAGGCUCGCUGCCUUCAACCACAGGGGGCGCGACAGCCAAGGGUGUUGCUUGGACUGGCGGUGUUGGAGCUGGAGGAGAGGGCGAUGUUGGUGUUGGGAGAGCGGGUGGUGAAGAGGGUGCCACCCUUGUUCUUUUGGUGACGAGGUCGUCCUCAGUCGCCUCGUCAUCCUCUUCUUCCUGUACCACUUGAGGAGUUUUCCUCUUUGGCUUCCUCAAGACAAGUUUUUUUCUUUGGGGGGCGGGUAGUGUCUCCGAAGGAGUUGGACCUUGGGGAGGAGUUCUGCCCUGAGCAGCGGCGAUCUCCACCACCGAGUUGGGCACGGUUUGGGAACUCGUCGCCAACUUGUGAGAUCGGGCGAUCACCCUCAGUUCAGCUAGUUUACCUUUGCCCAACAUGAAGUCUGCACAGGGUAGAAAAUAAAUGAGUAAGCACAAAAGCAAAAUAAAGAUAUACCAGUAUAUGAACGCAGGAAUAACGCAAACAAGUGGCACAUGAAUUCAAAAUCAAGACCAAUGCAGAACAAGCAGAACGCCAAAGGAUGGAAUGGUAGGAACGCUAAUUUAGUUCCAACAGAAAACAAGAGUCUUGGUGCUGGGGAAAAGCCUAACCUAUGUGAGCUUCAAGUUGGCCCUCAAAGAACUCGAAGGAGAUGAUUGAGGCGGUAGGGAAAGUAAUGUUAGUAGCUGCUACGCUCUUCCAGAAAAGGCAGAGAUCUUUGUCUAGCUCGCCCAUGUUGUCAGGACUCCUUGGCCUCCUGAAGCAUUCUUUGGAGUCUUUGUUCCCCUUGUGUACCCAGUACAAGGGGAAACCGUUGAGCAGUGAGGGAUCUUGCUCGUUCGGGCGCACCUUGAUAAACUUUCCUUUCCAGUCUUUGUAAGAUUGCUGGAAGAUCGAGAGGAUUGACCUCCCAGCAAUCCUGUUUAAGCUAAUCCAAAGGCGGUCUCUGGGAUUCUUAGCCUCGAAUAGGAAAAGGAAGACAUCUACUGAAGCCGGCAGCCAUAGGUGUGCGCAGAUGAUUUGGAACGCCCUUACGAACGCCCAACUGUUGGGAUGAAGCUGGGCGGGGGCGAUAUCGAGCUCGGUUAGCAACUCUCUCUCGAAGCGAGUAAAGGGAAGUCUGAGCUUCACUUUCUUGAAGAAGGUGGCGUAGAGGAAGCAGAACAACUCGCCGUUGUUCCCUUUGUCGCCCGCAUAGAUCGGCUCGUCCGGGAAGCAGGGCAGCACGACCACCUUGCUAUCAUGUUCCUUGUGCAAGGAGAGGUCGGACUGGUCUCCUUUCCUUAGUCGGAGCACGCCCAACUCCGUGUUUAUCAAAGAAGUCUCUUUUAACAAGAGUGGGGUGGCCCAAGGAUAGAGUUCCUUGUAGUCUCUUGGAGGCAAGGAAUCCCCUCCGCCGACUGGCGGGGUUGCCUGAGCGAGGUUGGUGUGAGAAGUUGCAGGCCUCUCAGCCUGGUUAGAAGGAGCAUCAGAGGCUCGCGGUGGAUUGCACGCUGGUGGAGGAUUUGCCCCAGGAGCAACCCUACACGCUUGGGGUGGAGGAUUUCGCGAUGAAGGAGGAGGGUUCGCGGUGGAUUUCGCGUGAGCCAUCGCAGGAACUACAAAGGAAAAAGGAAAGGGAUGAACAAAGGUUACAGAGAACGACUUGAUUGAGGACGAAGAAAGAAGAACGAACGAACAAAAGUUCGUUGGGAUGAACGUGAUGGAAGACGAAGCCCUAAGUUACGAGAGGGGAGAAAAGGAAAAAACAGCCCACAACGUAUGCACCAGACAGAUAAUGGAUGAUGCGAAUCGAUUAAAAUGCAGCAAAUAUCAACAGAAGAAGUAAAAGAGGUACCUUUUUGUGAUCGGAUGAGCGUUGAAGAGAGUUGGAGAUUGAGAGAGUUGAGAAGCUUCGUGGGUUCGCAGAGAAAAGCUUAGAGCGUUUGAGAAUGCAGAAAGAUGAUGGAACAGUGGAAGUGCAAGGGGUUUAAGGGUUUUUCGAACGUUUUCGGAAGCGCAAACGACAGCUGAAGAUGACCGUUGAUGAAGCCAUGUGUCGAGCGAUUGGAAAAAGGGGUUUGGUGGAGCGUCAGAAAAGCAGAGGGUACGAACGUUUGGAAUUCUGUGCCAGCGCCACGUAGAUCGACGGUGAUGUGACCUCUUAGUCUUUUCGCUGGACAAGUCUCCGCUUAAGACUGGGGGGCUUGUGUACCGACCAGGUAGUCGGGAGUGAUGACGUGGCAGCAAGUGGUAAUAUAGGCGUGUUGAACGGAACACCUGGCUGACGAAAGGGAAGGACAUCGGGAAGUUCGUGUAGUCGCCAAUCGUUAAGUUGGCGUGCUCCGAUCUCUAGCAUAUCUACAUCGGCGGUCACCAGGCUUGUGUUGUAGUCGCCGUAUGUGGGCUUAGGCGACCAAGUGAUCAGAGAUCGCCGAGAGGGGGACAUCGCCGAAAGAUCAUGAAAGCUUGUUCAAGGCCUUCAAAGGGCACGAGUACGAAGGGUGAAGUUAUCAGAUGAUCAUUCCCUAGCCAGAGGUUGAGGCCAGGGAACAGUUUACCAGAACAUGCACGAUGGGCAAGUAAUGCAGAUCGUGAUAGCGGCGGGCGAGACCAAAGAGAAGGUGCGCAUGGUGACACCCCGUGCUCGCCACUAGAAGAAGAUUGCGCUCCAAGGCAGCUAUGCACCGAGUUGCUCCUCACCUGAGUAACUUAGUCAAACAGUCUGAAGAGUAGAAGUGGCGCUCAAGCGGAAGACGUUCCAGAUGGUGACACGUGUACAGCUGGAUGUGAGCCACGUGUCCAGAGGUGUAACCGUCAGGAGAGAGAAAAUGCACAGGUAUAUAAGGAACUCUUAACAGAUUCUGAGGUACGCGCGUUUAGAACACUUCUUUACGCUUUGAGAAUACUUGAGUACGCUGAGAGAGUUUUUGCACGGUUCCUUGAGUUUCUAGCUUUUCUCUCUUAGAGUUUGGUGAUUCCGUCACUGACUUGAGCGUCGGAGCGCGAUCGGCCGCAGCGGCGUCACUCUGUCUUUUGCAGGUUCUUGAGGAAAAUCGAGGUGUGAAGGACGGAAGCUAGCGUGGUGCAAAGCCGAUCCAGAGGAAGAUACCUUUAACGUGGCAAGACUCUUGCGCUCUGGUCAACCGGCAGGAUCACAUGUCAUAGAACCAACAUUAAAUAUCAAAUUUGCAUAAUCUAGUUGAGAAAUAUGAUGAACAAAAUUAAACAAAUGCAUAUCAUAAAAAAAUGCACAUGAACAUUCAUAUUCAGAUGCACCUGAAAAGAAAUCACAAUACAAACUGGAAAGUGAUAAAAAAUGGAGAAAUAACACAAAUUAGAUUGACACAUGGAAGUACAAAAAUGGAAAACGAUUGAAAGAAGCGGUAAAAAGAGAUGCAUGGUAAAAAAAUUACUCUGCCCCUUCACGUGCCGUGCAUGUCGAUCGCCCCUGGAAUGAGACUUUGGCGAGUCGUAUCGGUCCCAGUGGCUCUCUAACGGUGGGGCGUACUGCCGCUUCCCUACAUCUCAUGCACGGAUCCUCAUGAUCCGGGCCUCUCCGUACUGAUAGCUGACGUAUGGCUUUCAAGCCACCCUUUUCUGACUCGUUAUCCGAGGCCUCCUCGCCCAGAUGCGAUGCCGCCCCCUCCUCGGUUCCCCUAACUCGUGAGCCUGACAAGGCUCCUCCUUGGUCAACUGAACCUCCUUUGCGGGCCCAACCUGCAGGGUCCCUCUUUGACUUUUGGUCAACGGCCGAGGCCGAGACUCGGACGACCCCAGUCUCGAGCUGUCGACUCGUCAGCGAAGAGACUAUGAUCAUGCCCGGUUAUCUUAGGUGGCACUCCAUGACUGGACGUGCACUGUGCACUAAAGGCACUUUCUGCCCAUGUUUAAACAACUUACACGUGGUUCGAUCCAACGGUUGAGGCUUAACGUCGUUUGAGUUUCCAUGUUUACGUUAAGUUACCCUAAAACACGCUCCACUUCACUGUUCCAUCACUCAAAACUUCUCACACAAGCUUUCAUCUUCUUCGCGACUCUCUGCACUCUCGUUCUCCAUCAAAGACCAGGACUUCCUCCGAUCAACCACCCAAGGUACGAUUUUUCUCCGUUGAUUGCUCUUAUCUCUUGAUGUUCUGCUCUGAUAAACUGCUUGGGACUGUUUAAAUUCUCGCAUUUCUCAUUUUCAUCUGCAUUUCCUUCAUUCCCCUGUUUCUCUGGGUUUUCUCGCGUGGGUAGGGUUUCCGGGUUUGCCCUAGUUUUACACCAUAGCCCUCCUUGCUGAACCUUUGCUUUUCUUUUCCCCAGCUUCCUCGACCAUGGCAAGAACCAAAGUGACGACCAACCCACCACCUCCUUUCAUAAACUAUAGAGCUUCUUAUACUUGGGCCUCCGAUAGGCUCCUUGCCGAAUCUUCCACCCUACUCAAAGUCGAAGACUGGAGGGCCCACCUCGAUACGAACCCGUAGGAAAAGCGUUUGGGAGGGAACACGACGCUUACAUCUCCGUUCGCCCUUUCACCGCCGGCGAACCCGUUUGUGUUGACAAUUGCUCCAACAAUUGGGAGCCAUUCUUCUUCUUCUUCUACCAAACGAUGUUCAAACGCGUAGGGCAACGUCUUCCCUUCAACAACUUCAAGAGGGAGCUCCUCAUGGAACUGAACGUGGCCCCUGCCCAGCUGCAUCCCAACAGUUGCGCCUUCAUCAGGGCCUUCUCCAUCCUUCUAGGGCAUUUUGGCCUCACCCCUUCAGUUUACGUGUUCCUUCAUUUUUUGAAGCCAAAAACCCUGGAAACAAUCUCUGGGUGAGCCUGAGCGGGGUCACUGGGAGAGUUCUCUUCACCCUCUUUCAACAAUUCUACAAGGGAUUUAGAGGAAAAUUCUUCAGGAUGUGCGCCUCUGACCACGACCGCACAGCCCUCGACGGCUUCCCACUGUACUGAGUGGAGAAGCUCAAGUUCAACAAGGCCAAGACUCUGGACGAUCUUUAAUCAGCUGGUCACUAAAUGUGCCAGGUUUUGGCUAGCUUGGGCAUUGCCUUCAAUACAGUUGACCUCAUCAAGCAUGGGCGCGACCCCGCCGCCCUUGCUAAUCAUUUGGGUAUAAGAACUUGCUCUCCCGCCUCCUACCCAUAUACUAUGUGUAUCGUCCCGUCCCCGGGCGUCGACCAGAGUCAAAGUCAAAGUCAACGUCAGGGCCAAGGUCAACAUAUGGUGGGACCACACGAAGGGCCCAAAGAAGGAAGUCAACAGAGUGACUACAUAAUGCGUCGCCAAGAUAAGGGCGUCACCUAAACAAGGCGUCGCCAAGGUAAGGCGUCGCCAAGCAAGUCAUCAACAGUGUUACUCCCCGAUACCCAUGGGUAGGAAAGACCAUGGAGGGAGUGACACCACGGGAGGCUUCGGGCCCUCCUAGCUCAGAACAGUAAUAAAGAGAAGAGAAAGGUGGCUUCAAGGCCAUAGUACUAGCGCCAGUAGGGAGUAGCCUGACUCGCGAAGUACCCAGGCCACCUCAGGGAGACCCUUAGGAUAGAUAUGACUCAAGAGAAGGUUAUGCCCAGGGGAAACUAGGUGCAAGGUGCGAGAGGAAGGUGGAUACACUCCAAGGGCGAGUGACUAGAGGUUGGGUCGCAUGAGUUGGCACCCAAAAAGUCACCCCUUUGCGCCAGAUGCACUCAAGGAAUGAGGACUAACACGAUGAAAUAUCCCUAAAUUGGGUUACAGUGCUGUGAGGCCCUCCAGGUAGAAUAACGGUCAAGUCAGGAGGACACGUGGCGGGAAGAAUAGAAACAUCAAUGCUUUCCGGAUAGUUUGUCAGGUAUGAGGUAAUCAAGAUUAUGUAAUUAAGUCUACAUUUCGAAUGCUUUAAGGUACUUUAAAUGCUUUAAGUGUUUUGAACGUCUUAAAGGCGCCGAACGUUUUUACACCUUAAAUGCGCUUUAAAAUGCUUUAAAUGCUAGAGACGUUUAAAGGGAGCUUUAGACGUUGGAAUCGGGGAUCGGACCUUUGGCAAAUUUUCCCCAGAACACACUCUAGUUGCUUGCUCGAGCCCUCAGGCUACACAUAAAGGACUAGAGAAGGAUUGUUUGCCAGAACCAGAAAACAACACACAAUAUACAGUUCUUUACCACCUUCAGAGCGCCUUUCACGGUGCUCCGAUACGAAGGUGCAGAGUUUUGGUGUUUCUUGUUAGCUGACUUGAGUGUCGGAGUGCAAACGGCUGCUAGGGCGCCCAUUUGUUCACUUCUUUGCAGGUCUUCACAGAUUACCAGAAAAGGGUGUCACUAGCAGACGGGCAAGGUUGCACAGAAAGACGUACCUAGGUCAACCGGCAGGAACAUUUGGCGCCCACCGUGGGGCCGAUUUAAAACAUCAGUCCCAUCACAAGUUUCAGUUCGACAAUUCCAGAGAGUUUAUCAGAGCUACCAUAACAACAGGAGAAAGUCAGAGAAAACGUUGAAGAAUGAGGGCCACGAGACAAGGCCCAGCGCGCGCUACGAGUGAGGAAAUGACCAUGCAGCAGGUCAUGGCCAUGGUGCAGGGGCUGCAGGAUGAAAUGGCAGAAUCGAGGGCGGAGCAAGAACGCAUGCAGGCGGAUCUUGCGGCCUCUCAGGCGAGAAACGAAGAGCUCCAUCGCACAAACGAGGAAUAGCGUCGUGGUUUGCGCAACAGCCGAGGGCAACGCGACCCAGAUGAGACCGAACGUCUCACCCCCCCAAGGGAGUUUUCCACACCAUUCUCGCAGGAGAUCCUGGAGGCGUUGAUCCCCAACACGUUCGCAGGGCCCAAGGUGACUUUCACAGGAUGGAGGAUCCCGAAGCAUAUCUCACCGCGUUCCCCACGCAGAUGGUGCUAGUAGGCGGCUCCGAUGCCGUAAGAUGCAAGCUUUUCAUGAGCACCUUGACGGGAAUGGCUAUGGAUUGGUUCAUUAGCCUUCCGGAUGGCAAUAUCACCUCCUUCCCGCAGCUGUCGCAGUUAUUUAGGGAGCAAUACCUAGCGAACAGGGCCCCACCGCCCGUUUCGUAUGAUCUGUUUGACGUAAAACAAUAUCAGGGUGAGACUUUGAAGGAGUACAUCAACCGUUUCGGGACUCAAGUAGUGAAGGUUGGUACUACGGAAGAACCCAUGAUCGUGUACGCGUUCAGGAAAGGCGUAUGCCCUGGCCCCUUUUGCGAGUCCAUCAUUCGCAAUCGCCCAGGACCUUCGCUAAAAUAAGGCGUCGUGCGGUGGAGCAUAUUGCCUCUGAAGGAGAGGUGUGUGAGAAGCGCAUGAGUGUCGCACCCACACGCCCGAGGGCACAGACACGGGCUCAACCCGUCAGGGUCAACGAGACCACGACGGGAAGGAAGAAUCAGGAAGGCAGACGCCCCUACGAGGCGAAAAAACCCCAACCCAGGGGUCAAACGGGAGGAAAUCGUCCGACCAAGGAAAGGGCCAGACCAACAAGGUACGACUUCGUGGUGGAGUUGAAGGACCUGAUCACCGUACCUAAUAUAGUCGAAAGAUUGAGGCGACCAGUGAAGUUAGACAAGGUGUUGGGGCCUCGCAAGGACUCUUGGUGUGAGUUCCACGAAGCUUUCGGUUACCAUAUCAACAAUUGCCUAUCGCUGGGGUACCAGUUAGACGAGUUAGUAAAAAGCGGGUUCUUGAAGGAUUAUCUCACUAAACCCGCCACGACCGUAGCCCUGCUGGAACCAGCGGAGGAUCAAGCGCAUGAGAUGCCGGUCCACGGCGAAGUUCACACCAUUUCUGGUGGUUUUUCGGGAGGGGGACCCAUUGCAUCCCAACGCAAGAAAUAUGCGAGGGGAGUAAAUUCGAUUGACGAAAAAAUCUCAGGCGACCCGUGGGAGUCAGACCUCGUGUUCACGAGGGCGGACCUACGAGAUGUUGUCCCGCACGACAAUGACCCCGUGGUCAUUUCGGUUGUCACGGCUGGAAGGAAGGUGCACAGGGUUCUAGUCGACCAGGGAAGCUCGGCAGACGUUAUGUUCUAGUCGACAUUCAAUAAGCUACGGUUGUCCCCCGACCUUUUGAGACCCUACACCGGGUACUUGUAUGGGUUUGCUGACAACCAGGUGGAAGUACGUGGCUACUUGGAGUUGAGGACGACAUUCACAGAUGGGGCGGCCUCACGUACUGAAAGCAUUCGGUAGUUAUUUGUAAAUGCCAAUUCGGCUUACAACAUCCUGUUGGGAAGACCGGCGUUGAAUAGGCUGAGAGCAGUAGCCUUCACGUGCCACAUGAAGAUGAAGUUGCCGGAUCUCAGUGGCAGGGUGAUCGUCAUCAAGUCAGAUCAAGAAGAAGCGUGAAAAUGCUAUGAAAACAGUUUAAAGACAAAGAGAGGUGUGUUCAUGGUAUUCGAACGUCCACCGAGUUCAGACACAGCGAUGGAAGUAGAACCCUCGAAUGAGGCGACGCCUACGGAGUCAACGCCUGGUGAGGCCGCACCCGUAGGGGCGACGCCUAAAGCAGACACGCGCACAGAGGAAAGGCAUGACGACGCUUCGCCUGUAGAAGAGGCGUCGCCUAGAGAGCACUAUAAGGCGACGCCCCAAAAAGAAGAUAGCAGAGACCAACCGGCGGCCAAUGUGGUGGAGAGACAGAUCGGCGGCAAAGCGUUCAAGCUGGGGCGUUCAUGCAGGCGGAGGUGAUUUCACGCCACUUAGAUGCUUUUGCGUGGUUCGCCUCAGACAUGCCGGGCAUGGACCCUGACUUUUUAUGCCACCACCUUAGCAUGGACGCCACGGUUCGCCCUGUGCGACAAAGGAGGAGAAAGUUUAACGAAGAAAGGCGGCUCGUGGUGAGGGAAGAGACACAGAAGUUGUUAAGUGCUGGACAUAUCCGGGAAAUCCAAUACCCCGAGUGGAUGGCCAACGUCGUUCUGGUGAAGAAAGCAAACGGGAAGUUGAGGAUAUGUGUGGACUUCACAGACUUGAACAAGGCGUGCCCCAAGGAUUCAUAUCCACUACCCAGCAUUGACGCCCUGGUGGAUAGUGCCUCGGGUUGCGAGAUGCUGAGCUUUUUGGACGCUUUUUCGGGGUACAAUCAGAUCAAGAUGCACCCGAGGGACGAGGGUAAAACAACAUUCAUGACAGAGACAUGUAGCUACUGCUACAAAGUGAUGCCGUUCGGGUUACAGAAUGCAGGCGCCACCUACCAGAGGUUAAUGGACAAGGUCCUGGCGCCUAUGUUAGGGAGGAACGUACAAGCCUACGUGGAUGACAUGGUGGUAGCUUCGCGCGAUAGGAGGCAACAUACAACAGAUCUGGAAGAGUUGUUUGCCACCAUCUCAAAGUAUCGCCUCAAGCUGAACCUUGAGAAGUGUGUUUUUGGGACUGACGAGUGUGAAGCAACAUUCCUCAAGUUGAAAGAGUACUUGGCAACACCACCAGUGCUUUGCAAACCAGUGGCAGGCGUGCCCCUCCGACUAUACUUUGCGGUAACAGAGCGGGCCAUCAGUUCUGUGCUAGUCCAGGAGCAGGACCAAGUACAGAGGCCCAUCUAUUUUGUGAGUAAAGCCUUGCAAGGCCCGGAGACGAGGUAUCAGUCGCUGGAGAAGGCAGCAUUGGUCGUGGUAUUCUCGGUCAGGAGGCUCCGCCACUACUUUCACAGUUUUACAGUAGUGGUGAUGACGAACUUUCCCAUCCAGAAGGUACUACAGAAACCUGACGUUGCUAGAAGGAUGGUUCACUGGGCAGUGGAGCUGUCAGAGUUUGAUAUCCGGUACGAGCCCAGAGGAUCUAUCAAAGGUCAAGUAUAUGCGGACUUCGUUGCAGAGCUAUCACCCGGAGGCGACCAAGAGGCGGACCCAGGAUCGAAGUGGUCGCUCUCGGUCGAUGGUUCGUCCAACCAACAAGGAAGUGGAGCAGGAAUAGUCUUGGAAGGACCUAAUGGCUUGCUGAUCGAGCAAGCUCUACGCUUCGCUUUUAAAGCGAGCAAUAACCAAGCUGAGUACGAGGCACUGAUAGCAGGGAUGCUCCUAGCCAAAGAAAUGGGUGCACAGAACCUCUUGGUAAAGAGUGAUUCACAGAUAAUUGCAGUAUGAAAAGCGAAAUCAGGCCACCCUUCAGUGGCCUCCGGAGUCUAAACAGGAUGAUGAUGAAGCCCCGUCCUCGGACCUCAACGCCUGGGCCAGCAGCGACCUUUGUUGUCGGUUUAUCUUUGAACCUGCACCAAAAGAGACAAGCAUGGUGAAAGACGGGCACAAACUAAGGCACCACAAGAUAAAUCGUGCAAGAAUCCAGCAAAGGCGAAGAAUGGGAGGUUAUGAGGAAAUCUCUCGUACAUAUGUAUUUCUCCAAGGCCUCAGCGUUGUACUCCAGACUUAUCAAGGCGGCAACGUCAAAACCCCCCGCCCCAGCCAAGAUCCGACAAGCUUCCUGGUCGUUCGAAGGCAACCUCUUAAGAGGCCUGGACUUCAGGGCUCUUGUCUCCUUCACCGAGUACAGUGGAAAGCCGUCAAGGGCGGAGGGCACGAGGUCGGAACAACAAACCUUAAAGAACUUGCCCUUUGAUGAGAAUCAAAUAAAGGAGGCUUUUAUUAAUGGAGGAAGAGGACAUCCACCCUCACAUUUGAAGUUCUUCCUUCUAGUCUUCUCAAAAUUAAAAGAAGACAUAAAAUAAAGAUGAGGCCCAAGCCCAAAGCCCAAGCCCAAGCCCAAGAAGGCCAAAGCCCAAAGAGCCCAAGUCCAUCCCAUGAGGGGCAAGGCCAAGCUUUGAAAUACUCUUGUAUAGUUUUAGGAGGUGUGGUUAUUAAAUAAAGGAGUGUGAAAAUGUAAAAUAAAGUCACAUUGUCCAUGUGACUUAGGAGAGUGGUGGAGGUGUAGUUUUUAGGAGGUGUCAUAGUAGAAAAAGGUCACACCUCCCAUGUGACUUGUUUUUUGUGGGAAUUUCAAAUGAGUUUAUUUGAAUUUUCCCACCUAUUUUUCAGCACCUCUAGGCUAUAAAUAAAGGUGCUUAGCUUGUACAAUUCAGAUUAGAAUUUAGACUAAAGAAACUAUACUCAUUUUUUGAUAGAGCAUUGGAGAGCUUUGUGCCUUCUUCACUAGUCUUAUCUUGAUGGUUCCAUGGUUACCUCAAGUGGCGGCUUGCACACUUAUCUUGGAGUCUCCAUCCUCCUAGUGGCGUGAUCAUCCAACCAUACAUCCAUCUCCAUGAGCUUUCUCUUCUUCUUCCUUCCUUCUCUUUCAAUUGUUCAUGUUUAGCUUGUUGUUCUUGAAUUUCUGUUCGGCAGUUUUCAAUUCCUUGGUGUUUUGGUUCGGUGCCUUUGUUUCCUUGCUGUUCAAUGAUGUUCUUAAUCAAUUUCAGCCUUUAUGUUCGGUUCAUUUCAGUUUUUAGCUAAUUCUAUUCGGUGGAAUUGCUUCUUCUUUCACUUUAAUCGGUUCAAUUUGACUAUAAUUGAAACUUCCAUGAGUUUGGAUUUGGUGCUAGUUUUGGUGAGUUCUUGACUUAGAACAUUGAUCCAAUUCUAAGAAAAAGUGCCUAACUAUUGUCCAACUCAAGUUGAUUCCUAAGAAGGUCAAGAAUCAUUCUCUUCUUUGCUAUUGGAAUCAUAUCAUGUGGUAUCUAGAGUUUAGGUGUGUUCUUGUUUAAAUUUUGAGUUGUGUUGCACUUUAAUUUCAAGAGCUCUUUAAUUUCUUGCAAUUUUCGGUUCUUUUUUUUAGGUUUAUUUGAGUUUGCUUGCUGUUUUAAUUCUUUUGCCUAUCAUAUGUUUGAGUAUUUUCCUUUUUGAAUCCAUACAAGUUUUGUCUUAGUCUUGUUUUUCCAUAAUUGUCAUCACUUCUUGUAGUACUUUUAUUGAUUUUAUUGUUUCUUGCUUUAGUGUCAUAUAAUUUUCUGAGUUUGAUACUUGAUCCUUUGUGCAUUUUUUGUUUUAGUUUGAGUUCAUGCUUGUAUUUUAGACCUAUACAAGUUCCUAUACAUCAUUUUCCAUUAUGCCUUUGCUAGUUCAUAAUUAUGUUUUUCAUUCCUAUUAGGCUUCCUCUGUUUUCUGAAAACGUGCUUACUGUUUCUCCUUAUUGCAAUUGAUUUACUCACUGGAAAAUUCUGAAAUUCUGGAUUUGUGUUCUUUAAAGUGUUAGAAAAGAGUAGAAAAAAGAAGUACUCAAAAAUUCAAAGAACACAAAAAAUGAUAAAUAAAAUACAAAAAGUGUACAAUUCUGCCGAAAAAAAUACAGUAAUCUGGCAGCGAUUUUGAAAUAUUUAUCUCAAUUAAUUGGCUUACUGUUUUUGCGUGAUUCCAGUGCCAUUUUUGAGCUAAUAUCUUGAAGUUUGUGUGGUUAAAAUUUCAUAAUCCAGUUCGCUCUAUAUCAUUCCAGUUAAAUCACUGAACAUCAAGCACAGUUUGCAUAAAAAAUAUUUUCCAGUAGCUAAUUUUGUUUUCUUCAUCUACUCUAGUGCUUUUCUUUAAGUAUUCUUUUGUGUGCCUACUUUCUAAUUGAGUUCUUUAAUUUUCUUGCUUGUCUUUUGUUCAUUAAUCUUUGAGUUUGUCAAACAUCUAGUAUUCCUUUUGUUCUAGCCUUUCUUUGCUUAUACUUUUUCUUGUUUGUCUUUAUUGCUUCAUUGGUUUUGUUGUGGUUGGCUUUGAGAUUGGUGUGCCUUGCUUUGACAUAUUUCAUUUGAGGAUUCCAAGACCUCAAGAUCAGAUUGGUGCAAGGACAUUAUUUCUUUGAGAGUGACCUAGUUUUUUUCUGGACAAAUUCACUUCGGCACUUUCAUUGCCAAACUCACUGUUUUUGCUAAUUUUGUUUCUUGACUUGUUUGCUGUUUUUGUAUGUUUGUUGUUUUUAUUUGCAAAAUGGCUGGAUUUUCAAGUGAUGCAUCUUACAAGCAACAUUCUCCUUCCAAAGCUUCAGUCCUUGGUGAAUUACAUGAAGCUCAACGCACCAUUAGGCGUUUGGAAGAAAAAUUGCAAAAGAUGGAGGUGCAACAAGCUAGGCCAUCUCACUCUAUCCAUGGUGGACAUCAUUCUCAUAGACCUUCAUCAAGGGGUUCUUCAAAUGACUUUGGACGUGAGGAGAACCAUAGGAGAAGGCAAAAUCCACCUCAAUUUCAUGGACAUAGAAAUCACAACCAAGGGGAGAGACAUCACCGUGGAGAGGGAUACUACCAAGAUGCAAAGGCUAGGCUACCUUCGGUGAAAAUUCCUAGUUUCUGUACCGCCCUGGUAGUCGGGAGUGGUGACGUGGCAUCAUGCUACAGUAUAGGCGUGUUGGCAAGGCGCCAGGUUGGCAGGAGGGAAGGAAGUCGAAGGGUUCGUGUAGUCGCCAGUUGUUAAAUUGGCGUGUUCCGAUCUCCAGCUUAUCAGAAUAGGUGAUCACCAGGUUAAAGAUGAAGUCGCCAGAUGUAGUUUCAGGCGACCAAGCAGUUGGAGAUCGCCAGAGAAAGCACAUCGCCGAAGAGGAAGGAGAAGCAGAUUAUGAAGGCGGCCGGCGGGACCACAAGGAAGGUGUAUGAGGACACCCUAACUCGCCAGUUCCAGUAGAGAUCGCACUCCCAAGUUAGCUAUGCACUGGGCAGUACCAUGCAUAAGUAACUUAGCCAAAAUGAGAGUAGAAGCAGCGCCAAGUCAAGGAGGCUCCAGAUGAUGGCACGUGUACGACUGGAUGCUAGCCACGUGUCCAGGUCUGUAACUGCCAGGAGAAAAGCAACCAGGUAUAUAAGAGUUCUCAACAAACUUUCUGAGGUACGCACGUUCAGUUCAUACUCUUUACGCUUGCGAGUUCUAGAGCUGACUGUGAGAGAGGAUUUGCACGGUUCUUGUUCUCUUAGUAUUUGGUGAUACCGUCACUGACUUGAGCGUUGGAGUGCGAUCGGCCGCAGCGGCGCCGCUCUGUUUCUUCGCAGGUUCUUGAGGUAGAUCCCGAAGAGGAACGGAGGUGAGAAGCGGNNNNNNNNNNNNNNNNNNNNNNNNNNNNNNNNNNNNNNNNNNNNNNNNNNNNNNNNNNNNNNNNNNNNNNNNNNNNNNNNNNNNNNNNNNNNNNNNNNNNNNNNNNNNNNNNNNNNNNNNNNNNNNNNNNNNNNNNNNNNNNNNNNNNNNNNNNNNNNNNNNNNNNNNNNNNNNNNNNNNNNNNNNNNNNNNNNNNNNNNNNNNNNNNNNNNNNNNNNNNNNNNNNNNNNNNNNNNNNNNNNNNNNNNNNUGUUUACACGUAAUUUGUUUGGUGGAAGUUCGAGUUCUUUCGCUCGUUUGGUUGUCCGCGGGGAAGCGGUGGUUUCUGGUGAAGUUGUGGUUUUCUGUGAAGGUUUACGGUGUUCUUGAGUUUUCUUGCGCAGUUUCGCGCUGUUUUCUCCGAUUGAUCGCUGAUUUGAUCGUGGUUGAAGUGUUGUUCGCUGCAUCCUGUGAUUCGCUGAAGUUCAUGAGAAAAAUGAGAAGCAAUCGUUCAAGCCCCGUGGCGCCUGUCGCUGCUGAAGGCGACGCCGCCAUGACCAUGGCACAGAUGGCAGAGAUGAUGCGCUCGUUGCAGGCAACUGUGGAAGCCUCACGCGUAGAGNNNNNNNNNNNNNNNNNNNNNNNNNNNNNNNNNNNNNNNNNNNNNNNNNNNNNNNNNNNNNNNNNNNNNNNNNNNNNNNNNNNNNNNNNNNNNNNNNNNNAUACAUGAGGACCUGGUCGCCUCUCGCGCCAGUAACGAGGAGCUUAGCAAGGUGACGGAGGAGCUGCGUCAAGCUCUUCGGGAGCAGCAAGGACGUUCUUCUGCUGAAGAGGUGGCACCGUCGACGCCACCUCGUGUUUUCCCAAUGCCUUUUGUUCAGGCGAUUACUGACACGCCUAUUCCCACGAGCGUGGUUCCGGUUAAGGCUGUCUUUACCGGCAUGGAGGAUCCAGAGGCUCAUCUGACCACGUUCCAUACGCAGAUGAUGCUGUCGGGAGGGUCAGACGCCGUCUACUGCAAGAUGUUCGUGAGUACGCUCCAGGGAACGGCGAUGGAGUGGUUUGUGAGCUUGCCUAACGGCCACAUAACCAAUUUUCAACAGUUCUCGAAGAUUUUUGUCGAGCAGUACAUCGUGAAUAAGGCACCGCCCAGGGUGUCUUAUGAUCUGUUUGAUAUAAGGCAGUACCAUGGGGAGUCCCUCAGAGAUUACCUGAAUCGCUUUGGAGCGCAGAUGGUCAGAUCUGGUUAAGAGCGGGUUCCUAAAUGACUAUCUGCUGGACAAGAGGACGGGGGGAGCGUCGAGUUCCCAGCCAGCAGGUGGAGAAGCCCAGCAACACGAGAUGCCUAUCCACGGGGAGAUCCACACCAUCGCAGGGGGUUUCUCAGGUGGUGGAUGCACCGCAUCGCAGAGGAAGAAGUACGCGCGAUCGGUGAUGACAGUGGAUAUGUUUGAAGAUCACUCGCCGGAAGUGGACAUUACGUUCACCAAGCAGGAUCUUCGGGACGUUGUGCCCCAUGACAACGACCCCAUAGUUAUUUCGUUGGUUACAGCGGGAAGGAAGGUCCACAGAGUUCUGGUGGACCAAGGAAGCUCGGCAGACGUGAUGUUCUGGCCGACUUUCACGCAGCUGGAGUUGCCCCUUGACCAGCUAAGGCCCUAUGGAGGGUGCCUAUAUGGGUUCGCUGGUGACCAGGUGGAGGUCAGGGGGUACAUUGAGCUGAGAACCACGUUUACAAAUGAGGCUGGGUCGAGGACGGAGAAAAUCAAGUACCUCAUCGUAAACGCCCCUUCAGCAUAUAACAUCCUGUUGGGAAGGCCCACGCUUAACAGGAUAGGCACCAUUCCGUCGACUCGGCACAUGAAGGUAAAGUUGCCGUCCAUGGAAAGGGUGGUGAUCACGAUCAAGUCUGAUCAGAAAGAAGCGAAAAGGUGCUAUGAGAAUAGCCUGAAAAACAAAAGAUCAGUGAGUUAUGUAACAACCACCCCACCUCCCGGUGUGAAGCCCAGAUCGACGGUAACAGAGGAGGCCGCCGGAAGAGAUGUGGAGAUGGUAGACGCUGAGCUAGGGGAGAGGAAUGCUGGCCUGGAGGAGGAAGAGGCGCGGAAUCGCCCUGAGGAAGCAAGGGAGCAGGGAAUUGCCAGGGCGGUGAUCGCCAGAGAAUCCAGGCCUAAACCUGUCGAGCAGUGGCUCGAAAAGGAGAUCGGAGGCAAAAUCUUCAAGCUGGGAAGAUCUCUGGAGGUCGAGCUCCAGGACCAGAUCGCCAAGGUAAUUGAGCGGCAUCUGGACGCGUUUGCAUGGUCCGCUUCGGACAUGCCCAAGAUUGAUCCCGACUUCUUGUGCCAUCAUCUGGCGAUGGACAGUUUGGUGAGACCGGUGCGACAAAGGAGAAGGAAGUUCAACGAGGAGAGGAGGCAGGCGAUCAGGGACGAAACACAGAAACUCCUCGCUGCAGGCCACAUCAGGGAAGUCCAGUACCCUGAAUGGUUGGCAAAUGUCGUGCUGGUGAAGAAGAGUAACGGGAAAUGGCGCAUGUGCGUCGACUUCACCGACCUGAACAAAGCUUGCCCAAAGGAUUCGUAUCCUUUACCAAGCAUAGAUGCCCUGGUUGAUAGUGNNNNNNNNNNNNNNNNNNNNNNNNNNNNNNNNNNNNNNNNNNNNNNNNNNNNNNNNNNNNNNNNNNNNNNNNNNNNNNNNNNNNNNNNNNNNNNNNNNNNNNNNNNNNNNNNNNNNNNNNNNNNNNNNNNNNNNNNNNNNNNNNNNNNNNNNNNNNNNNNNNNNNNNNNNNNNNNNNNNNNNNNNNNNNNNNNNNNNNNNNNNNNNNNNNNNNNNNNNNNNGAUGACAUGGUCGUGACCUCGCAGGAAAAAAGCAAGCACGUUGCAGACUUGGAAGAAUUGUUCACGACGAUCGCCAAGUUCAAGUUAAAGCUCAAUCCGGAGAAAUGCAUUUUCGGCGUGGAGGCUGGAAAGUUUUUGGGUUUCCUCUUGACUGAAAGAGGAAUAGAAGCCAACCCAGACAAGUGUGCCGCCAUCUUGGGGAUGAGGAGCCCAGCUACGGUGAAAGAAGUCCAGCAGCUAACAGGUCGGAUGGCAGCCCUAUCUCGCUUCGUGUCAGCUAGCGGAGAAAAGGGGCAUCCCUAUUUUCAAUGUCUGCGGCGCAAUAAUAAGUUUGUUUGGACGAAAGAGUGCGAGGAAGCUUUCGUCAAACUGAAGGAGUAUCUGGCGAGCCCGCCGGUUCUGUGCAAACCGCUGGUGGGAAUCCCUCUCAGGUUGUAUUUUGCUGUGACUGAGAGGGCGGUGAGUGCGGUGCUCGCCCAGGAUCAAGAUCAGGCUCAGAAGCCUAUCUAUUUUGUGAGCAAGGUGUUGCAGGGCCCCGAAACGAGAUAUCAGGCCCUGGAGAAGGCUGCGCUGGCUGUGGUGUUUUCGGCGAGGAGGUUGCGCCACUACUUCCAUAGUUUCACAAUACUGGUGAUGACUGACCUGCCUAUCCAGAAGGUCUUGAAGAAACCCGACGUUGCGGGAAGGAUGGUGAAGUGGGCAGUAAAGUUGUCAGAGUUUGAUAUUAAAUAUGAGCCCCGAGGCCCGAUCAAGGGGCAAAUCUUUGCAGAUUUCGUGGUCGAGCUCUCAUCAGAGGCGACACGGGUUGAAGGAGACGACUUCCAUUGGGUACUUUCGGUGGAUGGAUCGUCGAACCAGCAGGGCAGCGGUGCUGGAGUCAUUUUGGAAGGACCCAACGGCGUGCUGAUCGAACAAUCUCUGAGGUUCGCCUUCAAAGCCAGCAACAAUCAAGCAGAGUAUGAGGCGCUGAUCGUCGGGAUUCUGCUGGCCAAGGAGAUGGGAGCUAGGGUGCUGAUGGCUAAGAGUGACUCGCUGCUAGUCACGGGGCAAGUAACAGGCGAGUUCCAGGCUAAAGAUCCACAAAUGGCGGCUUACUUGGCGUAUGUGCAGGAAUUGAAGAGUUCCUUUGCCUCCUUUGAAGUAGUACAUGUGCCCAGAGAGCAGAAUGCCCGAGCUGACUUGCUUGCUAAGCUCGCCAGCUCAGGCAAGGGGGGUAGGCAGAGGACGGUGAUUCAAGAAACUCUGAAGACGCCAAGGGCAUUUGUAGCAGAUCACCUGGUCCUUCAGAUAAGCAAGUCGACGGAGAAAGCAGCGAGAAGCCAUAAGUCCCUGACGCAAGAAACUCUGAGAUCGCCGAGAAUUAGAGCAUGCCGAGGAGAGAAGGUGAAUGUGAUGCAGGUCUGCGCUACCCAUGAGCCAGACACUUGGAUAACACAGUACAAGCGGUGCCUGGCAGAUGGCCUCCUCCCACUGGAUCCGACAGAAGCUAGGAAGGUAAAGAAACAUUCCAGCAAGUACACAUUGAUUGAUGGCGAUCUGUACAGGUUUGGGUUCACUCACCCGCUCCUGGAAUGUAUACACGGCGAGAAGUGCACGAGAAUCAUGGCAGAGCUCCACGAGGGUAUAUGCGGAAGCCACGUUGGGGGUCGAGCUCUGGCCGCGAGAACUCUCCGUGCAGGCUACUACUGGCCAUCUAUGAGAGAAGAUUGCAAGAAAUAUGCCCAGUGUUGCAAACAAUGCCAACAGCACGCCGAUUGGCACAAGGCACCUCCCGAGGAGUUGAAGUCGAUCUAUAGCCCUUGGCCGUUUCAUACUUGGGGAAUCGACAUCCUGGGACCUUUCUCGCUGGCGAUCAGGCAGAUGAAGUACUUGGUGGUGGCGAUUGAGUAUUUCACCAAGUGGAUUGAAGCAGAACCAGUGGCCCAGAUCACCGCACACAAGAUCGAAGGUUUCGUAUGGAAUAACAUCGUGUGCCGGUUUGGAGUGCCUAAACGCCUGGUGUCGGAUAAUGGGACGCAGUUUGCAAGCCACCUGUUGAAGAAGCUUUGCGAAGGGGUGGGAAUUCAACAAGUGUUUGCAUCCGUCGAGCACCCUCAGACAAAUGGCCAGGUGGAGUCAGCUAAUCGGGUGUUGUUUGAGAGGUUUGAAGAGAAGGCUUGAGAAAGCCAAGGGAAGUUGGGCUGAGGAGGUACCCCGUAUAGUCUGGGCGUACCACACCACCGAGCAGUCAGGAACCCAUGAGACCCCGUUCAGCUUGGUCUAUGGGUGUGAUGCCAUGAUUCCAGUAGAGAUCCAGGAGAGCUCGCCGAGAUUCCAGAACUUCGUGGAGGAAGACUCGAAUGAAGAGAGAAGGCUGAACCUGGAUCUACUGGACGAGGUCAGGGAAGAGGCGAGACUGAAAGCCGAGGCGGUGAAGAGAAGGAUCGAGCGAAGACACAACUCGAAGGUGAUGCCAAGGCAGUUUAGAGAGGGCGAUCUGGUGAUGAGGAAGGCCCACCAGUACGAGAUGGAGAAUAAACUGUCGCCCAAGUGGACUGGACCGUUCAGGAUAACCGAGGCGCUCGGGAACGGCGCCUACUGCUUAGAGACGCUGGAAGGAGGGGCGAUUCCUCGCACCUGGAACGCCACACACUUGAAGUUGUACUAUAGUUAAGAGCUUUGUAAGUAAAGACAAACACAAAGGUCAUAUUACAAUAUCUUUGAUGAAACAGUUUGAAGGGGGCACUCUUUUUUCCCUAAGGAGGGUUUUUAAUGAGGCCACCCAAUAAAAGAAGAGUUUUCGAAGUAUAAGGUGUUUUCUGAUUGCAUGUUUGCUGAUUUCCAAAAGUUUUGAAGAAAGACCUUGUCACUUGUACGUGAUUUAAGGCAAGAAAAGACAUAUCGCAUGCUUUCUAAAAAGUUUUUAAGUCCUCAUCGUUUUUCGGCGAUUGGAGGCACCAGUUAAAGUUUUUAAGUCCUCAUCGUUUUUCGGCGAUUGGAGGCACCAGUUAAAGAUUUUAAGUCCUCAUCGUUUUUCUGCGAUUGGAGGCACCAGUUAAAGAUUUUAAGUCCUCAUCGUUUUUCGGCGAUUGGAGGCACCGGUUAAAGUUUUUAAAGUCCUCAUCGUUUUUCGGCGAUCGGAGGCACCAGAUGAAAGACCUCAACGCCCUCGCACGUUCUGAGGCAAGAUAAAGACCUCCUCGCCGUCGAGCGAGUGCAGGCGAGGAAGAGUAAAAGUCCUCCGUGUUUCUGGGGGCGAGAAGAUGUAACCCCUGGGGCAAUGUAGAGGCGAGAUAAAGACCUUCUCGCCGAUGAGCGAGUUCAGGCAAGAUAAAGACCUUCUCGCCGUGUCGGGAUAGGCUGUCAUUAGAUUACCAACAUAGGGCCAUUUCCCAGUAGCNNNNNNNNNNNNNNNNNNNNNNNNNNNNNNNNNNNNNNNNNNNNNNNNNNNNNNNNNNNNNNNNNNNNNNNNNNNNNNNNNNNNNNNNNNNNNNNNNNNNNNNNNNNNNNNNNNNNNNNNNNNNNNNNNNNNNNNNNNNNNNNNNNNNNNNNNNNNNNNNNNNNNNNNNNNNNNNNNNNNNNNNNNNNNNNNNNNNNNNNNNNNNNNNNNNNNNNNNNNNNNNNNNNNNNNNNNNNNNNNNNNNNNNNNNNNNNNNNNNNNNNNNNNNNNNNNNNNNNNNNNNNNNNNNNNNUGCUGUUUUCGGUUUUGAGGUGAAAGAGGUCGUCUGGAAGCCUCCUGGUUGAGCUCUCCACAGCUCUGGUUAUGAUCGACGGGAUAUCCUCUGCUAUGGUCUUCAGUUUAGCGGUUAGAGGCUCCCACAUUCUUGUGACCUCCAAAGGGAGGUUUGCUGCUUGGAGAGGCACCAGGUGGGCCUGUUGUGGGUUCUCGUCGCCACCUUCCUUGGCAGGUUCUUCAGUAGUUGCUUCCUGGCGUGGCGACGGAAUCGGGGAUUCGGUGAUCAGAAUCGGAGAGGUAUGAGCAACCUCAUCCCCGAUUGGAGCAUCUUCUUCAGCUGAGGCGUUUGAAGGGGGACCCCCUCCAGCUGACACAUAUGGUGUAGAGGCGCUUGGGGGGUCCUCCUGGAAGUUUGGCUCUUGGGCCUCAACUGCAGGUGGCGCGGUGGCCAGUGGGACCGCUUGGGCUGGAGAGGCAGGAGCCUGUGGGGGUGGCGAUGAUGGAGGAGGAGCAGGCGUCGAUGGUGGUGUUGAGGUUGGAAGAGGGGGUGGAGCAGGUGGUGAAGAAGGUGCCACCCUCUUCCUCUUUGUAACGAGGCCAUCCUCGGUGACCUCGUCAUCCUCUUCUUCCUCCUCAUGGAUGACUUGAGCGGCUUUCCUUUUAGGCCUUUUAAGAACCAGUUUUUUGCGUUGGGCGGGUUCCUUAGGUGGUGAUCGCCCGUGGACGAUAGCCUUCUCCACCACCGAGUUGGGCACUGUUUGCGAGCCCGUCGCCAAUCCAUGAUUUCGGGCGAGCGCCUUAAGUUCAGCGAGCAUGCCUUUGCCCAACAUGUCGUCUGCAUGGAACGAAAAUGCAUGGGUCAACUCAGGAAAAAAAAAAAACAAAUGCAUAAGGUAGUACACAGCAAAGCAGAUGAUAUGUGCAGGAAAGAUAAAAUCAAAGUCUUGCGCAUAAUGCGCAAGACGCCCAGAAACAGCUAAACAAAAGCAGUAUUAAAACGACAGUUUUUAAUGUUCUAACCUAUUCGAAUUUCUAGCUGGUCUUCGUAGAAUUCGAAGCAGAUCAAGGUGGUGGUAAGGAAAGUAAUGUUGGCAUCCGCCACCCUCUUCCAGAAGAGACAGAGAUCUCUGUCCAACGCUCCCAUGCUAUCAGGACUUCUGGGUCUCCUGAAGCAGCUUUUGGAUUCUUUCUUCCCCUUAUCCACCCAGUAUAAGGGGAAGCCGUCGAGUAGGGAUUCGUCCUUGUCGUUGGCGCGCACUUGGACGAACUUCCCUUUCCAAUCUUUAUACGAUUGCUGGAAGAUAGCAAAGAUGGACCUCCCAGCGAUCGCGUUCAAGCUAACCCAUAGGCGGUCUCCCGGGUGAUUNNNNNNNNNNNNNNNNNNNNNNNNNNNNNNNNNNNNNNNNNNNNNNNNNNNNNNNNNNNNNNNNNNNNNNNNNNNNNNNNNNNNNNNNNNNNNNNNNNNNNNNNNNNNNNNNNNNNNNNNNNNNNNNNNNNNNNNNNNNNNNNNNNNNNNNNNNNNNNNNNNNNNNNNNNNNNNNNNNNNNNNNNNNNNNNNNNNNNNNNNNNNNNNNNNNNNNNNNNNNNNNNNNNNNNNNNNNNNNNNNNNNNNNNNNNNNNNNNNNNNNNNNNNNNNNNNNNNNNNNNNNNNNNNNNNNNNNNNNNNNNNNNNNNNNNNNNNNNNNNNNNNNNNNNNNNNNNNNNNNNNNNNNNNNNNNNNNNNNNNNNNNNNNNNNNNNNNNNNNNNNNNNNNNNNNNNNNNNNNNNNNNNNNNNNNNNNNNNNNNNNNNNNNNNNNNNNNNNNNNNNNNNNNNNNNNNNNNNNNNNNNNNNNNNNNNNNNNNNNNNNNNNNNNNNUCUCAGCCUGCGAGGAUGAAGCGCCACGAACUUGUGGUGGGUCGUGUGCUUGUGAAGGGGGGUUUCGUUGCGAAGGGGGAGGAUUCGGGGUGAUCUUUGUACGAGUCAUUGUUGCAGCUGCAAAGGAAGAAGAAAAGGAAAAAUGAUCAGGGGUUACAGAGGCUGACUCGAUCAUAGAAGGAAGGUGAAAAACGAAGAAUGUAGGUUCGUUGCGACGAUUGACGAAGCCCUAAGUUACGCAGAAGGAAAAAUGGAAAAACAACCCACAGCGUAUGCACCAGGCAGUUACAGGAUGAUGCAAAUCGGUUAAAAUGCAAGGAAAACCAGCAGAAGAAGGAAAGUAGGUACCUUUUGAUGAUCAGGAAGACGAUGAAGGUUGAGGGUGAUUCAGAAUGCUGGAGAGCGCUGAGAGUUUUUUCGCAGAAGGAAGUUAGAGCGUUCGUGAAUGCGAGGGAAAGUGAUGGAACAGUGUUGGGUGAAAAUGGGUUUAAGGGUUUUUUCGAAAUGGGUUUAGGAAACGCAAACGGCAACUGAAGAGAGCCGUUGAUGAAGCCACGUGUCAAGCAAUGAGUGAGGGGUUUGGUGGAGCGUCAGAGCAGCAGAAGGUACAACCGCUUGGAAUUCUGCAUCAGUGCCACGUAGACCGGUGUUGACGUAACUUUUUCAGUCUUUUCGCUAGACAAGUCCUCGCUUAAGACUGGGGGGCUUGUGUACCGCCCUGGUAGUCGGGAGUGGUGACGUGGCAUCCUGCUACAGUAUAGGCGUGUUGGCAAGGCGCCAGGUUGGCAGGAGGGAAGGAAGUCGGGGGGUUCGUGUAGUCGCCAGUUGUUAAAUUGGCGUGUUCCGAUCUCCAGCUUAUCAGAAUAGGCGAUCACCAGGUUAAAGAUGAAGUCGCCAGAUGUAGUUUCAGGCGACCAAGCAGUUGGAGAUCGCCGGAGAAAGCACAUCGCCGAAGAGGAAGGAGAAGCAGAUUAUGAAGGCGGCCGGCGGGACCACAUGGAAGGUGUAUGAGGACACCCUAACUCGCCAGUUCCAGUAGAGAUCGCACUCCCAAGUUAGCUAUGCACUGGGCAGUACCAUGCAUAAGUAACUUAGCCAAAAUGAGAGUAGAAGCAGCGCCAAGUCAAGGAGGCUCCAGAUGAUGGCACGUGUACGACUGGAUGCGAGCCACGUGUCCAGGUCUGUAACUGCCAGGAGAGAGAAAACAACCAGGUAUAUAAGAGUUCUCAACAAACUUUCUGAGGUACGCACGUUCAGUUCAUACUCUUUACGCUUGCGAGUUCUAGAGCUGACUGUGAGAGAGGAUUUGCACGGUUCUUGUUCUCUUAGUAUUUGGUGAUACCGUCACUGACUUGAGCGUUGGAGUGCGAUCGGCCGCAGCGGCGCCGCUCUGUUUCUUCGCAGGUUCUUGAGGUAGAUCCCGAAGAGGAACGGAGGUGAGAAGCGGUGCGCACGUCGAUCCUUUGACGAGGUAGUUUCCAGCGUUCCGGUCAACAGGCAAGAUCAGUUUCAAUGGGGAUAGUGAUCCUAAUGUGUAUCUAGCCACUUUAGAAUUUUUAGAUUUUGCCAAAGAAUGGUGGCAUAAAAUUGUAAUGGACAUUAUAUAUCGCAAGAAACCUCCCGUGGUUUCUUGGAAUGCUUUGAAAGAGCGUAUGCGCGCGAGGUUUGUUCCUCCUUCUAGGAAGGAACACUUUUUGAAGUUCCAAAGGCUUCCUCAAGGCCAUAGGAUGGUAGAUGAAUACUUUAAAGAUUUUGAAACAACUUUGACUAAAAUGAAUAUACAUGCUAAUGAAGAGUCAAAGAUAAAAUGGUUUGUACGUGGUUUGAGAAGAGAUAUUAGAGAAUUUGUAGAAUUAAAUGAGUACUCUUCUUUAAAGAAAGUGUUUCGCAAAGCCAUCAAGGUGGACUCCUAUCUUUUGAAAACAACUUUCAAAAAUACUCAUGAUGAUGAUUUCUACAACUCUNNNNNNNNNNNNNNNNNNNNNNNNNNNNNNNNNNNNNNNNNNNNNNNNNNNNNNNNNNNNNNNNNNNNNNNNNNNNNNNNNNNNNNNNNNNNNNNNNNNNUAGGAAGGAUGCCAACAAAAUUUCUACUCAAAAUUCUCCUUCCAAUUUUUCCAAACAAACCUUGUUUCCAAAAAAAGUUUCUACUACAAAUCCUUCUACUCCUAAGUCACCUACCAAAACUUCAAAAAUCAAAUGUUUUAAAUGUUUAGGUUUUGGGCACAUAGCUCUUCAUUGUCCACAAAAGCAAAUCUUAAAGCUAAACAAGGUAAAACAAGACCUCACUCACCCACCUACCACAAGUAAAAAUGAAAAAGACAAAGAAGGCCAAAUUGACAUGGGUCUUAUACUUUCACAUCCAAGGUGUUUUCCUUCCUUAUCUUUUUCAUUACCAAAGGUUCUUACUUCACCACCAUCUUGGUUAAAAAAUGUUAGAGAUGAUUUUUUCAUACCUCCUAAUGGUUGUCACCAUUUAAGAGGACUUUUUUCCAAAAGAUAUCAUCAUUCCUAAACAAAUUUUUCCAACUUUGUCGUUUUAUAGAACCUCCUUUUCUGAAAUCCCAUUGUUUCCAAAUGCUAAGUCAUGUUUUCCUUUUUCUUCCACUUUUAAUUGUAAGAAUAAACUGACUUUGUUAUAUGCAGCGAUUCAGAAUUCGUGGACGAAUUCUCUCCAACUCGAGGAGUAUGAUGAGAAUCAAAUAAAGGAGGCUUUUAUUAAUGGAGGAAGAGGACAUCCACCCUCACAUUUGAAGUUCUUCCUUCUAGUCUUCUCAAAAUUAAAAGAAGACAUAAAAUAAAGAUGAGGCCCAAGCCCAAAGCCCAAGCCCAAGCCCAAGAAGGCCAAAGCCCAAAGAGCCCAAGUCCAUCCCAUGAGGGGCAAGGCCAAGCUUUGAAAUACUCUUGUAUAGUUUUAGGAGGUGUGGUUAUUAGAAAAUGUAAAAUAAAGUCACAUUGUCCAUGUGACUUAGGAGAGUGGUGGAGGUGUAGUUUUUAGGAGGUGUCAUAGUAGAAAAAGGUCACACCUCCCAUGUGACUUGUUUUUUGUGGAAAUUUCAAAUGAGUUUAUUUGAAUUUUCCCACCUAUUUUUCAGCACCUCUAGGCUAUAAAUAAAGGUGCUUAGCUUGUACAAUUCAGAUUAGAAUUUAGACUAAAGAAACUAUACUCAUUUUUUGAGAGAGCAUUGGAGAGCUUUGUGCCUUCUUCACUAGUCUUAUCUUGAUGGUUCCAUGGUUACCUCAAGUGGCGGCUUGCACACUUAUCUUGGAGUCUCCAUCCUCCUAGUGGCGUGACCAUCCAACUAUACAUCCAUCUCCAUGAGCUUUCUCUUCUCCUUCCUUCUUCCUCUUUAAUUGUUCAUUUCUUAGUUUGCUUCUUUGAAAUUUCUGUUCGGUGUUCUUGCUGUUUUGCUGUUUUUGGUUCGGUCCUUUGAGGUUUCUGUCCAUUCAUCUUGUUCCUUUGUUUUUCUAGCUCAUAUGUUCGGUUCAUUUCAAUUCUCAAGUAUUAUGUUCGGUGCAUUUGCCUUUUCUUCAACUUUAAUCGGUUCAAUUUGACAAUAAUUGGAACUUCCAUAUGAGUUUGUGUUUUGGCACUAAUUUUGGUGAGUUCUUGUUCAUAGAACCUUGAUCCAUUUCUAUGAUAAAGUGCCUAUCUCAUAACCAACUCAAGAUGAUUCCUAAGAAUGUCAAGAAUCAUUCUAGUUGUGAUAGUGGAAUCAUAUCACCCUUCCACCCUGUGAAGGAGUGCUGGAAGGGGGUUAGGAGGACCCUGCCGGGAACAUUGUUGAGGGUCACCCAAAGGUUGUUUCUUUGCCUCUUCACCUCAAAGAAGUGAAGAAAGACGUCAACAGAAGGUGCACACCCUAGGAAACCAAACAGUAUGUCGAAGGCUUUGACAAAGGCCCAACUCUUAGGGUACAGUUGGGCUGGUGCGGCAUUGAUCUCCGUUAACAGUUCCCUCUCGAACCCAGAGAAAGGCAAGCGCACGCCGACGCACUUAAAGACGACCUGAUAGAAGUAAAAAAAAGGGACCCCACUGUUAGCCCGCUCGUCCCCACACACCGGCUCCCCCAGGGUACAAGGGAGCACGGUGAUAUCAUCGUCGUGCCUUUUCACAAAGGCACGGUGAUCGUAGGAGAUAAGGUCCCCCACAUGGUCCCUCCAGGCUCUGACGGAGACUAGGCUCGAGCACUCGUCAAGAAGUUCGCGCGAAGCCCACGCAUAAAGAUCCUAAUGGUUAACUCUGGAGAAAGAAGGGUUGACAGACAUGUUAGCACGAGUUGUUAAUGAAGGAACUAAAAGACCAAAGAAGAAAGUUUCAACGGUAGUGCAGAAGGAAAAAGUCGACGAGGAAAGAAUGCAGGGAGGGUUCUUUGGAAAGAAGAUGAACAAUAUGAAAGGGAUGCGAAAAAGUGGAAACAAGGGGUUGAAGCGCGGGAUUUCGAAGAACUCAAGCAUUGCAACUAAAGUUCCAAGGAUGCUAACUGGGCACCGUGCGAUUGAGCCACAUGUCAGGAGAUUGGAGGACGACCCUCCGCGUCACUUUUUCUCGUUCAGAGAGUGUCAUAUCGACAGAGUCCCCGAGGGUACAACGCGCCGGCGAAGAAGAGAAUAUCGUGUCAAAGGCUCAGAAAGUGUCAAGAUCAAAUCGAGCAGGGGAACGUCCCAUCAGCAAUAUCGAAAAUGCCACAUGAAUAAUGAGCGAGACCUCAGUCUUUUCGCUGAGACAAGUGUCAGCUCAAGACUGGGGGGGCUUGUGCACCAUCCCGUCCCCGGGCGUUGACCAGAGUCAAAGUCAAAGUCAACGUCAAGGCCAAAGUCAACAAAUUGACUGCACCAGGCGUCGCCAAGACAAGGCGUCGCCAAGAUAGGGCGUCACCAAGCAAGUCAUCAGAAGUGUUACUCCCCGAUACCCAUGGGAAGGAAAGACCAUGGAGGGAGUGACCCCACGGGAGGCUUCAGGCCCGCCUAGUGCUUGGUGUUUUUAGACACCCGGAGGACGAUACGGCGCUGCUGUAAUAGGCCUCUCCUCAGGCGUGGGCACCAAGCACCAAGAGAUAAGGGACAAGUUGCCUUGGUGUUUGAGACACUCCAUGGACGAUACGACGUUGUUAUAUAGACCUCUCCAUGGGCAUGGGCACCAAAGCGCGACUUUGUCCCAAGUGUUUAGACACGCUAAGGGCACCCAGAGCAGGUCUCUCCUCGAGCGUGGACACUCAGUACAGAUGAGAUAAGCCCUCCUCGCCCUUGAGCGACGUCAAAGCCAGAGAAGAAACGAGACCCCUCCCCCUUUUUCCCAUCUUGAAGUGAUGGAAGAACCAGCUGUGCCUUAGCAGUAAGUGCCUGAGAGCUCGAAACAAGCAAGUAGAAAGCCAAUUGAGGGCUUUCAUGAGCCCAGAAGGCCGGGGAGACUCGAAGAAUAAGAAGAAGAAGAAGCGCGAAAGCGUGAGAUGCCAAAGGCAAGAAAAAUAUGAGAGCCAAGUGAGGAUCUAAGAGUAGAGAUAACAGUCCAAUGGCGUUCGGUUUCUCAGGAAUGAGCAAGCAAUAAAGUGGAGAUUAAUAGUGAAAGUAAAGCAUAGAUUGCGUUCCCAGUAAAUGUAUAAAAGUGUCAAGUGCUACAAACGUUGAGAUAUUUACAAGUCACAAAAGCAAAGGAAAAGACAAAAGGUAAAAAUGGAGGCUGAGGGCCUGCAGUUCAAUCAUCCAGAUCAAGAGGCACCACUUUUCCACCAACGAUGUGGCUGGCAGGGUCGCAGUUCGAGACGUUAAUCCCUGGGUUCUCGCAAGAUGCUUGAGCCAGGGCCUCCUUGAAGCCUUCAUCGAACACGCCCGCCAUCUUGUUGGUGAGCUCCUGGUUUGCCCUCUCCAGCUCGUCGAUCCUGGAAUCCUUGGACGCCAGCUGCUUGUCCAAGAACUCCUUCCCCACCUGGAACUUGUUGGCUUUAGUGUGGAGUCUCUUACACUCAGCUUGGAGAAGGUCGAGGGCCUCGACCUUUGCCGUCAGGGCACCCUCAGCCUCAGUCAGCUUCUGCCCCCGAGUAGCAUACAAUUCUUCAAGUUUUUUCUGCUGCACUUCGGAGGCAUGAACCACCUCUUGGAGGCCAAUGUUCUGGAUUUGGUGGAAGGUGAGGUGGGCCAGCAGGUCUGCAUACGCUUGUUCGACCUCAUGUGCGUAUGCUUCGGCCCCCUCUUUGGCCUCUUGGGUCAUCUUCAGUGAAGCUUGGUGGGCUUCCUCCCUAAGCCCCCAAGCCUGUUUCUCCUCCUUCAGUGCCCCUACCUCCUGUUUCAGCCUUUGGAAGGCCUGCCUCCCUGUUACAACGCUCUGGGCCUGGGAGCUCCAGUCGAGUGCUAUCGCCAGGAAGGCCCCCAUGUAGUAGGGCAUGCCUUCUCCCCUGUUGGGGUUUCCUGGCGACAUCCCCUCAGUGAAUCCCCGCGCCAACUGCCUGAAGACGGGGCGGGGGAUCAGAAUUUCGGGGGGAGAAGGAACAAGAGCAGGCGCGGGAGGGGCUGAACCUGAAGCUGCAGCUGCUUCAGGCAGUGGUAGUGGCGGAGGAACAGACUCAGCCCCUUCAUCUCUUUCUUCUUGGACUGUUUGAGGUGGAGGCGACGUGGCACUUGGAGGGCUGUCCCUUAGAGAAUCCACGCCACCUGGAGACGCGGUUGGUAGGGUAGGGACCCUAGUAGCCCUCCUCUUUUUGAAGACCAAGCCGCCAUCUGAGUCUUCGCUAUCAGAGGUUAUCUCCAGCACCCUCUUCCCUUUAUCUGGGGGUGCUGGAGCACAUGUUGACGCCGCGGCCAGUGGGACCGCAUCAAUGGGAGAGGGGGAGGUAGGAGUUUGUUAUGUUUGGGGAGAGGAUGGUGGAGAUGGUAAGGAAGUGACGGGCGCGGGGGAAGUAGUGGGAGGCACGUUGAGGGCGAGGGAGUCCCCACCUCCCUUGGCGGGUUUUAUUUGCUUCAAGGCCUUGGCGAGUGUGCGGCGCCUUGAAAAGUCCAUUAUCGAACCUGCAUCAGUCAGAAUAACCAAGCAAGGAUUAAUUCGGGUGAGGAAGAAUGAAAGCACAUGCAGGCAAACCACUGAAGUUCAAGCAAUUCAAGUAAGUUCACAUAACCUUAACGAUUCGAACAAUCCAAGCAUAUUGAAACAAGACCAAGUAAGUGCAAGCAAGUUCGAGCAGAUGUAAUCAAAAGCAAAUACCGAAAUAGGUGGAGAGGCCGUGAGCCUUGAACUCGUUGGCAAUGAGCUUGGCGGUGUCGAAGACUACCUCGAGCCCAGUCAAGGCCUUGCAUACCUCCCUGUCAGCGGAGGCAAGUUCAUCCAAGGCCUUGGGCUUGGUCGAUAGGAGCUUCUCUGACCAGUACAGGGGAAAGCCCUCCAGUGCAGUGGGAUCGAAUUUAGUGGCGCGCACCUUCAAGAACUUUCCCCUCCACCCCUUGAAUGAGUUUUGGAAGAGGGUGAGGAUGAUGCGGCCGGCGACGCCGGAGAAGCUCAUCCAAAGACUCUUGCCCUGCUUCUUCACCUCGAAGAAGUGAAGAAAGAUGUCCACGGAGGGGGGAAUGCCCAGGUACCCGCAUUGAAUUUGGAAGCCCUUACGAACGCCCAGCUGUUGGGGUGAAGCUGGGCAGGGGCAGUGUUAAUCUCGGUGAGUAACUCCCUUUCGAAAGGAGUAAGGGGAAGGCGCAAACCCACUCGCUUAAACACCAUUUGGAAGAUGAAGAAGAAAGGGCUUCCCCUAGUGGCCCUUUUGUCUACGCAAACGGGCUCCCCUGGCCUUGCACGACACACAAAGAUGUGGGAGUCGUGGGUCUUAUGGAACGCGUUGAAGUUGUAGAGUGUGGGGUCCCCCUUGUGGGCUUCAACGUCUUCGACGGAGGUUAAGGUGGAGCACUCCGCAAGAAGUUCAUCGGAGGCCCAGCGGUAUUCCUCUUUGUAGCUGGACCUGGGGGGCGGAGGAUUGGCGGUAGUCUUGUUUCGUGCCAUCAAAUCAAGAGCUGAAGAACGAAGGAAAAAGAAAGGGUUUAGUGAAAGGGGGAAUCGAAGAGGAGAAAGGGGGAAAAAGAGGAAGCCCUAGACCAACCCUAUCCACGCGAGAAAGAGAAUGACAAUGGGUGAACAGGGAAACACAAGAACAAUACAAGAGUACAAGAAGAUAAACAGUCCCAGGCAGUUCAUUAACACAUAGGGCAAUGCAGUAAAGAGGAAGAGUCAUUAAGGGGGAAAAAUCAUACCUUUGAGUAUUGGAGUGGUUGGAGAUGGAGAGUGUGCAGGAAGAACGAAGAUCGCAGAGAGUCUCGAGCGCUCAGAGAAAGAAGAUGAAUAGUGGAGUGCGAAAGAGAGUGAAUGGAACAGUGGCUUUGAGCGCAGGCUCUGGGGUAACUUAAACGUUACGAAGGAAGCCCAAAGGAUAUUAAAUCAGGACCGUUCGAUGAGUCCACGUGUCGCAGGAUCAUGCGCUCCCUGGGAGCGCAAGAGGCUUUGGAUGGUGACCGCGUGAUGGGCCACGUGGCGAGCGAUUAAGCAUGACCCAAAGCGUCACUUUUCCCGAUUCAGAGGAUGUCCCGUCAGCCAUUAAGAAGAUGUCAUGUCAACUGCUUAGGGAAUGUCACGUCAACUGUUCGGGGAAUGUCACGUCAGCAAGAAUGACAUGUCACCAGAGUGCCACGUGGAUGGCGUGGGCGAGGCCUUAGUCUUUUCGCUGAAGACAAGUCACCAGCUCAAGACUGGGGGGCUUGUGUACCGUCCCGUCCCCAGGCGUCGACCAGAGUCAAAGUCAAAGUCAACGUCAGGGCCAAGGUCAACAUAUGGUGGGACCACACGAAGGGCCCAAAGAAGGAAGUCAACAGAGUGACUACAUAAGGCGUCGCCAAGACAAGGUGUCGCCAAGACAAGGCGUCGCCAAGAUAAGGGCGUCGCCUAAACAAGGCGUCGCCAAGCAAGUCAUCAGCAGUGUUACUCCCCGAUACCCAUGGGUAGGAAAGACCAUGGAGGGUCGCAUGAGUUGGCACCCAAAAAGUCACCCCUUUGUGCCAGAUGCACUCAAGGAAUGAGGACUCACACGAUGAAAUAUCCCUAAAUUGGGUGACAGUGCUGUGAGGCCCUCCACGUAGAAUAACGGUCAAGUCAGGAGGACACGUGGUGGGAAGGACAGAAACAUCAAUGCUUUCCGGAUAGUUUGUCAGGUAUGAGGUAAUCAAUAUUAUGUAAUUAAGUUUACGUUUCGAACGCUUUAAGGUACUUUAAAUGCUUUACGUGUUUUGAACGUCUUAAAGGCGCCGAACGUUUUUACACCUUAAAUGCGCUUUAAGACGCUUUAAAUGCUAGAGACGUUUAAAGGGAGCUUUAGACGUUGGAAUCCUUUGGCAAAUUUUCCCCAGAACACACUCUAGUUGCUUGCUCGAGCCCUCAGGCUACGCACAAGGGACUAGAGAAGGAUUGUUUGCCAGAACCAGAAAAUAGCACACACUAUACAGUUCUUUACCACCUUCAGAGCGCCUUUCACGGUGCUCCGAUACGAAGGUGCAGAGUUUUGGUGUUUCUUGUUAGCUGACUUGAGCGUCGGAGUGCAAACGUCCGCUAGGACGCCCAUUUGUUCACUUCUUUGCAGGUGUUCACAGAUUACCAGAAAAGGGUGUCACUAGCAGACGGGCAAGGUUGCACAGAAAGACGUACCUAGGUCAACCGGCAGGAACACUAUGCAUACGCUUUCUCAUUCAUCUUCUAACUCGCAUGCAUGCUUAACUAAUAACUGAUAUUGCUUCAACUGGUACUCACGCCUUAGCUUGUUCAUACUUGCUUAACUUCGUUCUUAUAUAUUCCUUUCUGGUGCAGCCAUGGUGAUGACCCAAGAGAAACGGGCCAGGCUGACUGGGCUCUUGACCCGUGGUAGUACUGCAAACAAGGCAGGUCCCUCUGCGCCCCCUACCUCCGCCACCACGCCCCGGGUAGCUCCCAUGCCUACCACGCCAACAGCUGCUUCGCCUCGAGCAACCCCCACCCCGACUUCUCCAAGGGUUGCACCUGCUUCUACAGCUCCAAUCGAGGCUAUCCCUUUGGCCACGAUUAGAGCUGUUUCACCUCAAGCCCCUUUGAACGAAGGGGUGGUACACAUCGCUUCGGACGAUGAAGAAGAAUCUGUUGGGGGCCCUGCCUUCAAGAGGAGGAAAACAACGAUGGUGGCCACAUCCAACUCAUCCUCUGCAAGGCUUCCGCCAACCUUCAAGGCAAUCCCCCGAGCGCCUCCUCUCUUCUUGCUCUUGAGGAGGCGGUGGAGACCUCACCUGAACCCGCUCCUGCAGCCGCCCCUGAGCUCCCCAUCGCCGUCCAGCAUUUUCUAAAGGGCUAGCGGCAAGAGAGCGUGUUCUUCAGCCUCGGGGGCCAUACUGCACGUGCCCAAUCCUCCCUCCAACAAGCUGCAGAGAAAUGACAAGCCUUGGAGGACAAGGUGGCAAAACUGAAGGAGCAACUAACCCAGCAAAUUCGACGCUCCCUUGUCCAAGAGGACGCACUGAACGAAGAGUUGAGAGUGCUUUGGAAGGCUGAAUCUAUUUUUCUAAGGAAAGGUAUUAAUCAUACUGGACCCUAAACUAAAAGGGGUACCAUAUGUGCUGAAUCUGUUUUGCAAAAGAAUAGCAGGAAAAAUCAGUGGUAACUGGACAGUGGGUGCUCGAAACACAUGACAGGUGACUUGACUCAAUUUAUAAGCCUAAAACUCAAAGCUAAAGGACAUGUCACAUAUGGAGACAACAAUAGAGGAAGAAUUCUUGGAAGAGGAGAUGUUGGCACUAAAGACUCAACCACUAUUGAGAAUGUACUGUAUGUUGAAGGGCUAAAGCAUAGUCUUCUAAGCAUUAACCAACUGUGUGACAAGGGAUACAAGGUUAAUUUCGAAGCCAACACUUGUACAAUCUCAAAUGAAAUUUAUGGUAAGGUGCUUUUCACAGGAAAAAGGGUAAACAACAUCUAUCUCUUAGAUAUUAUGAAUAGUUGUUCUGAAAAUGAGUGUUUGUUAUCUAAAAGUGAUGAGUCCUGGUUGUGGCAUAGGAGGCUAGCUCAUAUCCAUACAAAUCAUUUGAAUAAGCUGAAAUCUAAGGAACUUGUCUCUGGUUUACCAAACAUAAAAUUUCAAAAUAACAGAUUGUGUGAUGCUUGUGUAAAGGGAAAACAGAUAAGAACUUCAUUUAAAUCUAAAGAUGUGGUUUCUACAAAUAAGGCCUUAGAUGUUUUACAUAUGGACUUGUUUGGACCAUCUAGGACUGCUAGCUUAGCUGGAAAUUACUAUGCUUUGGUGAUUGUUGAUGACUUUUCAAGAUAUACAUGGACUUUGUUUCUUGCUUCUAAAAAUGAUGCAUAUAAAGCCUUUACGAAACUAGCUAAGGUUCUGCAUAAUGAAAAUGAAAAUAGAAUAAAACAGAUUCGUAGUGAUCAUGGGGAAAAACAUGGGAUCACACAUAGUUAUUCUGCUCCUACGACACCCCAACAAAAUGGUGUAGUUGAAAGGAAGAAUAGGUCAUUAGAGGAGUUAGCUAGGACCAUGUUAAAUGAAUCUGGUUUACCUAAAUAUUUUUGGGCAGAUGCAAUAUACACUGCUUCUUAUGUGCUUAACAGAACCAUGAUUAGACCAAUUCUUAAGAAAACUCCCUAUGAAUUGUAUAAAGGUAGGAAGGCUAGCAUUAGUCAUCUUAGGGCUUUUGGCUGCAAAUGCUUUUUUCUAAAUAAUGGUAAAGACGAUCUGUGGAAAUUUGAUCCUAAAUCGGAUGAAGGAAUACAUAUUGGAUAUGCUAUAAAUGGACAUGCUUAUAGAGUGUAUAACAAAAGAUUGCUUGCAGUAGAAGAAUCUAUACAUGUUGUAUUUGAUGAAACAGAUUGUUCUGUGCCUAAAUCUGUUAUGGAUGAACCUGGUAUGGAUGAUUUAAGAACCAUUUUGCAAAAGAAUCAAUCUAGUUAGCUUGAUGCAACUAAUCCAAAUGUUGUCAAAGAAUCUAUUGUGAAUGCAGGAUUGCCUAAAGAAUGGAAGACACCCAGGGAUCUCACACUAGACAAUGUAAUUGGUAAAAUUGAGAAAGGAGUCUCAACAAGGAAUUCACUUAAUAAUUUCUGCAGAACAGUGGCCUUUGUUUCACAGAUUGAGCCUAAAAGUCUGGAAGAAGCACUACAAGACAACAAUUGGAUAACAACAAUGCAGGAAGAACUGAACCAGUUUGAAUACAAUGAAGUGUGGACCUUGGUUCCAAGAAGACAUGAGAUGAAUAUCAUAGGAACCAAAUGGGUGUACAGGAACAAGAUGGAUGAACAUGGGGCUAUCACUAGAAAUAAAGCAAGGUUGGUUGCUAAAGGCUAUAACCAAGAAGAGGGAAUAGAUUUUGGUGAAACCUAUGCACCAGUAGCACGUCUUGAAGCUGUCAGGUUACUCUUGGCAUUUUCCAGCAUACAAGGUUUCAAGCUGUUUCAAAUGGAUGUCAAGAGUGCAUUCUUAAAUGGUUACAUUAAUGAAGAGGUGUUUGUAUCUCAGCCUCCAGGGUUCGAAGAUCAUAAAAAUCCAGAGCUUGUGUACAUGCUCAAGAAGGCGUUAUAUGGAUUGAAGCAAGCACCUAUGGUAUGAGAGGCUAAGUGAGUUUCUGCUCUGUCAAGGAUAUAACCGUGACAAUUCUGAUAAAACUCUGUUCAUAAAGAAGAAAAGAGAAGACAUUAUACUUGUGCAAGUCUAUGUGGAUGAUAUUAUCUUUGGAUCCACAAAUGAAGAGAUGUGUGAAGACUUUGUGAAAACAAUGAAGAGUGAGUUUGAGAUGUCAAUGUUAGGGGAAAUGAAUUUCUUCCUUGGACUACAAGUGAAACAACUCAAGGAUGGAAUUUUCAUAAGUAAAGAAAAGUACUGCAAGGAGCUGCUUAAGAGGUUUGAUAUGGAUCAAUGCAAAGCAAUCAACACUCAUAUUUCAACAAGCUGCCAGCUGGAACAAGAUUGUGCAGGAAAAUCAGUGGAUCAAUCUAAGUACAGGGGUUUAAUUGGUUCGUUAUUAUACUUAAAUGCUAGCAGGCCUGACAUUAUGUUUGUUGUGUGCUUAUGUGCUAGAUAUCAAUCUAAUCCAAAGGAAUCACAUUACAAUGCAGCAAAGAGAAUUCUGAAAUACUUGCAAGGAUCUAAGGAUGUUGGACUAUGGCAUCCUAACAAUGUUUCUUUAAACUUAACUGGUUUUUCAGAUUCUGACUUUGCAGGUUGCAAGGUUGAUAGGAAAAGCACAAGUGGGACUUGUCACAUGCUUGGAUCAAGUCUGAUCUCUUGGCAUUGCAAGAAACAAGCCUGUGUUGCUCUCUCUACAACAGAGGCAGAAUACAUAGCUGCUGGAAGUUGUUGUGCUCAAACCUUAUGGCUAAGGCAACAGCUAAGUGACUUUGGGAUUCUAUUAAACAAGAUACCUAUAAAUUGUGAUAACACUAGUGCUAUAAAUCUGUCUAAGAAUCCUGUCAUGCAUUCAAGAACUAAACAUAUUGAAAUUAGACAUCACUUUCUAAGAGAACAUAUAGCUAAUGGAACUUGUGAUAUCAAAUUCAUUGGCACUGAAUUUCAAUUGGCUGAUCUUUUUACUAAACCUCUUGCUAAAGAUAGGUUUUAUUUUCUUCUAAAUGAAUUGGGCAUCAUUAGCUUAAAUUGUUCUCAGCUGUUAUUUUAUAUUUUAGCGUGUUCUCUCUCUGUUUCAGAAUCACAGUUGUGACUAGGAAAGAGAAAUAUUUACUUUUCUCUCUCUCUCUCUCUUUAUCUUUGACUGCUUUUAUGGUUAUUAACCAGCAGGUCUAUCACAAUUAUUAUGUGGGUAUUCUAACUGAUUGGAUACCGUGUAGGUGCAACAGAUUUGAUUUGCCAAGCUGAAAUCUGGUUCCAAUAUAUUCUUGCGUAAAUCAACAUCUGCACCUGCUGUACCACAAGAAUAAAAUCUGUAGCAUAUCUGAUUGAAUUGAUUUUUUUUUAAAACCCAUAAUUCUUCACACUAUCUCAUUCCUACUACAAUGUCCAGGUUCAAAACAUUUAUAGUAUUAAUUUCUAUUUUUCUUGAACAUGUGAAUUGUUACUGAUUCUCUCUCUAGCUGGGAUUGUCCAUUGAUAAACAGGUGCAUGUAACAACAGAUAGAGCAUGGCAUCCUCAUCACACAGAAAGAAGAAAUCCAACGGCAGCCAAGGCAUUCUGGAAAACUGAUUUGCUGGAGAUUCUGAAGCUAUGACAAAGUUCAUCCAUGAAAUAAGCAGAAAGCAAGUCAAUGUGCCCAAGGUGUUGGAAUUCUCUUGGUUGAGGGAAGAAAAUCUGACUGAAGCGAAAACCCUGCUCAAGCUUCAAAAGCUUAAAAACUUCUUAGAAAUAACUGGAAAUGUCUAUCCAGACCUGCUGAAAGUGUUCUACAGCAAUCUUGUUCAAGAUGGAAAAAAUCUGGUCUCCCAUGUGAAAGAAGUGAAGCUGAAAAUUACAAGGGAAAUAUGGAGCAAUGUGGGAGGAAUCAAGUAUUCAAGAAUGAAAGUUAGCAAAGGGAAUACUGCAGGAAUUCAAGGAUUCAACAAAAUGCAGUUUUAUACGAGCUGUGUUAGAAAUCCUGUUGAACCAGUGGCUAAAUUUCAUGCUGGUAAUCUGACCUUAAUUCCAAGACUCCUAGCCUACAUAAUUGCUUGGCAACUUACUCCUAGAGGAAGCAAUCAUGCUAUUCUCCAUGAAGAGGAUUUGAUUCUGUUAUACUGUAUAAUGAAUCAACUCAAGGUAAAUUGGGUAAGUACAAUGGUAGAGCAUAUGCUCAAAUCCACAAGGCUUCCCGAUUAUCGUUUUCCAUAUGCAGUUUUUGUAUCAAAACUAAUUGACUAUUUUGAAGUUGAUACUGCAAAUGAGAGAAAUGACACCAUUAAGGCAGCAAGUGAAAUAGACAACUCCACUCUCUUGAAAAUGGGGUUCCAAAAGGAGGAAGACAGCUGGAUUUUUAGAAGGAAUGCUGCAAAUAGAGCUGAAAAUGAAGCAGCUAAUCCAGGAGAUGAAGAAGAAGAAAAUGUUGAUGGUGUGCAGCACAUGGAUGAGUCACCAGUUCACUCUUUCGUAAAUGAGGAUGUUGCUGCUACAAGCCAAAUGAAUUGGUAGCAUAUCAGGAACCUGUGCAUAGAGGUGAACCCUUAUCCAUGUUCGAAAGGCAAGUUCUAAGCAGGAUGGAUACACUCACAUACGACCAAAAGGAAUAUGUACCGUCCCGUACCCGGGUGUUGACUAAGUCAAGGUCAAAGUCAAACACCAGGGGUCAAAGUCAACACAAGGCGUUGCCUAGGUGAAGAGACGCUAAGUGCCAGCGUCGCCAAGGCAAGGCGUCGCCUAGGUGCAGGCGUCGCCCAACUAGGGCGUCGUCGGAUCAAACAUUACUAAAGCAAGGCAAUAACAGUGUGGUUCCCCGAUACCCAUGGGUAGGAAAGACCAUGGAGGGAGCGACGCCGUGGGAAGGCCUCAGGUCCCGAUAAUCCGGGGCAGUGAUAAAGAGAAGGAAAAGGUGGCUUCAAGGCCAUAGUGAUAGCACCAGUGUAGGGCAGCCUGACUCGUGAAGUACCCCUGCCGCCCCAGAGACGCCUUUGGGACAGAUACGACUCAAGAGGAAGGUCACGCCCAGGGUAGCCGGGUGCAGGGUACGAGAGGAAGGCAGAUACGCUCUCAAAGUAAGUGACUAGAUGAUUGGGGGCAUGAGUUGGCACCCAAAAAGUCACCCCUUGCGCAGUAGCACUCCUAGGCAGGAGGACUCACACGUAGAAACGUCCCCAGAUGGGCAGAAACGCCCCCAGAUGGGUCAUGGUGUCGUGAGGUCCUCCAUGUGUACGACAGCCAGGUCAGAAUAGAAACACCCUUUAGUCAGGUACCGGGUAAUUAAAGUCACUCAAUACAGUUUCCGUUUCGAGCAUUCAGGUACUAUAAUGGCUCCCAAGCGUUUCAACGUCUUAAAUGCGCUACGUUUUCUAAUUAGACACGCUGAUUGAGUGCGUUACAUUUGUGAUUAAAGGCGCUUUAAAUGCUUGGGUAGUUUAAAUAGCGCGGAGAAUGUUGGGAAUGGGGUUCGAACUUUUGGCAAAUUUUCCAGAGACACUCUAGUUGCUUGCUCGAGCCUUGAGGUUAUGCACAAGGGACUAGGGAAAGAUUGUUUGCCAGAACGAGAAUAUACACACAAUACACAGUUCUUUUUACCACCUUCGGAGUGCCAUACGCGGUGCUCAGAUACGGAGGUGCACAGUUUUGGUGUUUCUUGCUGGCUGACUUGAGCGUCGGAGUGCAAACGGCCGCUAGGGCGCCCUUUUGUCCUCUUUUUGCAGGAAUCCACAGGUAACCAGUGGGAAGGAGUCCCUAGCUGACGGUUGAGGUCGUGCACGAAGACGUCCCAGUCCACCGGACGGAACAUUUAGCGCCCACCGUGGGGCCGAUAUAAAACAUUGGUCCCAUCGCAAGUUCGAGAAGUCUAUCAAGUCACGAUCACGUUUGAGGAAACAGUGAAGAAUGGCCACCACUAGACGAGGUACCGCACGCGCUGCGGGGGAAGAAAUGUCCAUGCAGCAGGUCCUGGAGAUAAUGCGGGGGCUGCAGGAUGAUAUGGCGAUUCGAAGAUAGAGCAAGAGCGCAUGCAGGCGGAUCUUGACGCCUCGCAUGUGAGAAACGACGAACUCCGUCGUGUGAAUGAGGAGUUGCGUCGAAGUCUGAGGGACCAUCAGGUGCAGCGCGAGAACGAAGAGGUCGAGCAUCUCACUCCACCAAGGGAGUUCUCUACUCCCUUCUCGGAGGAGAUCCUGAACGCUCCAAUCCCCAACACCUUCGCAAGGCCUAAGGCGAUUUUCACUAGGAUGGAGGACCCUGAGGCGCAUCUCACGGCGUUCCACACACAAAUGGUGUUAGUGGGCGGUUCUGACGCCGCAAGGUGCAAGCUUUUCAUGAGUACUUUGACGGGAAUGGCCAUGGAUUGGUUUGUCAGCCUCCCUAGCGGCCAUAUCACCUCGUUCCAACAGCUGUCCCAGUUGUUUAGAGAGCAAUACCUAGCGAACAGGGUCCCACCGCCGGUAUCUUACGAUCUGUUUGAUGUGAAGCAAUACCAAGGGGAAAGUUUGAAGGAGUAUAUCAAACGGUUCGGGUCCCAAGUGGUGAAAGUGAGCACGACGGAGGAGCCCAUGAUUGUGUAUGCCUUUAGGAAAGGCGUGUGCCCUGGUCCUUUUUGCGAAUCUAUUAUUCGCAACCGACCAAGGACUUUUGCUGAAAUACGGCGGUGGAGUAUAUCGCCUCCGAAGGAGAGGUGUGCGAGAAGCGCACCAGCGUGGUACCUUCGCGCCCGAGAGCGCAAACGUGGGCUCAUCCCGUCAGGGUCAAUGAGACCACGACGGGGAGGAAAAAGCCAGAGGGGAGACGCCCCUAUGAGAACAGGAAACCCCAGCCCAGGGGUCCAGCAGGUGGGGAUCGCCCAGUUAGAGAGAGGGCGAGACCGGCGAGGUACAGUUUUGUGGUGGAUUUGAAGGACCUGAUCGCCGUGCCUAAUAUAGCUGAGAGGCUGAGGCGACCGGCGAAAACUGACAAGGUGUUAGGGCCACGGAAAGACUCCUGGUGCGAGUUCCACGAGGCUUUCGGUCAUCACAUUGACAACUGCCUCUCGUUGGGUUAUCAGCUUGAUGAGCUGGUGAAGAGCGGGUUUCUGAAGGAUUACGUCGUAGAACCCGCCGCGACCGCCACCCUGCCGGCGCCAACAGAGGAGCAAGAACACGAGAUGCCUCUGCUUGGCGAGGUCCACACCAUUGCUGGAGGUUUCUCCGAUGGGGGACCCACCGCCUCCCAGCGGAAGAAAUACGCGAGGGGGGUCAAUUCAAUCGAAGAGAGAAUCUCGGGUGAGCCAUGGGAGUCGGAUCUCGUGUUCACGAGAGGAGAUCUCCGAGAUGUGGUACCCCACGACAACGACCCCGUUGUCAUCUCAGUCGUCACUGCCGGAAGAAAGGUGCAUAGGGUUCUGGUCGAUCAGGGAAGUUCAGCAGACGUCAUGUUCCUGUCGACAUUCAACAAGCUGUGAUUGUCCCCUGACCUUCUGAGGCCCUACACAGGCUGCCUAUAUGGGUUCGCAGACAACCAAGUGGAAGUCCGAGGCUACUUGGAACUGCGGACGACAUUCACAGAUGGGGAAGCCUCGCGCACCGAAAGCAUACGAUACUUGGUCGUGAACGCUCAUUUCGCCUACAACAUCUUGUUGGGGAGACCGGCGCUGAAUAGGCUCAAUGCGGUAUCCUCCACCCGUCAUAUGAAGAUGAAGCUGCCGGACCUUAGCGGCAAGGUCAUAGUUAUCAAGUCGGAUCAGGAGGAAGCGCGGAAGUGCUAUGAAAAUAGUUUAAAAUCGAAGAAGAGCGUGUUCAUGGUGUUUGAACGUCCGCCAAGUGUCGACGCGACGAUGAUAGAGGCAACGCCCUCCGGGUCAACACCUGUUGAAGCCACGCCCGAGGUAGAUACACUGAUGGAGGAGAGACCUGACGAUACGGCGCCCGUGGAAGAUGUGGCGCCCAUCCAGGGAAAUGGCGGAGAUCAACAGGCGGCUAACGCCGUGGAGAGGGAGAUUGGCGGCAAGACGUUUAAACUAGGGCGUCUGCUGGGCCAAGAAGAACAGGAGGCGGUGGCAGAGGUGAUCUCACGCCAUUUGGACGCCUUUGCGUGGUCUGCCUCGGACAUGCCUGGCAUCGAUCCUGAUUUCUUAUGCCACCACCUCAGCAUGGACGCCACGGUUCGCCCCGUGCGCCAAAGGAGGAGAAAGUUCAAUGAAGAGAGGCAGCUGGUGGUACGCGAAGAAACGCAAAAGCUAUUGAGAGCUGGCCACAUCAGGGAAAUCCAAUACCCCGAGUGGCUAGCCAACGUCGUUCUAGUAAAGAAGGCGAAUGGGAAGUGGAGGAUGUGCGUGGACUUCACAGACCUAAACAAGGUGUGCCCAAAGGACUCGUAUCCGCUGCCCAGCAUUGACGCGCUGGUAGAUAGCGCAUCCGGCAGCAAGGUGUUAAGUUUCCUAGAUGCUUUCUCGGGGUAUAACCAGAUUAAAAUGCACCCGAGAGACGAAAGCAAAACCGCAUUCAUGACGGAAACCAACAGUUAUUGUUACAAGGUGAUGCCUUUCGGCUUGAAGAAUGCGGGCGCCACCUACCAAAGGCUGAUGGACAAGGUCCUAGCAACUAUGUUAGGAAGAAACGUAUACGCCUAUGUGGAUGAUAUGGUAGUGGCGUCGAAGGAUAAGGCACAACAUGUGGCAGACCUGGAGGAAUUAUUCGUCACUAUAUCCAAGUACCGCCUCAAGCUAAACCCUGAAAAGUGUGUCUUCGGGGUAGAGGCCGGUAAGUUCUUGGGUUUUAUGCUCACAGAGGGGGGAUAGAGGCGAACCCCGACAAAUGCGCAGCGAUUAUCGCCAUGCGAAGCCCGACGUCGGUAAAGGAGGUGCAACAGCUGACAAAGCGGAUGGCGGCACUCUCAAGGUUUGUUUCCGCCGGAGGAGAGAAGGGGCACCCAUAUUUCCAGUGCCUCAAGAGAAACAGUCGCUUUGCAUGGACUGACGAAUGCGAAGCGGCUUUCAUUAAGUUAAAGGAGUACCUGGCGACGCCACCGGUCCUCUGCAAACCGGUAACAGGCGUGCCCCUCCGGCUAUAUUUUACUGUAAUAGAGCGGGCUAUCAGCUUUGUGUUAGUCCAGGAGCAGGACCAGAGUCAAAACCCCAUCUAUUUCGUGAGCAAGGCAUUACAAGGAGCUGAGACGAGAUACCAAGCGCUGGAGAAGGCAGCGUUAGCGGUGGUGUUUUCAUCCAGGAGGCUCCGUCAUUACUUCCACAGCACGGUGGUAGUGAUGACAAACCUCCCUAUACAGAAGGUGCUACAGAAGCCUGACGUGGCGGGAAGAAAGGUGCGCUGGGCGGUGGAACUGUCAGAAUUCGACGUUCAGUAUGAGCCUAGAGGAUCCAUCAAAGGGCAGGUAUACGCAGAUUUUAUAGCGGAACUCUCGCCCGGAGGAGAGCAGGAGGUGGAGGCAGGCUCGCAGUGGUCGCUCUCAGUGGACGGCUCUUCCAACCAGCAAGGAAGUGGUGCGGGAAUAGUCUUGGAAGGACCAGACGGUGUACUGAUCGAGCAGGCCCUGCGCUUCUCUUUCAAAGCCAGUAAUAAUCAGGCUGAGUAUGAAGCCCUGAUUGCAGGAAUGCUUUUAGCCAAAGAAAUGGGCGCGCAGAACCUCUUAGUGAAGAGUGACUCUCAACUGGUUACAGGGCAAGUGUUGGGUGAGUUUCAGGCGAAAGACCCGCAGAUGGCAGCAUAUUUAAGGUACGUUGAAUCGCUGAGGGGAGCCUUCAGUGCUCUUGAACUGGUACAUGUCCCAAGGGAGCAGAAUGCCAGAGCUAACCUGCUCGCCAAGCUGGCCAGCUUAGGCAAGGGGGGCAGGCAGAGGACUGUAAUCCAAGAGACGCUUAAGGCUCCGAGGAAAUUCAUAGAGGAUAACAGGGUGGAUGUCCUCCACGUAAGCGCCGCGAGAGGAAGGCCAAGGAGUCAUCGUUCCUUGACUCACAUUAGUGUAUGCACGGACACGCCCGAAGGAGGGAGGCGAGCGUUGAUACAUGUUUUAGCCGAAGGAGACACCUGGAUGACGCCAUACAGGCGGUACCUGGCGGAUGGGGUUCUCCCAGUGGAGCCUGAGGAAGGUAAGAAGGUUAAGAGAAAUGCGGCAAGGUACACCCUGAUAGACGGAGUGUUGUUCAGACACGGUUUCACUCACCCUAUCUUAACAUGCGUAAGCGACGACGAGUGUACCAGAAUAAUGGCGGAGCUCCACGAAGGCGUUUGUGGGAGCCAUGUAGGCGGAAGGUCCUUAGCUUCUAAGGUUGUGCGCGCAGGGUUUUAUUGGCCAACAAUAAAGGAAGAUUGCGUGCGACACGCCCAGCGUUGUAAGCAAUGCCAAAAACACGCAGACUGGCACAAGGCGCCGCCAGAGGAGCUGCGAUCCAUAUACAGCCCAUGGCCUUUCCAUACCUGGGGGAUCGACAUCCUAGGCCUGUUUCCGUUGGCUAUAAGGCAGAUGAAGUACUUGAUUGUCGCCAUCAAGUACUUCACCAAGUGGAUAGAGGCGGAGCCUGUGGCGCAGAUCACUACGCACAAAGUCCAACACUCUGUGUGGAAGAAUAUUGUGUGCCGUUUCGGCGUACCUAGGCGGCUGAUAUCCGAUAACGGAACCCAGUUCGCCAGUCAACAGUUGAGAAACCUAUGUGCUGAAGUAGGCAUCAAGCAGGUGUUCGCAUCAGUUGAACACCCCCAGACUAAUGGGCAGGUAGAGUCAGCAAACAGAGUUUUGCUGAGAGGGCUAAAGAGAAGGCUGGAAAAGGCCAAAGGAGCAUGGGCGGAGGAGGUGCCAAGGAUCGUGUGGGCAUACCACACCACGCCCCAAUCUUCCACCAUGGAGACGCCUUUCAGCCUGGUGUAUGGGUCGGACGCGAUGAUCCCAGUUGAAAUUCACGAAAGCUCACCACGUUUCCAAAACUUCGUGGCAUAAGAAUCCAACGAGAAAGGCGGGUGAACCUAGACCUACUGGACGAAGCCAGGGAGGAAGCCAGAAUAAAGGCUGAAGCAGUGAAGAGAAGAGUAGAGCGACAAUACAGCUCUAAGGUAAAGCCGCGGCAGUUUCAGAUUGGCGACCUAGUUAUGAGGAAGGCUCAUCCAUACGAGCUGGAGAAUAAGCUGUCUCCUAAGUGGACCGGACCCUUCAGAAUUACCGAGGCUAAGGGCAACGGGUCGUAUAACCUAGAGACCUUGGAGGGGGGUCCCAUCCCACGCAGCUGGAAUGCAGCCAACAUAAAAUUUUAUUUUAGUUGACUUAUGUAAGCAGCCAUGUAACAAUUUAGUUGAAGGGGACACUCUUUUUCCCUCUCGGGGGUUUUUUAAUGAGGUCACCCAAAUAAAAGAAAAAACCAUUUUGAGAAAAAGAAGUGCCUUGGUUUUCAGCUUUUAUCUUUCUCUGUUUGAAGUAAUGUGAGGCGUCGCCAAGAAAGAAGGCGUCGCCUAGGUGAAGGCGUCGCCUAUGUGAAGGCGUCGCCAAGGGAGAAGGCGUCGCCUAGGUGAAGACAUCGCCCGGAAAGAAGGUGUCGCCUGAAUGCAGGCGCCGUUGAGGAACAUGACGAAGGAAAAGCGCACAAUAUGCGAAACGUAUGCAAAGUAAAGCGGCGUUGUAAAAAAUCAAGUAUGAUAUAGAAAAGUUGAUGUUACAAGCAAUGUUCGAUACAAUGGGAGUAGCGCAAAUGGGGCAAAUAUUACAGAUCAUGCAAAAACACGAACGAGCCACUUCUCAGUGGCCAUCGGAGUCAGCACUGGAGGAAGGCGAAGCCCCGAUCCCAGCCCGCAGAGCUCGAGUGAGUCGUGUCCUCCUCUCUUGGUUUAUUUUCGAACCUGCACCAAGGGAGAUGAAUGUGUCAGAGGCACCAUGACGCAAAACAAGCACAGAUAGAAAGCGAUAAAGGCGGAAGUCUCUAGGGCAGUGACUCAUACCUAUAUACUUUUCGAGAGUUCCAGCGCUGAACUCCAAGCUGAUCAAAGUGGCAAAGUCAAAACUUCCCGCCUCAACAAGAAUCCGGCAAGCUAUUUGAUCACUUGGAGCCAGCUUCUUGAAGGGUUUGGUUUUGAGGGCCCUCGCCUCUCUCACCCAGUACAGAGGAAAACCAUCCAGAGCGGUGGGAACGAGGUCAGUGCAGCAAAUCUUGAAGAACCGGCCUUUCCACCCGGUGAAUGAGUUUUGGAAGGGGGUUAGGAGAACUCUCCCAGGAACGUUGCUGAGAGUUGCCCAGAGGUUGAGCCUUUGCCUCUUCACCUCAAAGAAGUGAAGAAAGAGGUCAACCGAGGGUGCACAACCCAGAAACCCGAAGAGGAUGUCAAAGGCUGUGACAAAGGCCCAGCUGUUGGGGUAUAACUGGGCCAGAGCGGCAUUGAUCUCCGUCAGCAGUUCCUUCUCGAACCGGAAGAAGGGCAGGCGCACGCUGAUGGUCUUGAAAACCACCUGGUAAAAGUAGAAGAAGGGGACCCCUCCGUUGGCCCGAUCGUCUCCAUAUACUGGCUCCCCUAGAGUGCAAGGGAGCACAACAAUGUCGUCGUCAUGCUUCCUCGCGAAGGCACGGUGAUCAUAGGAACAUGAAUCCCCUUUGUGUUCCCUUAUGGCCCUGGUGGCGACUAAGCAUGAGCAUUCGUCGAGAAGCUCACUCGAAGCCCAAGGGUAUAGGUCCUUGGGAUUGACCCUGGGGGAGGUAGCAUGAGAGGACAUUCUUUAACAAGAAUAGGGAUUGUCGAAGGCGCAUGGCCCGCCGGUAGUCGAGCGAUGGUGGGAGCGAGCACCGGAAGAGCCCUUCGCGAGAGGAGGAAGGGUGCAAGAAGAGAGAGUGUAAGUAGGUUAUGAAGAGCGCAGAAAUGAUGAGAACAGUUUCAGAGUUUGAAGAGUUAAAUAAAGCGGUUAGAGCGCCAAACGACGCAAGUAGAACUAUGGCAGUUAGAGCAUUGAACGACGCGAAUGGAUGCACCGCACGAUCGAGCCACGUGGCAGCAGAUGGAAGGGUGGCCCUGACAUCCCUGGUUAAACUCAGAACACGUCGUAUCGAUAGAAUGCCCAGUGGUACGAUGCGCCGUCGAAAGUGGAUCAGGGGCACAGUAGGAGUCAGGAUCAAAUCGAAUGACUGAACGUCCCAUCAGCCAUACAAGGAGCGCCACGUGGACCAAGUCGAAUGACUGAACGUCCCAUCAGCCAUACAAGAAGCGCCACGUGGAUGGCACGGGGAGAACCUUGAGCUCUUCGCUGUCCCCAGGCGUCGACCAAGGCCAAGGUCAAAGUCAAUGUCAAGGUAAGGACGACGCCCAAGGCGACGCCAGCAUGAGACGCCUGAGGCGUCGCCUGGAAGGACAUAAAGGGCGACGCCAGCGUGAGACGUCGCGGGCGUCGCCAACCAAAAUAUCAGCGAGGUUGCCUCCCCGAUACCCACAGGUAGGAAAGACUGUGGAGGGGAAUGAGACCGCCAAAACGCCAGUGAAUCACUGACAGGGCGUUCCCCGAUACCUAUGAGAAGGAAAGACCAUAGAGGGAACGACCCCCCCCCUCCAAAGCAUUCGGCGUUUUAGACACCCGAGGACGAUAAGGCGCUGCUGUAGCAGGCCUCUCCUUAGACGUGGGCGUCGGGCGUUAAGGGUCAAGGAAAGGACCGUUUGGGUGUUAGAGACACCCCGUGGACGAUACGGCUCCACUAGGUGAGCCACUCCAUAGGCGUGGGCACUGGCGCGUGACCUUUCCCGAGCACACAACGAAGUGAAAGAAGCGGGUAUAAUACGAGCAAAACAACCGAAGCACGCGGAGGCAAAGAAUGAGAAUAAAAUCACACAGGCAGAAUUCUAUGUCGCGAGGACACGAAAGUAAUCAUAACAAAAUCCCAGAGUUGUAGCAAGAGUGUAGACAAUUCAAAGAAUUACAAAUUUAUCAGAGGAGGUUAAAACAAGUAUAAAGGAAUGGGCUGAUGAUCGAGGGUGGCGGCUCAAUCGUCUAUCUCCAGAGGCACGACCUUUCCAUCGACAAUGUGGUGAGUGGAAUCGCAGCUGGGAAUGUCGAUCCCCGGGUUCGUGCAGACUGCUUGAGCCAAAGCUUCUUGGAAUCCCUCCUCGAAAGUACCCGCCAUCUCCUGGAUGAGGGUCUUCUUGUCCUUCUCUAGUUCUCCAAUGAUGGUGUCCCCGGAAGCCACCUGUUUCUCCAAAGCCUCCUUCUCCACGCGGAGUCGGUUGACCUCGAUUUGCAGUUUGUCGUAGUUCGCCCGGAGAAGGCCCAUAGCUUGGGUCUGGGACGCCAUUUCACCUUCCAUCCGCUCCAUUGCGCCAGUUUGCUCACAGCAGCGGGCCUUCAAGUCCUUUUGAACUUUUUCGUAAGCUUCGACUAUGUUUUGAAGGCUCGUCACCUGAACUUUGAGGGCGACUUCCCGGGCGUAGAAGUCAGACUGGAGCUCCAACGCCUCUGCCAGUUGUCCCUCAGCCUCUGCUUUGGACUCUUGCGCCUGCUUCAGGGAGGUUUCGUAAGCUUUGUUCUGGCAUCCCAGGGUUUUCUUUUCCUCCUCCAGAGCAGUUACCCUUGUUUCCAAGGCCUGGAGGGUUUGAGUUUGCAGGACAGCAUUCCUGGCCUGGGCGCGCCAUUCAAAGGCCACCGCCAAGAAGGCUCCCAAGUAGAAAGGCAUGCCUUCCUUCCUAUCGGUGCCCUCUGGCAUAGUUCCGCCACUGAAGCCCCUCAUCAGAUGCAUGAUUGGAGGAGGGAUGGCGAUGAGAUCGGGGGCGGCAGCGACGGGAGCAGGGGAAGCAGAGACUUCUACCGGUGGCGGGGGCGGGGCAAACUCGGCACCUUCGCCCCCUUCCUCUUGGACUGUUGUGGGUGGAAGUGAGGUCGCGCUUGGAGGGUCAUCCAUGAAGGGAUUCCCUCCCUGGGGCGACGCCUCUAGCAGAAGAGGAACCCGCGCAGAUUUUCUCCUCUUGAAGGGUGCCACACCUUCCGAGUCCUCGUCAUCCGAUAAAAUCUCCAAGACCCGUUUCCCUUUGUCAAGGGGGGUUGGAGCCGGCGACGAGGCCGCGGCUAGGGGAACGGCGGCGAUGGGCAGAGGAGAGCCGGGAGUCUGAAGCGCCUCGGGGCUAUGUGGAGAUGACGGAGAUGAGCUUAGGGGGGCUUCGGUGGUGAUCGGUGGUGGCGGUAACAGAGUUGGUGGGGGGAUCGGAUCAGCAACAGUGGUGGAGGAGGCGCCCGCCUUAGCGGCACGAGCUUCCUUCAUUGCUUUCACUAGCAUCAUCCUUUUGGAGGCGUCCAUCACCGAUCCUACAUCAAAACAGACCAAACAGCAGAAAUUAGGGCCAAAGCAACUAUGCAAAAUUACAAAGCGCAUAAAUGCGUGAGAUGCAAGUAGCAUGGGACCAUGGAAAACAGGGGGAGAAAGCAGUGGGAACAAACAUCCGGUAGCAGGGUGUUCACAGCAAAGGGGACGAGGGAAAAGUCUCCUUACCAAAGUAUGUUGUCAGGGCGUGAGCAUUGUAUUCGCUAGCAACAAGCUUCAAAGUAUCAAAAACGAUCCCCAGCCCAGCCAAGGCCUUGCUUACCUCCCUGUCAGCAGGAGAUAGCUCUUCCAGGGCUUUGGCCCUAAGCAGCUUAGGGCGCUCCGUCCAAUAGAGAGGAAAGCCAUCCAAGGCUGUGGGGUUGUGCUUGGCGCUGCACACUCUAAAGAAUUUCCCUUUCCAGUUCUUGUAAGAGUUUUGGAAGAGGGAGAGGAGGAUCCUACCCGCGAUCCCGGAAAAGCUUACCCAGAAGCUUUUCCCCUGCUUCUUCACUUCGAAGAAAUGCAGGAAAACGUCUACGGAGCGAAUGAUGCCCAGGUGCCCGCAGAGAAUUUGAAAACCCCUUACGAAUGCCCACCUGUUGGGGUGGAGCUGGGCGGGGGCGGUAUUGAUUUCGGUGAGGAGUUCCCGUUCAAAGGGGGUGAAUGGGAGACGCACCCCUAUGCGUUUAAACACCGUCUGGUACAUAAAGAAGAAGGGGUUCCCCUUUCUAGGUCUGUCGUCCACGCAGACAGGUUCCCCAGGCCUGCCGGGACGGACGGAUAUGUGAGCGUCGUGAGUGCGGCAGAAAGCGUUAAAGUUAUACAAAUGGGGAUCCCCACGGUGAGCUUCCAGGUCCUGGAAGGUAGUCAGGCUCGUACACUCGUUCAAGAGCUCGUCGGGGGCCCAUGGGUAGUAGGCUUUGUAGUUGGACUUGGGGGUCUUGGGGGAGGAAUCAGACUCCGCGUUCGUGCGCGUCAUGGUGUGAAUAAAUAGCUGGAGAAAGAAGAGAGGAAAAAGGUUUUAACAAGUGUAGCCAUGACAGGAAGGGGAGUGAACCCCAGGAAACACCACCCACGCGAGAAAACGCAGAAAGAAGAAGAAGGGAGCAGAGAAGGAAGGAGAAGCGGAAGAACGCAGUAAUGCAUUAAUGUCAAUAGUCCCAGGCAGUUCAAUAAAUCAUACAAUGCGAUGAAAGGGAAGAGUCAUGAAUAUUCGAAAAUCAUACCUUUGCUGUCAAAGUGAAGGCGGAAGAAGAGCACAGGAGGGAGAGAACAGCAAUUGCAGAGAAAAGGGGUUUGAAGGCGAUGAACAGUGCAGAGACGCAGAGGGAAUGAAUGUAACAGUGGGGUGAGCGCGGGGUUUGGGGGUAACUUGAACGUUACAUUUGCAACCCAUGGGGCGCUAACUAAGAGCCGUGAGAUCGUGCCACGUGUCAAAGGAUCAAUCGCCCAAGGGAAACGCAAGGGUCUCUAGAGGCUGGCCGUGCGAUGGGCUACGUGGCGCGCGAUCAAGGGUAGCCCCAAAAGGUGUUAUUCUCCCCGUUUCAGAGGAUGUCCAAUCAGUCAUUAAGAGCGCUCCUAUGGUUCAGAGAGUAUCACGUCAAUGAUUCGAGAAUUGUUGAGUAAGCAGGGAGCGACACAUCAUCAGGGUGGCACGUGAACGGCGUGGGCGAGGCCUUAGUCUUUACGCUGAAGACAAGUCUUCGGCUUAAGACUGGGGGGCUUGUGUACCGUCCCGUACCCGGGCGUUGACUAAGUCAAGGUCAAAGUCAAACACCAGGGGUCAAAGUCAACACAAGGCGUUGCCUAGGUGAAGAGACGCUAAGUGCCAGCGUCGUCGGAUCAAACAUUACUAAAGCAAGGCAAUCACAGUGUGGUUCCCCGAUACCCAUGGGUAGGAAAGACCAUGGAGGGAGCGACGCCGUGGGAAGGCCUCAGGUCCCGAUAAUCCGGGGCAGUGAUAAAGAGAAGGAAAAGGUGGCUUCAAGGCCAUAGUGAUAGCACCAGUGUAGGGCAGCCUGACUCGUGAAGUACCCCUGCCGCCCCAGAGACGCCUUUGGGACAGAUACGACUCAAGAGGAAGGUCACGCCCAGGGUAGCCGGGUGCAGGGUACGAGAGGAAGGCAGAUACGCUCUCAAAGUAAGUGACUAGAUGAUUGGGGGCAUGAGUUGGCACCCAAAAAGUCACCCCUUGCGCAGUAGCACUCCCAGGCAGGAGGACUCACACGUAGAAACGUCCCCAGAUGGGCAGAAACGCCCCCAGAUGGGUCAUGGUGUCAUGAGGUCCUCCACGUGUACGACAACCAGGUCAGAAUAGAAACACCCUUUAGUCAGGUACCGGGUAAUUAAAGUCACUCAAUAUAGUUUCCGUUUCGAGCAUUCAGGUACUAUAAUGGCUCCCAAGCGUUUCAACGUCUUAAAUGCGCUACGUUUUUUAAUUAGACACGCUGAUUGAGUGCGUUACAUUUGUGAUUAAAGGCGCUUUAAAUGCUUGGGUAGUUUAAAUAGCGCGGAGAAUGUUGGGAACGGGGUUCGAACUUUUGGCAAAUUUUCCAGAGACACUCUAGUUGCUUGCUCGAGCCUUGAGGUUACGCACAAGGGACUAGGGAAAGAUUGUUUUCCAGAACGAGAAUAUACACACAAUACACAGUUCUUUUUACCACCUUCGGAGUGCCAUACGCGGUGCUCAGAUACGGAGGUGCACAGUUUUGGUGUUUCUUGCUGGCUGACUUGAGCGUCGGAGUGCAAACGGCCGCUAGGGCGCCCUUUUGUCCUCUUUUUGUAGGAAUCCACAGGUAACCAGUGGGAAGGAGUCCCUAGCUGACGGUUGAGGUCGCGCACGAAGACGUCCCAGUCCACCGGACGGAACAGAAUACUAUGAGAUGACUCAAGCCAGGUUUCAACACUUGGAUGACCAAAUUGAAGGAGUUCAGUUUGUUAUUACAGUUAAGCUGAGCUGGCAGUUUUGUUAACAUUUAACCUGUUGUUUUUAGAAUCAAUCUGUUAUUUCUUUAACUGCUCUGAAACUGUUUUUAAAAAGUGGUUAGAAAUUGUUCUCUAUAAAAUAAAAUGCCCUUAUCACGUGAAGGGAUGCUGAACAAUCACAGUUUUGACAGAGAUACAACAUUUCGUGUGUGAAAAAGAGAAUUGAAAAGGUUUUGCAAAGGUUUUUCAAAAGAGAAAUACAUGUGAGCUUGUUCUUGAAGAACCUUGUGCUGGUUGAAGGUGUUGGUACUGUCUUGGAGCAAAUAGAACAACUGGUUUAUGUUCUUGCAACACAGUUUCAGGUGUAAUCUUUCCCUUAUUGGUUCUUGUAAUAGGUAUAAGUGUUAGUCACUCCUUGAUAAUGUUUCUUGGAGUGUAAGGCAUGCUGAAAUAGUGUUUUUCAGCCUUGGUUGUUGAAGUUCUUGAAGGGUUCAAGAAUUGUUGUGUAUGCUGUAAUUGAUUGUAUCUGUUUUAGUGGAUUCCACCUUGGAGUAAGGUGAACUGGACGUAGCUCUUGAUGAGUGAACCAGUAUAAAAAUUCUCUUGUGUUUCUCUUCUCAUCCCUGCUCUUAAUUCUGAGUUUUCACAUAAUCUGUCAAUAAAGGAAUCUGUUCUUUUGAAUCUAAAAUCUGUUAACUCUGGACCUGACUAAAUCUGCCAUUCUAGCUUGUUAAUCAAUCUUCUAAACAUAAAUCAAGUUGCUGUGUGAAUCUGUAAUAUGGCAAAAGGGUGAAUUGUUUUCCUUGACUAAACUAUGACAUUUGUCCAUUACUUUAGAUGCUUUGUGUUAAGUAAAAUUGAUUAAUCAUGUGCUACAAACUGCAACUUUAUAAUUUGGGAAAGUUAAUCAAUUUGUUUCUGUUAUUUCUGCUGGAUGAUCUAAACCUUGUUGAUCAAGUUCUGUUUGUGCUAAAGUCAUUUGUAAAAACAAUAUGUUUCGUUUAAAAUAAAUUUGUUCUUUUCACCUCUGUUACACUGUAAAUCAGCUUCUUUUGCGAAAAUUUGAUAAGCUCAAUUCACCCCUCCCCUCUUGAACUUAGACACUGUUUAACUCUAACAAGUGUGUCUAGACACUGGGACAAAGUUGCACUUGGUGCCCACGCUCGAGGAAAGGCCUGCUGGAAGCAGUGCCGUAUCGUUCCCGGUGUGUCUAAACACCAAGGCAACUAGCCCUUAUCUCUUGCACUUGGUGCCCACGCCCGAGGAGAGGCCUGCUAGGAAGCAGUGUCGUUUCGUCCCCGGUGUGUCUAAACACGAAGAUGACCAGAGACUUGGCAUUUACGCCCAAGGAGAAGGCUUCCCGAAGGAUAGCGCUUCUCCUAUCUGGCGUGUAUCUGCACAAGGCACCUGGUUCUCCACUGCUCCGAACUUCCUUUCUGCCUGAUGCCCACGCUCGAAGGAAGCGCCCCUCGCCACUUCCUUGCGAGGUGUCUAAACAUCAGGGCGACCAAGGGCUUGUCGCUCUCACCUGGGGAGAAGGCGUUCCGAAGGAAUCCGUUAACUCCUGCCCAGGGACAAGACGCCCAGAUUUUAACUGGGUUAUACUUACCUUUCGCACUCGACGCCCACGCCUGAAGAGUGUGCUCCCCGCCACUCCCCUUCGGGUUGUCUAAACGUUCGAGGCGGUUUAUGCGCUUGGUGCCCACGCCCAGAGGAGACAUCUGCACCACUCCUGCUGAGGUGUCUAAACACCAAGGCGACGGGUUUGUUUCUCACUGAACCGCGUCAUUCCUUCUCAGCGUUUCUUUACAUCGUAAUAAAGACUUAAGACAAUGUAUGCUCAAACUGAUUUUUACUUGGGUGACCUCGUUAAAAAACCCCCGAAAGGGAAAAAGAGUGUCCCCUUAAACUGUACACCACAUAGAGUUUUUAACUGAAAUAAAACUUCAAGUUUACCGCGUUCCAAGUGCGCGGGAUGGGGCCUCCCUCUAGAGUCUCAAGCUUAUAUGACCCAUUCCCCCGCGCCUCCUCCGUGGGCACUGCCUCCGUGGGCGUUUCCUCCACGGGCUCUACCUCCAUGGGCAUUUCCGCUCUGGGUGGGCGCUCCACCACCAUAAACACGCCUCUCUUCGUUUUCAGGCUAUUUUCAUAGCACUUUUUCGCUUCCUGCUGAUCGAACUUGAUCACGAUCACUCUGCCACUGAGAUCGGGUAGCUUCAGCUUCAUGUGUCGUGUCGACGACACCCCCCUCAAUCUGUUCAAAGCUGGCCUCCCCAGCAAAAUGUUGUACAUCGAAUUGGCGUUCACAACUAGAUACCUUAUGUUCUCGGUGGGCGACGCCGUGCCAUCCGUGAAAGUCGUCCUCAGCUCUAGAUAGCCGCGCACCUCACUUGGUACCCUACGAAGCCAUACAAGCACCCUGUAUAUGGCCUCAGCAGAUCAGGGGACACCUGCAACUUAUUGAACGUGGACUAGAACAUUAUGUCCGCUGAGCUGCCCUGGUCCACGAGCACGCGGUGCACCUUCCUCCCUGCAGUUACGACUAAAAUCACCACAGAGUCAUUAUCGUGGGGGACAACAUCGUGAAGAUCAGCCCUCGUGAACGCAAGAUCAAUGUCCAGCGAGUCGUCCGCCCCCUGCUCAGCCAUCGAAUUCAUUGACCGCACGUACCUCUUGCGUUGAAAGGCAGUGCAUCCUCCGCCUGAAAAACCACCAGAAAUGGUGUGAACCUCCCCAUGGAUAGGCAUCUCAUGGGCUUGGUCUUCUACUGGCGCCGCCAAGGCCGCAGCUCCGGAUGACCCCACUAGAUAAUCUUUCAAGAACCCGCUCUUCACUAGCUCGUCCAACUGAUAGCCCAUAGCUAGGCAGUUGGUGAUGGAGUGCCCGAACGCCUGAUGGAACUCACACCAUGCGUCCUUGUGUGGUCCCAACACCUUGUUUGUCUUCGCAUGGACUCUCAACCUAUCUGCAAUGUUGCGCACGGCAAUGAGGUCCUUCAUCUCCACCAUAAAGUCGUGCCUAAUCGGUUGGUUCUCCCCUGAGCGCCCCCUGGCUUGCGAUUUCCUCGCCUCGUAGGGGCGUUUCCUCUCUUUGUAAGGGCGCUUCCUCUCUUGGCUCCUCCUCCCUGUCGUGGCUUCAUUCACCCUGGAGGGCUGUGCACGUGACUUUGCUCUAGGGUGUGUGGGUGCGACACUUGCACGUUUCUCGCACACCUAACCUUCUGUUGCGAUGUGCUCCACCGCGCGACACCUGAUUUCAGCGAAAGUUCUGGGGCGAUUCCUGAUGAUCGACUCGCAGAAUGGCCCAGGGCAGAUCCCCUUCCUGAACGCAUACACGAUCAUUGGCUCUUCCAUGGUGCCAACCUUCACCACUUGCGCGCCAAAACGGUUGAUGUACUCUUUCAACAUCUCCCCCUGAUACUGCUUCACGUCGAAGAGGUCAUACGACACUGGCGGGGGAGCCCGAUUCGCGAUAUACUGCUCCCUGAACAGCUGUGAAAGCUGCGCAAAGGAGGUCACGUGACCAUCUGGAAGGCUAAUGAACCAGUCCAUUGCCAUCCCUGUCAACGUGCUCAUGAAGAGUUUGCACCUCACGGCGUCAGAACCGCCGACAAGCAUCAUCUGCGUGUGGAACGCAGUGAGGUGCGCCUCUGGAUCUUCCAUUCCUGUGAACGUGACCUUUGGACCCACAAACGUGGGUGGAAUCACAGCCUCCAUGAUAGACUGUGAGAAUGGCAUAGGAAACUCCCUAGGUGGUGUAAAACACUCGCGAUCCUCUGUUUCGUGAUUCCCAGGGUGGUUGCGCAACCCGCGGCGCAACUUUUCGUUCGCGCGUCACAACUCUUCAUUUCUUGCCUGCGACACUGCAAGAUCCAGCUGAAUGCGUUCUUGCUCCACUUUCGACGCCGCCAUCGCCUCUUGAAGGCCUUACAUCCCCUUCAUGACCUGCUGCAAGGUCAUGCCAUCACUCUCUUCGCGCGUCGUUGAACUCUGCCUCUUAGUCCUCAUUCUUCAUAGUUUCUUGGAGAAUCUUGAACUGUUUCUGCAAAUCUUGGAACUUUCUUCGGUGGAACUGAACGAAACUUGAAGAUUAUCGACGAAUCUUGCAAGAAUCUUGAAAAAUCUCCACAAACCUCGCUGUCGCUACUGAAACUCAAACUACUUGCGGUGGGACUGCUGUUUUAGUUCGGCCCCAUGGUGGGCGCCGAAUGUUCCUGCCGGUUCACCAGAUUGUUCUUCGUGCGUGGCUUCAAGCUGCGUAUCUAGGACUCCUUCGUCUUCGUUCCAAAUCUAAGUUACUUAUGCAUGGUACUGCCCAGUGCAUAGCUAACUUGGGAGUGCGAUCUCUACUGGAAUUGGCGAGUUAGGGCGCUCUCGUACACCUUCCCUGUGGUCUCGCCGGCCGCCUUCAUAAUCUGCAUCACCUUCAUCUUCGGCGAUGUGCUUGUUCUGGCGAUCUCCAAUCAAGUGGUCGCCUGAGUUUACAUCUGGCGACUUCAUCUUUCACUGGGUGAUCGCCGAUUCUGGUAUGCUGGAGGUCGGAGCACGCCAACUUAUCAACCGGCGACUACACGAGCUCCCCGACUUCCUUCCCUUCUGCGGAUCUGGCGCCUUGUCAACAUACCUACACUGUAGCUUGGUGCCACGUCAUCACUUCCGACUACCAGGGCGGUACACAAGCCCCCCAGUCUUAAGCGAAGACUUGUCCAGCGAAAAGACUAAAAGAGUCACGACCACACCGAUCUACGUGGCACUGGCGCGGAAUUUCAAGCGAUUUGUACUUUCUGCUUCUCUGACGCUCCACCAAACCCUUCACCCAUCGCUCGACACGUGGCUUCAUCAACGGCUCUCCUCAGUAACCGUUUGCGCUUCCCAAACCCGCUUCGAAAAACCCUUAAACCCCUUUUCACUCUACUGUUCUGUACCGCCCUGGUGGUCGGGAGUGAUGACGUGGCACCCUGCUACAGUAUGGGCGUGUUGGCAAGGCGCCUGGUUGGCAAGAGGGAAGGAAGUCGGGGGGCUCGUGUAGUCGCCGGUUGUUAUAUUGGUGUGUUCCGAUUUCCAGCUUACCAGAAUCGGCGAUCACCAUGUUAAAGAUGAAGUCGCCAGAUGUAGUUUCAGGCGACCAAGCAAUUGGAGAUCGCCGGAGAAAGCACAUCGCCGAAGAUGAAGGAGAAGCAGAUUAUGAAGGCGGCCAGCGAGACCACAGGGAAGCUGUAUGAGGACACCCUAACUCGCCAGUUCCAGUAGAGAUCGCACUCCCAAGUUAGCUAUGCACUGGGCAGUACCAUGCAUAAGUAACUUAGCCAAAAUGAGAGUAGAAGCAGCGCCAAGUCAAGGAGGCUCCAGAUGAUGGCACGUGUACGACUGGAUGCGAGCCACGUGUCCAGGUCUGUAACUGCCAGGAGAGAGAAAACAACCAGGUAUAUAAGAGUUCUUAACGAACUUUCUGAGGUACGCACGUUCAGUUCAUACUCUUUACGCUUGCGAGUUCUAGAGCUGACUGUGAGAGAGGAUUUGCACGGUUCUUGUUCUCUUAGUAUUUGGUGAUACCAUCACUGACUUGAGCGUUGGAGUGCGAUCGGCCGCAGCGGCGCCGCUCUGUUUCUUUGCAGGUUCUUGAGGUAGAUCCCGAAGAGGAAUGGAGGUGAGAAGCGGUGCGCAUGUCGAUCCUUUGACGAGGCAAUUUCCAGCGUUCCGGUCAACCGGCAGGAUCAUCAGGCGCCCACCGUGGGGCCGUGUAAAACUUGCUCCCAUCCACAGCGUGAGUUCUCGAAAGUUUUCGAAGUUUUCCGCGUGGUUGUGUGCUGGUGCAACCAUCGUUCGCUGUUUGCUUGAGUUUCGUUCGGUGAAUUCGCGUUUUGUACCGUUCGUUUGGUUUUUCGAUCGGUGGAGUGAGGUUUCCUGCUGUUUACGCGUAAUUUGUUCGGUGGAAGUUCGAGUUCUUUCGCUCGUUUGGUUGCGGUGGUUUCUGGUGAGGUUGUGGUUUUCUUUGAAGGCUUACGGUGUUCUUGAGUUUUCUUGCGCAGUUUCGCACUAUUUUCUCCGAUUGAUCGCUGAUUCGAUCGUGGUUGAAGUGUCGUUCGCUGCAUUCUGAGAUUCGCUGAGUUCAUGAGAAAGAUGAGAAGCAAUCGUUCAAGUCCAGUUGCGCCCGUUGCUGACGAAGGCGCCGCCGCCAUGACCAUGGCGCAGAUGGCAGAGAUGAUGCGCUCGUUGCAGGCAACUGUGGAAGCCUCACGUGUAGAGCAGGCGAGAAUACAUGAGGACCUGGUCGCCUCUCGCUCCAGGAACGAGGAGCUUAGCAAGGUGACUGAGGAGCUGCGUCAAGCUCUUCGGGAGCAGCAAGGACGUUCUUCUGCUGAAGAGGUGGCACCGUCGACGCCACCUCGUGUUUUCCCAAUGCCUUUUGUUCAGGCUAUUACUGACACGCCUAUUCCCACGAGCGUGGUUCCGGUUAAGGCUGUCUUUACCGGCGUGGAGGAUCCAGAGGCUCAUCUGACCACGUUCCAUACGCAGAUGAUGCUGUCGGGAGGGUCAGACGCCGUCUACUGCAAGAUGUUCGUGAGUACGCUCCAGGGAACGGCGAUGGAGUGGUUUGUGAGCCUGCCUAACGGCCACAUAACCAAUUUUCAACAGUUCUCGAAGAUUUUUGUCGAGCAGUACAUUGUGAAUAAGGCACCACCCAGGGUGUCUUAUGAUCUGUUUGAUGUAAGGCAGUACCAUGGGGAGUCCCUCAGAGAUUACCUGAAUCGCUUUGGAGCGCAGAUGGUCAGAUCGCCGGCCAAGGAUGAAGAAAUGCUGGUCUAUGCCUUCAAGAAGGACGUGCAGCCAGGACCAUUCUGCGAGGCCUUGAUCAGGGCUCACCCCGCGACGUUUGCUGAAGUCAGGCGACUUGCGGUGGCUCACAUCGCCGACGAGAGUGAAGUCGCCGAGAAGAGAGGCAGCGUGGCUCCCGCCAGGCCACGCGCCCAGACCAGGAUCCAGCCGCAGAGGGUGCUGGAAACAGCGGCGGCGGCCAGGAAGGACCAGAGGACUCGCCAUCCUUAUGACAGGAGGAACAAGGGAAGGAGCCAGGGGCGCCAGCAACCAGCACGCCGGGAAUACAAUCGCCCGCCUAAGCACAAAUUUGUCAUGGGACUAGCGGACCUGAUCGCCAUUCCUAACAUAUCUGCUAGGUUGAAAGCACCUGAGAAGGUGGGCGACAAGGUGCUGGGGUCAAAGCCGGAUGCCUGGUGUGAGUUCCACCAAUGUUUUGGCCACACUUUGGAAUCGUGUCUGUCCUUAGGAUAUCAGCUCGACGAUCUGGUUAAGAGCGGGUUCCUAAAUGACUAUCUGCUGGACAAGAGGACGGGGGGAGCGUCGAGUUCCCAGCCAGCAGGUGGAGAAGCCCAGCAACACGAGAUGCCUAUCCACGGGGAGAUCCACACCAUCGCAGGGGGCUUCUCAGGUGGUGGAUGCACCGCAUCGCAGAGGAAGAAGUACGCGCGAUCGGUGAUGACAGUGGACAUGUUUGAAGAUCACUCGCCGGAAGUGGACAUUACGUUCACCAAGCAAGAUCUUCGGGACGUUGUGCCUCAUGACAACGAUCCCAUAGUUAUUUCGUUGGUUACAGCGGGAAGGAAGGUCCACAGAGUUCUGGUGGACCAAGGAAGCUCGGCAGACGUGAUGUUCUGGUCGACUUUCACACAGCUGGAGUUGCCCCUUGACCAGCUAAGGCCCUAUGGAGGGUGCCUAUAUGGGUUCGCUGGUGACCAGGUGGAGGUCAGGGGGUACAUUGAGCUGAGAACCACGUUUACAGAUGAGGCUGGGUCGAGGACGGAGAAAAUCAAGUACCUCAUCGUAAACGCCCCUUCAGCAUAUAACAUCCUGUUGGUGCGCCUGCAUCAUCUUGCCCACGGCCACAGAGCCAUCCCGUCGACUCGGCACANNNNNNNNNNNNNNNNNNNNNNNNNNNNNNNNNNNNNNNNNNNNNNNNNNNNNNNNNNNNNNNNNNNNNNNNNNNNNNNNNNNNNNNNNNNNNNNNNNNNUGAUCAGAAAGAAGCGAAAAGGUGCUAUGAGAAUAGCAUGAAAAACAAAAGAUCAGUGAGUUAUGUAACAACCACCCCACCUCCCGGUGUGAAGCCCAGAUCGACGGUGACAGAGGAGGCCGCCGGAAGAGAUGUGGAGAUGGUAGACGCUGAGCUAGGGGAGAGGAAUGCUGGUCUGGAGGAGGAAGAGGCGCGGAAUCGCCCUGAGAAAGCAAGGGAGCAGGGAAUCGCCAGGGCGGUGAUCGCCAGAGAAUCCAGGCCUAAACCUGUCGAGCAGUGGCUCGAAAAGGAGAUCGGAGGCAAAAUCUUCAAGCUGGGAAGAUCUCUGGAGGUCGAGCUCCAGGACCAGAUCGCCAAGGUGAUUGAGCGGCAUCUGGACGCGUUUGCAUGGUCCGCUUCGGACAUGCCCGGGAUUGAUCCCGACUUCUUCUGCCAUCAUCUGGCAAUGGACAAUUUGGUGAGACCGGUGCGACAAAGGAGAAGAAAGUUCAACGAGGAGAGGAGGCAGGCGAUCAGGGACGAAACAAAGAAACUCCUCGCUGCAGGCCACAUCAGGGAAGUCCAGUACCCUGAAUGGUUGGCAAAUGUCGUGCUGGUGAAGAAGAGUAACAGGAAAUGGCGCAUGUGCGUCGAUUUCACCGACCUGAACAAAGCUUGCCCAAAGGAUUCGUAUCCUUUACCAAGCAUUGAUGCCCUGGUCGAUAGUGCUGCAGGGUGUAAGUUGCUGAGUUUCCUGGAUGCCUUCUCAGGGUAUAAUCAGAUCAAGAUGCAUCCCAUGGAUGAAGAGAAGACAGCCUUCAUGACGGAGAGAUCGUGCUACUGCUAUAAGGUGAUGCCGUUUGGGCUGAAGAACGCGGGGGCCACGUACCAGAGGCUGAUGGAUCGAGUACUUGCACCAAUGCUGGGAAGGAACGUGCAAGCUUACGUCGAUGACAUGGUCGUGACCUUGUAGGAAAAAAGCAAGCACGUUGCAGACUUGGAGGAAUUAUUCACGACGAUCGCCAAGUUCAAGUUAAAGCUCAAUCCGGAGAAAUGCAUUUUCGGCGUGGAGGCUGGAAAGUUUUUGGGUUUCCUCUUGACUGAAAGAGGAAUAGAAGCCAACCCGGACAAGUGCGCCGCCAUCUUGGCGAUGAGGAGCCCAGCUACGGUGAAAGAAGUCCAGUAGUUAACAGGUCGGAUGGCAGCCCUAUCUCGCUUCAUGUCAGCUAGCGGAGAAAAGGGGCAUCCCUAUUUUCAAUGUCUGCGGCGCAAUAAUAAGUUUGCUUGGACGAAAGAGUGCGAAGAAGCUUUCGUCAAACUGAAGGAGUAUCUGGCGAGCCCGACGGUUCUGUGCAAACCGCUGGUGGGAAUCCCUCUCAGGUUGUAUUUUGCUGUGACUGAGAGGGCAGUGAGUGCGGUGCUCACCCAGGAUCAAGAUCAGGCUCAGAAGCCUAUCUAUUUUGUGAGCAAGGUGUUGCAGGGCCCCGAAACGAGAUAUCAGGCCCUGGAGAAAGCUGUGUUGGCUGUGGUGUUUUCGGUGAGGAGGUUGCGCCACUACNNNNNNNNNNNNNNNNNNNNNNNNNNNNNNNNNNNNNNNNNNNNNNNNNNNNNNNNNNNNNNNNNNNNNNNNNNNNNNNNNNNNNNNNNNNNNNNNNNNNNNNNNNNNNNNNNNNNNNNNNNNNNNNNNNNNNNNNNNNNNNNNNNNNNNNNNNNNNNNNNNNNNNNNNNNNNNNNNNCAUCAGAGGCGACGCGGGUUGAAGGAGACGAUUUCCGUUGGGUACUUUCGGUGGAUGGAUCGUCGAACCAGCAGGGCAGCGGUGCUGGAGUCAUAUUAGAAGGACCCAACGGCGUGCUGAUCGAACAAUCUCUGAGGUUCGCCUUCAAAGCCAGCAACAAUCAAGCAGAGUAUGAGGCGCUGAUCGCCGGGAUUCUGCUGGCCAAGGAGAUGGGAGCUAGGGUGCUGAUGGCUAAGAGUGACUCGCUGCUAGUCACGGGGCAAGUAACAGGCGAGUUCCAGGCUAAAGAUCCACAAAUGGCGGCUUAAUUGGCGUACGUGCAGGAAUUGAAGAGUUCCUUUGCCUCUUUGAAGUAGUACAUGUGCCCAGAGAGCAGAAUGCCCGAGCUGACUUGCUUGCUAAGCUCGCCAGCUCGGGCAAGGGGGGUAGGCAGAGGACGGUGAUUCAAGAAACUCUGAAGACGCCAAGGGCAUUUGUAGCAGAUCACCUGGUCCUUCAGAUAAGCAAGUCGACGGAGAAAGCAGCGAGAAGCCAUAAGUCCUUGACGCAAGAAACUCUGAGAUCGCCGAGAAUUAGAGCGUGUCAAGGAGAGAAGGUGAAUAUGAUGCAGGUCUGCGCCGCCCACGAGCCAGACACUUGGAUAACACAGUACAAGCGGUGCCUGGCAGAUGGCCUCCUCCCACUGGAUCCGACAGAAGCCAGGAAGGUAAAGAAAAAUUCCAGCAAGUACACAUUGAUUGAUGGCGAUCUGUACAGGUUUGGGUUCACUCACCCACUCCUGGAAUGCGUACACGGCGAGAAGUGCACAAGGAUCAUGGCAGAGCUCCACGAGGGUAUAUGCGGAAGCCACGUUGGGGGUCGAGCUCUGGCCGCGAGAACUCUCCGUGCAGGCUACUACUGGCCAUCUAUGAGAGAAGAUUGCAAGAAAUAUGCCCAGUGUUGCAAACAAUGCCAACAGCACGCCGAUUGGCACAAGGCACCUCCCGAGGAGUUGAAGUCGAUCUAUAGCCCUUGGUCGUUUCAUACUUGGGGAAUCGACAUCCUGAGACCUUUCCCGCUGGCGAUCAGGCAGAUGAAGUACUUGGUGGUGGCGAUUGAGUAUUUCACCAAGUGGAUUGAAGCAGAACCAGUGGCCCAGAUCACCGCACACAAGAUCGAAGGUUUCGUAUGGAAGAACAUCGUGUGCCGGUUUGGAGUGCCUAAACGCCUGGUGUCGGAUAAUGGGACGCAGUUCGCAAGCCACCUGUUGAAGAAGCUUUGCGAAGGGGUGGGAAUUCAACAAGUAUUUGCAUCCGUCGAGCACCCUCAGACAAAUGGCCAGGUGGAGUCAGCUAAUCGGGUGUUGUUGAGAGGUUUGAAGAGAAGGCUUGAGAAAGCCAAGGGAAGUUGGGCUGAGGAGGUGCCCCGUAUAGUCUGGGCGUACCACACCACCGAGCAGUCAGGAACCCAUGAGACCCCGUUCAGCUUGGUCUAUGGGUGUGAUGCCAUGAUUCCGGUGGAGAUCCAGGAGAGCUCGCCGAGAUUCCAGAACUUCGUAGAGGAAGACUCGAAUGAAGAGAGAAGGCUGAACCUGGAUCUACUCGACGAGGUCAGGGAAGAGGCGAGACUAAAAGCUGAGGCGAUGAAGAGAAGGAUCGAACGAAGAUACAACUCGAAGGUGAUGCCGAGGCAGUUUAGAGAGGGCGAUCUGGUGAUGAGGAAGGCCCACCAGUACGAGAUGGAGAAUAAACUGUCGCCCAAGUGGACUGGACCGUUCAGGAUAACCGAGGCGCUCGGGAACGGCGCCUACCGCUUAGAGACGCUGGAAGGAGGGGCGAUUCCUCGCACCUGGAACGCCACGCACCUGAAGUUGUACUAUAGUUAAGAACUUUGUAAGUAAAGACAAACACAAAGUCACUUUACAAUGUCUCUGAUGAAACAGUUUGAAGGGGGCACUCUUUUUUCCCUAAGGAGGGUUUUUAAUGAGGCCACCUAAUAAAAGAAGAGUUUUCGAAGUAUAAGGUGUUUUCAGAUUGCAUGUUUGCUUUUUCUCAAAAGUUUUGAAGAAAGACCUUGUCGCUUGUACGUCAUUUAAGGCAAGAAAAGAUAUAUCGCAUGCUUUCUAAAAAGUUUUAAGUCCUCAUCGUUUUUCGGCGAUUGGAGGCACCAGUUAAAGUUUUUAAGUCCUCAUCGUUUUUCGGCGAUUGGAGGCACCGGUUAAAGUUUUAAAGUCCUCAUCGUUUUUCGGCGAUCGGAGGCACCAGAUGAAAGACCUCAACGCCCUCGCGCGUUCUGGGGCAAGAUAAAGACCUCCUCGCCGUCGAGCGAGUGCAGGUGAGAAAGGGUAAAAGUCCUCCGUGUUUCUGGGGGCGAGAAGAUGUAACCCCUGGGGCAAUGUAGAGGCACCAGUGAAAAGUCCUCCGUGUNNNNNNNNNNNNNNNNNNNNNNNNNNNNNNNNNNNNNNNNNNNNNNNNNNNNNNNNNNNNNNNNNNNNNNNNNNNNNNNNNNNNNNNNNNNNNNNNNNNNCGAGAAGAUGUAACCCCUGGGGCAAUGUAGAGGCGAGUUUAAAGACCUUCUCGCCGUUGAGCGAGUUCAGGCGAGUUUAAAGACCUUCUCGCCAUUGAGCGAGUUCAGGCAAGUUAAAAACCUUCUCGCUGAUGAGCGAGUUUAGGCAAGAUAAAAUCCUUCUCGUCUCGAACGAGUUCAGGUACGGUGCAGAGGGUGGAAGAAGUUUGGAAGGUGGCUAAGGUAGGUUCGAAGAGAACGCCUAGUCAACCGGUCUUUGUUCUGAAGUUCAGGGAGGUAAAGAAGGAUCCCAAAAGGCGUUUCUACCCCCAGAUGAAGAAACAAUGGCCAAAGCAUGAGGCUAGAAGAAAGCUGGUAUCGCCAAGAGUUUUUGGCGAUCAGGAAGGGUUCAAACAGCGGCGAGUAGGUUGAAAGACCUGUUUGAUAAGGCAGGUCGAGUGGGACGGUGUUUUGAGCCAGUAACUGAGUUACAGUUCGUUGCUUGAGGGAUAUUCUUACGAUAAGGUUAGUUGCCUUAAGAGUACAAGUUGGUUAAAGUGAUUUUUGCUUAAGUUUGAAGUGGUUCGGAGCAGUUAAGUCAAAAGUCGUGUUUGCAAAAUCAUUAAGUUAAAUCCGAUAAAGUUGAAUAUGCAAAGAAGGUUAAAGCGCUUAAAGAAGUUAGGAGAGGGAAUACCCAAACUUUGUCGUUAAGAUAAGUAUCUGUUAAAGGCACAUAUACACGAGUUUAUUACAGAAUAAUAGGAGGGAAAACACGAAGGCAGUAGAUGAGGAAGAGUUGAUUAGUCUUCAGCAGGAACGACUUUUCCAUCUACUACUUCAUUGUUCAGCGACACCAUGCUGAGAUCCAGGUCGGGGAAUAGGCAAGCGAAUUGUACCCGCGCAGCUUCGAAUCCAGCGGCCAGAAUCUGAGCAGAGUUUAGCUUGAGUUCUUCGAUUUGCCUCUGAAGUUCCUCAAUCCGCUUCUUGAGGUCUUCAGUUUGCUCUUUCAGCUCUUUAUUCUGUUGCUCCAGCUCUUCAACCUGUUUUUUGAGUUGUUCGUUGGUCUCUUGAGCCUGGAGAAGGUCUUCAGUAACCUUCUUGGAUUUCGCUUGCGCUUGGGCCAAUUCAGCAGCCACCUCUCCCUUCCCUUUGUUGGCCUCGGCAAGAUCAGCUAUGGCGUCGUCCCUCGCCUUUUCCACUUGCCCAAGUAAUUUCUCUCGGUCGAUCGACCUCUGCUCUAAUUUUUGCACCUUAGCGNNNNNNNNNNNNNNNNNNNNNNNNNNNNNNNNNNNNNNNNNNNNNNNNNNNNNNNNNNNNNNNNNNNNNNNNNNNNNNNNNNNNNNNNNNNNNNNNNNNNNNNNNNNNNNNNNNNNNNNNNNNNNNNNNNNNNNNNNNNNNNNNNNNNNNNNNNNNNNNNNNNNNNNNNNNNNNUCGAUUUCUGCGAGCGUCAGGUUGAAAGACAACUUCUCCACCUCGACCCUCAUGGUGCUGUUUUCGGUUUUGAGAUUGAAGAGGUCGUCUUGGAGCCUCCUGGUUGAGCUCUCCACAGCUCUGGUUAUGAUCGACGGGAUAUCCUCUGCUAUGGUCUUCAGUUUAGCGGUUAGAGGCUCCCACAUUCUUGUGACCUCCAAAGGGAGGUUUGCUGCUUGGAGAGGCACCAGGUGGGCCUGCUGUGGGUUCUCGUCGCCACCUUCCUUAGCAGGUUCUUCAGUAGUUGCUUCCUGGCGUGGCGACGGAAUCGGGGAUUCGGUAAUCAGAAUCGGAGAGGUAUGAGCAACCUCAUCCCCGAUUGGAGCAUCUUCUGCAGCUGAAGCGUUUGAAGGGGGCCCCCCUCCAGCUGACACAUAUGGUGUAGAAGCGCUUGCGGGGUCCUCUAGGAAGUUUGGCUCUUGGGCCUCAGCUGCAGGUGGCGCAGUGGCCAGUGGGACCGCUUGGACUGGAGAGGCAGGAGCCUGUGGGAGUGGCGAUGAUGGAGGAGGAGCAGGCGUCGAUGGUGGUGUUGAGGUUGGAAGAGGGGGUGGGGCAGGUGGUGAAGAAGGUGCCACCCUCUUCCUCUUUGUAACGAGGCCAUCCUCGGUGACCUCGUCAUCCUCUUCUUCCUCCUCAUGGAUGACUUGAGCGGCUUUCCUUUUAGGCCUUUUAAGAACCAGUUUUUUGCGUUGGGCGGGUUCCUUAGGUGGUGAUCGCCCGUGGACGAUAGACUUCUCCACCACCGAGUUGGGCACUGUUUGCGAGCCCGUCGCCAAUCCAUGGUUUCGGGCGAGCGCCUUAAGUUCAGCGAGCAUGCCUUUGCCCAACAUGUCGUCUGCAUGGAACGAAAUGUACUGGGUCAUCUCAGGAAAAAAAAGAAAACAAAUGCAUAAGGUAGUACGCAGCAAAGCAGAUGAUAUGUGCAGGAAAGAUAAAAUCAAAGUCUUGCGCAUAACGCGCAAGACGCCCAGAAACAGCUAAACAGAAGCAGUAUCAAAGCAAUAGUUUAAUGUUCUAACCUAUUCGAAUUUCUAGCUGGUCUUCGUAGAAUUCGAAGCAGAUCAAGGUGGUGGUCAGGAAAGUGAUGUUGGCAUCCGCCACCCUCUUCCAGAAGAGACAGAGAUCUCUGUCCAACGCUCCCAUGCUAUCAGGACUUCUGGGUCUCCUGAAGCAGCUUUUGGAUUCUUUCUUCCCCUUAUCCACCCAGUAUAAGGGGAAGCCGUCGAGUAGGGAUUCGUCCUUGUCGUUGGCGCGCACUUGGACGAACCUCCCUUUCCAAUCUUUAUACGAUUGCUGGAAGAUAGCAAAGAUGGACCUCCCAGCGUUCGCGUUCAAGCUAACCCAUAGGCGGUCUCUCGGGUGCUUGGCUUCAAAGAGGAAUAAAAACACGUCCACCGAUGCGGGCAACCCCAGAUGGGCGCACACCACUUCGAACGCUCGCACAAACGCCCAGCUGUUGAGCUCGGUUAGGAGCUCCCUUUCGAAACGGGUGAAAGGGAACUUGAGCUUCACCUUCUUGAAUAAGGUUGUGUAGACGAAACAGAAGGGCCCGUUGGCACUCACCUUCUCGUCAGCACAAACAGGCAGCUCGGGGGGGCAAGGCAGCACUAUCAUCUUUUCGUCGUGCUCCUUAUGAAACGAUUGAUGAGGCUCAUCCCCCUUGGUCAGCCGCAAAACUGCUCCCGCAGUAUUCACCGAAGAUGUUUCCCUUAGAAGGGUCGAGUUGGCCCAGGGAUACAAGGUUUUGAAGUCUGGCAAGGGAGCAGAGGCUCCUCCGGCGAUGGGUGGAGUUGCCUGGGCCAGAUUAGGACGGGAAGACGCAGGCCUCUCAGCCUGCGAGGAUGAAGCGCCACGAACUUCUGGUGGGCCGUGUGCUUGUGAAGGGGGGUUUCGUUGCGAAGGGGGAGGAUUCGGGGUGAUCUUUGUACGAGUCAUUGUUGCAGCUGCAAAGGAAGAAGAAAAGGAAAAAUGAUCAGGGGUUACAGAGGCUGACUCGAUCGUAGAAGGAAGGUGAAAAAUGAACGAAUAUAGGUUCGUUGCGACGAUUGACGAAGCCCUAAGUUACGCAGAAGGAGAAAUGGAGAAACAACCCACAGCGUAUGCACCAGGCAGUUACAGGAUGAUGUAAAUCGGUUAAAAUGCCAGGAAAACUAGCAGAAGAAGGAAAGUAGGUACCUUUUGAUGAUCAAGAAGACGAUAAAGGUUGAGGGUGAUUCAGAAUGCUGGAGAGCGCAUAGAGUUUUUUCGCAGGAGGAAGUUAGAGCGUUCGUGAAUGCGAGGGAAGGUGAUGGAACAGUGUUGAGUGAAAAUGGGUUUAAGGGUUUUUCGAAAUGGGUUUAGGAAGCGCAAACGGCAACUGAAGAGAGCCGUUGAUGAAGCCACGCGUCAAGCAAUGAGCGAGGGGUUUGGUGGAGCGUCAGAGCAGCAGAAGGUACAACCACUUGGAAUUCUGCGUCAGUGCCACGUAGACCGGUGUUGACGUAACUCUUUCAGUCUUUUCGCUAGACAAGUCUUCGCUUAAGACUGGGGGGCUUGUGUACCGCCCUGGUGGUCGGGAGUGAUGACGUGGCACCCUGCUCCAGUAUGGGCGUGUUGGCAAGGCGCCUGGUUGGCAAGAGGGAAGGAAGUCGGGGGGCUCGUGUAGUCGCCGGUUGUUAUAUUGGUGUGCUCCGAUUUCCAGCUUACCAGAAUCGGCGAUCACCAUGUUAAAGAUGAAGUCGCCAGAUGUAGUUUCAGGCGACCAAGCAAUUGGAGAUCGCCGGAGAAAGCACAUCGCCGAAGAUGAAGGAGAAGCAGAUUAUGAAGGCGGCCGGCGAGACCACAGGGAAGGUGUAUGAGGACACCCUAACUCGCCAGUUCCAGUAGAGAUCGCACUCCCAAGUUAGCUAUGCACUGGGCAGUACCAUGCAUAAGGAGGCUCCAGAUGAUGGCACGUGUACGACUGGAUGCGAGCCACGUGUCCAGGUCUGUAACUGCCAGGAGAGAGAAAACAACCAGGUAUAUAAGAGUUCUUAACGAACUUUCUGAGGUACGCACGUUCAGUUCAUACUCUUUACGCUUGCGAGUUCUAGAGCUGACUGUGAGAGAGGAUUUGCACGGUUCUUGUUCUCUUAGUAUUUGGUGAUACCGUCACUGACUUGAGCGUUGUAGUGCGAUCGGCCGCAGCGGCGCCGCUCUGUUUCUUUGCAGGUUCUUGAGGUAGAUCCCGAAGAGGAACGGAGGUGAGAAGCGGUGCGCAUGUCGAUCCUUUGACGAGCCAAUUUCCAGCGUUCCGGUCAACAGGCAGGAUCAUGUUCCAUCACUCUUCUGUUCGUAUUCUCAAACGCUCCAACCUUCCUCUGCGAAAAAGCUCUCGACGCUCUUCAACUUCCCGAAUCACCAACAUUCUUCAUCGCCUUCCUGAUCAUAAAAAGGUACCUACUUUCCUUCUUCUGCUGGUUUUCCUUGCAUUUUAACCGAUUCGCAUCAUCUUGUAACUGCCUGGUGCAUACGCUGUGGGUUGCUUUUUCCAUUUCUCCUUCUACGUAACUUAGGGCUUCGUCGAUCAUCGCAACGAACCUACGUUCGUUCGUUUUUCACCUUCCUUCCAUGAUCGAGUCAGCCUCUGUAACCCCUGAUCAUUUUUCCUUUCUUUUUCCUUUGCAGCUGCAACCAUGACUCGCACAAAGAUCACCCCGAAUCCUCCCCCUUCAUCACGAAACCCCCCUUCACAAGCACACGACCCACCACAAGCUCGUGGUGCUUCAUCUUCCCAGGCUGAGAGGCCUGCGUCUUCCCGCCCCACUCAGGCCCAGGCUGCUCCGCCUGUCACCGGAGGAGCCCCCGUUCCCCCACCAAACUUCAAAACCCUGUAUCCCUGGGCCAACUUGACCCUCUUGAGGGAGACAUCUUCUGUUAACACUGCUGGGGCAGUUUUGCGGCUGACAAAGGGGGAUGAGCCCAACCAGACGUUUCAUAAGGAGCACGAUGAGAAAAUGAUAGUGCUACCUUGCCCCCCCGAUCUGCCCGUUUGCGUUGAUGAUAAGGCGAGUGCUGACGGGCCCUUCUGCUUCGUUUACACAACCCCAUUCAAGAAGGUGAAGCUCAAGUUCCCUUUCACUCGUUUCGAAAGGGAGCUCCUCACCGAGCUCAACGUCGCCGCCACCCAGCUCCAUCCCAAUAGCUGGGCGUUUAUCCAAGCGUUUCAAGUGAUGUGCGACCAUCUUGGGUUGCCCGCAUCGGUGGACGUGUUCCUGUUCCUCUUCGAAGCCAAGCACCCAGGAGACCGCCUGUGGAUCAGCUUGAAUGGGAUUGCUGGGAGGUCGAUCUUCUCCAUCUUCCAGCAAUCCUAUAAGGACUGGAAAGGGAAAUUCGUUCAAGUGCGCCCUAAUGAUAGGGACGCCUCCCUACUCGACGGCUUCCCCUUGUACUGGGUGGACAAGGGAAAGAAAGAGUCCAAGAGCUGCUUCAGGAGGCCCAGAAGUCCUGACAGCAUGGGAGCACUAGACAGAGACCUCUGUCUCUCUGNNNNNNNNNNNNNNNNNNNNNNNNNNNNNNNNNNNNNNNNNNNNNNNNNNNNNNNNNNNNNNNNNNNNNNNNNNNNNNNNNNNNNNNNNNNNNNNNNNNNAAGGGUGGCGGAUGCCAACAUCACUUUCCUUACCACCACCUUGAUCUGUUUCGAAUUUUACGAGGACCAACUCGAAAUUCGAAUAGGUUAGGACACUUAAACUCUUGCUUUGAUACUGCUUCUGUUUAGCUGUUUCUGGGCGUCUUGUGCGUUAUGCACAAGACUUUGGCUUUAUUUUUCUGCAUUCCUUAUCUGCUUUGCUGUUGCAUACUGCCUUAUGCAUUCAUUGUCUCCUUGAGUUAACCCAUGCAUUUUCGUUCUAUGCAGAUAACAUGUUGGGCAAAGGCAUGCUCGCCGAAUUGAAGGCGCUCGCCCGAAACCACGGGUUGGCGACGGGCUCUCAAACAGUGCCCAACUCGGUGGUGGAGAAAGCCAUCGUCCACGGACGAUCGCCACCUAANNNNNNNNNNNNNNNNNNNNNNNNNNNNNNNNNNNNNNNNNNNNNNNNNNNNNNNNNNNNNNNNNNNNNNNNNNNNNNNNNNNNNNNNNNNNNNNNNNNNNNNNNNNNNNNNNNNNNNNNNNNNNNNNNNNNNNNNNNNNNNNNNNNNNNNNNNNNNNNNNNNNNNNNNNNNNNNNNNNNNNNNNNNNNNNNNNNNNNNNNNNNNNNNNNNNNNNNNNNNNNNNNNNNNNNNNNNNNNNNNNNNNNNNNNNNNNNNNNNNNNNNNNNNNNNNNNNNNNNNNNNNNNNNNNNNNNNNNNNNNNNNNNNNNNNNNNNNNNCUCCACACCAUAUGUAUCAGCUGGAGGGGGUCCCCCUUCAAACGCCUCAGCUGCAGAGGUUGAACCAAUCGGGGAUGAGGUUGCUCAUACCUCUCCGAUUCUGAUCACCGAAUCCCCGAUUCCGUCGCCACGCCAGCAAGCGCCUACUGAAGAACCUGCUAAGGAGGGUGGCGACGAGAACCAGCAACAGGCUCCCACAGCGCCUUUAGUGCCUCUACAAGCAGCAAACCUCCCCCUUGAGGUCACGAGGAUGUGGGAACCUCUAUCUGCUAAGCUAAAAACGAUAGCAGAAGACAUCCCUGCCAUCAUCGCCCGAGCUGUGGAGAGCUCCACCAGGAGGCUCCAAGACGACCUCUUCAACCUCAAAACCGAAAACAGCACCAUCUGAGUCGAGGUGGAGAAGUUGUCCACCAAUGUGACACUCGCGGAGGUUGAACACUCCCGAGUAGAAGACGCAAUGAGCACCGAGCUCAGAUUGGCGCGCAAGGAGGUUACUGAUCUCCGCCAUAAGGUGCAUCAACUUGCUCAAGAAAAGGUCGAACUGGAGAGCAAGAUUGUGCCUUAUCGCGUCAGGGUGGCUGACCUGGAGGCUCUUAUAAAAGCUGACGCUGCCAAGGUGCAGAAAUUGGAGCAAAGGUCAGUCGACCGAGAGAAACUCCUUGGGCAAGUGGAAAAGGCAAGGGACGACGCCAUAGCUGAUCUUGCCGAGGCCAACGAAGAGAAGGGAAAGGUGGCUGCUGAAUUGGCCCAAGCGCAAACGGAAUCCAAGAAGGUUGCUGAAGACCUUCUCCAGGAUCAAGAGACCAAUGAACAACUCAAGAAACAGGUCGAAGAGCUGGAGCAACAGAAUAAGGGGCUGAAAGAACAAACCGAGAAACAGAUUGAGGAACUUCAGAAGCAAAUUGGAGACUUCAAACUGAAUUCUGCCCAAAUUCUGGCCGCCGGAUUCGAAGCUGCGCGGGAACAAUUUGCUUGCCUGUUCCCCGACCUGGAUCUCAGCAUGGUGUCGCUGAACAAUGAAGUGGUGGAUGGAAAAGUGGUGCCCGCCGAAGACUAAUCAAUUCAAUCCAUCCAUCGCCCUUUAUACUUCCCUUUGUAAAUAACUUGUAAUAGACUUUAUGUCCUUUUGUAUAUAUGUUCUGAACUGUUAUUCACCGUUAACUGUUAAUGACAAAGGUCUACGUUUUUCCUCUUAUGACUUCUUCACUCGCUUCAACCUUCCUUGCUUGUUUAAUUCCAAAGAAAUGACUUAGGAAAACUGUAGGCACGACCUUUGACUUAACUGCUUCGAAUCGCUUCAGCCCUAAGCAACAAACACUCAACAAUUCGUAAUCUUAAGGCAAUUAACUUUAUCGUAAAAACAGUCUUCAAGCAAUAGACUUUAAAUCAACUAUUGGCUUAAACACUGCUUCACCCGAUCUGCUCCAUCAAAACGGGUCCUUUAACUUUCUCGCCGCUGUCUGAACUUCUCCUAGUCGCCAAAGACUCUUGGUGAUAUCAGCGUCUUUCUGGCUUCAUGCCUUGGCCAUUGUUCCUUCAUCUGGGGGUAGAGGCGCCUUUCGGAUCCUUCUCUACCUUCCUCAUCUUCAGAACAAAGACCGGGUGGAUAGGCGUUCUCUUCGAACCUACCAUAGCCACCCUCCAAACUUCUUCCACCCUCUACACCAUACCUGAACUCGUUCGAGACGAGAAGGGUUUUAUCUUGCCUGAACUCGCGCAUAGGCGAGAAGGUCUUUAACUCGCCUGAACUCGCUCAACGGCGAGAAGGUCUUUUACUUGCCUGAACUCGCUCAACGGCGAGAAGGUCUUUUACUCGCCUGAACUCGCUCAACGGCGAGAAGGUCUUUUACUUGCCUGAGCUCGCUCAACGGCGAGAAGGUCUUUACUUGCCUCUACAUUGCCCCAGGGGUUACAUCUUCUCGCCCCCAGAAACACGGAGGACUUUUCACUUGCCUCUACAUUGCCCCAGGGGUUACAUCUUCUCGCCCCCAGAAACACUGAGGACUUUUUCACUUUUCCUCGCCUGCACUCGCUCGACGGCGAGGAGGUCUUUGUCUCGCCUCAGAACGCGCGAGGGCGUUGAGGUCUUUUAUCUGGUGCCUCCGAUCGCCGAAAAACGAUGAGGACUUUAAAACUUCAACUGGUGCCUCCAAUCGCCGAAAAACGAUGAGGACUUUAAAACUUUAACUGGUGCCUCCAAUCGCCGAAAAACGAUGAGGACUUAAAAACUUUAACUGGUGCCUCCAAUCGCCGAAAAACGAUGAGGACUUAAAAACUUUAACUGGUGCCUCCAAUCGCCGAAAAAACGAUGAGGAUUUAAAAACUUUAACUGGUGCCUCCAAUCGCCGAAAAACGAUGAGGACUUUAAAACUUUAUUUAGAAAGCAUGUAAUAUAUCUUUACUUGCCUUAAAUCACGUAUGAGUGAUAAGGUCUUUCUUCAAAAACUUUCUGAAAACAACAAUCAUGCAAUCUAAAACGCCUUCGAACUUCGAAAACUCUUCCUUUAUUGGGUAGCCUCAUUAAAAACCCUCCUCAGGGAAAAAAGAGUGCUCCCUUCAAAUUGUUUUAUCAGAAACAUUGUAAUGUAACUUCACGUUUGUCUUUACUUACAAAGCUUCUUAACUGUAAUAUAACUUGAGGUGUGUGGCGUUCCAAGUACGAGGAAUCGCCCCUCCUUCCAACGUCUCUAAGCGGUAGGCGCCGUUCCCGAGUGCCUCGGUUAUUCUGAACGGUCCCGUCCACUUAGGUGACAGCUUAUUCUCCAUCUCGUACUGGUGAGCCUUCCUCAUCACCAGAUGCCUUCUCUAAACUGCCUUGGCAUCACCUUCGAGUUAUAUCUUCGUUCAAUCCUUCUCUUCACCGCUUCAGCCUUCAACCUCGCCUCUUCCCUGACCUCAUCCAGUAGAUCCAGGUUCAGCCUUCUUUCUUCAUUCGAGUCUUCCUCUACAAAGUUCUGGAAUCUCGGCGAGCUCUCCUGGAUCUCUACUGGAAUCAUGGCAUCACACCCAUAGACCAAGCUGAACGGGGUCUCAUGGGUUCCUGACUGCUCGGUGGUGUGGUACGCCCAGACUAUACGGGGUACCUCCUCAGCCCAGCUUCCCUUGGCUUUCUCGAGCCUUCUCUUCAAUCCUCUCAGUAACACCCGAUUGGCUGACUCCACCUGGCCAUUCGUCUGAGGGUGCUCGACGGAUGCGAACACUUGUUGAAUCCCGACCCCUUCGCAAAGCUUCAUCAACAGGUGACUUGCAAACUGAGUCCCGUUGUCCGACACCAGGCGCUUAGGCACUCCAAACCGGCACACAAUGUUCUUCCACACGAAGCCUUCGAUCUUAUGUGCGGUGAUCUGGGCCACUGGCUCUGCUUCAAUCCACUUGGUGAAAUAUUCAAUCGCCACCACCAAGUACUUCAUCUGCCUGACCGCCAGCGGGAAAGGUCCCAGGAUGUCGAUUCCCCACGUAUGAAACGGCCAAGGGCUGUAGAUCGACUUCAACUCCUCGGGAGGUGCUCUGUGCCAAUCGGCGUGUUGUUGGCACUGUUUGCAACACUGGGCAUACUUCUUGCAAUCUUCUCUCAUCGUUGGCCAGUAGUAGCCUGCACGGAGAGUCCUCGCGGCCAGAGCUCGACCCCCAACGUGGCUUCCGCAUAUACCUUCGUGGAGCUCUGCCAUGAUCCUCGUGCACUUCUCGCCAUGUACGCAUUCCAGGAGUGGGUGAGUGAACCCAAACCUGUACAGAUCGCCAUCAAUCAAUGUGUACUUGCUGGAAUUUUUCUUUACCUUCCUAGCUUCUGUCGGAUCCAGCGGGAGGAGGCCAUCUGCCAGGCAUCGCUUGUACUGUGUUAUCCAGGUAUCUGGCUCAUGGAUGGCACAUACCUGCGUCAUGCUCACCUUCUCUCCUCGACAUGCUCUAAUUCUCGGCGAUCUGAGAGUUUCUUGCGUCAGGGAUUUAUGACUUCUUGCUGCCUUCUCCGUCGACUUGCUUAUCUGAAGAACCAGGUGAUCUGNNNNNNNNNNNNNNNNNNNNNNNNNNNNNNNNNNNNNNNNNNNNNNNNNNNNNNNNNNNNNNNNNNNNNNNNNNNNNNNNNNNNNNNNNNNNNNNNNNNNUGCUCUUGGCGUCUUCAGAGUUUCUUGAAUCACCGUCCUCUGCCUACCCCCCUUGCCUGAACUGGCGAGCUUAGCUAGCAAGUCAGCUCGGGCAUUCUGCUCUCUGGGCACAUGCACCACUUCAAAGGAGGCAAAGGAACUCUUCAAUUCCUGCACAUACUCCAAGUAAGCCGCCAUUUGUGGAUCUUUAGCCUGGAACUCGCCUGUUACUUGCCCUGUGACUAGCAGCGAGUCACUCUUAGCCAUUAGCACCCUGGCCCCCAUCUCCUUAGCCAGCAAAAUCCCGGCGAUCAGCGCCUCAUACUCCGCUUGAUUGUUACUGGCUUUGAAGGCAAACCUCAAAGAUUGUUCGAUCAACACGCCGUUGGGUCCUUCUAAAAUGACUCCAGCACCGCUACCCUGCUGGUUCGACGAUCCAUCCACCGAGAGCACCCAACGGAAGUCGUCCCCUUCUACUCGUGUCGCCUCUGAUGAGAGCUCAACCACAAAAUCUGCGAAGAUCUGCCCCUUGAUUGGGCCUCGGGGCUCAUACUUGAUAUCAAACUCCGACAACUCUACUACCCACUUCACCAUCCUUCCCGCAACGUCGGGCUUCUUCAAAACCUUCUGGAUGGGCAGGUCAGUCAUCACCAGUAUGGUGAAGCUAUGGAAGUAGUGGCGCAAUCUCCUCGCCGAAAACACCACUGCCAACGCAACUUUCUCUAGGGCCUGAUAUCUCGUUUCUGAGCCCUGCAGCACCUUACUCACAAAAUAGAUAGGCUUCUGAACCUGAUCUUGGUCUUGGGCGAGCACCGCACUCACCGCCCUCUCAGUUACAGCAAAAUACAACCUGAGAGGGAUCCCCACCUGCGGUUUGCACAGAACCGGCGGGCUCGCCAGAUACUCCUUCAGCUUGACGAAGGCUUCCUCGCACUCCUUCGUCCAUGCAAACUUGUUGUUGCGCCUCAAGCACUGAAAAUAGGGAUGUCCCUUCUCCCCGCUAGCUGACACGAAGCGAGACACCGCUACCCUGCUGUUAACUGCUAAACCUCCUUCACCGUAGCUGGGCUCCUCAUCGCCAAGAUGGCGGCGCAUUUGUCUGGGUUGGCUUCUAUUCCUCUUUCAGUUAAGAGGAAACCCAAAAACUUUCCAGCCUCCACGCCGAAAAUGCAUUUCUCCGGAUUCAGUUUCAACUUGUACUUGGCGAUCGCUGUGAAUAAUUCUUCCAAGUCUGCUACGUGCUUGCUCUUUUCCGGCGAGGUUACGACCAUGUCGUCGACGUACGCUUGCACAUUCCUUCCCAGCAUCGGUGCAAGUACUCGAUCCAUCAGCCUCUGGUACGUGGCCCCCGUGUUCUUCAGCCCAAACGACAUCACCUUAUAGCAAUAGCACGAUCUCUCCGUCAUGAAGGCUGUUUUCUCUUCAUCCAUGGGAUGCAUCUUGAUCUGAUUAUAUCCCGAGAAGGCAUCCAGGAAGCUCAGCAACUUACACCCUGCAACACUAUCGACCAGGGCAUCUAUGCUUGGUAAAGGAUACGAAUCCUUUGGGCAAGCUUUGUUCAGGUCGGUGAAAUCGACGCACAUGCGCCAUUUCCCGUUACUCUUCUUUACCAGUACGACAUUUGCCAGCCAUUCAGGGUACUGGACUUCCCUGAUUUGGCCUGCAGCGAGGAGUUUCUGUGUUUCGUCCCUGAUCGCCUGCCUCCUCUCCUCGUUGAACUUUCUUCUUCUUUGCCGCACUGGUCUCACCAGGUUAUCCAUCGCCAGAUGAUGGCAUAAGAAGUCGGGAUCGAUCCCGGGCAUGUCCGAUGCCGAUCUGGUCCUGGAGCUCCACCUCCAGGGAUCUUCCCAGCUUGAAGAUCUUCCCCCCGAUCUCCCUCUCGAGCCACUGCUCGACGGGUUUUGGCCUGGAUUCUCUGGCGAUCACCGCCCUGGCGAUUCCCUGCUCUCUCGCUUCCUCAGGGCGAUUCCGCGCCUCUUCCUCCUCCAGACCAGCGUUCCCCUCCCUCAGCUCAGCGUCUACCAUCUCCACGUCCCUUCCGGCGGUCUCUUCUGUUGCCGCCGAUCUGGGCUUCACACCGGGAGGUGGGGUGGUUGUUACAUAGCUCACUGAUCUCUUGUUUUUCAGGCUAUUCUCAUAGCACUUUUUCGCUUCUUUUUGAUCAGACUUGAUCGUGAUCACCACUCCUUCCAUAGACGGCAACUUCACCUUCAUGUGCCGAGUCGACGGUAUAGCGCCUAUCCUGUUAAGCGUGGGCCUUCCCAACAGGAUGUUGUAUGCUGAAGGAGCGUUUACAAUGAGGUACUUGAUUUUCUCCGUUCUCGAACCAGCCUCAUCCGUAAACGUGGUUCUCAACUCUAUGUACCCCCUGACCUCCACCUGGUCACCAGCAAACCCAUACAAGCACCCUCCAUAGGGCCUUAGCUGGUCAAGGGGCAACUCCAGCUGCAUGAAAGUCGGCCAGAACAUCACGUCUGCCGAGCUUCCCUGGUCCACCAGAACUCUGUGGACCUUCCUUCCUACCGUUACCAAGGAAAUCACUAUGGGAUCGUUGUCAUGGGGCACAACGUUCCGAAGAUCCUGCUUGGUGAACGUAAUGUCCACCUCCGGCGAGUAAUCUUCAAACAUAUCCACUGUCAUCACCAACCGCGCGUACUUCUUCCUCUGCGAUGCGGUGCAUCCACCACCCGAGAAGCCUCCUGCAAUGGUGUGGAUCUCCCCGUGGAUAGGCAUCUCGUGCUGCUGGGCUUCUCCACCUGCUGGCUGGGAGCUCGACGCGCCCCUCGUCCUUCUAUCCAGCAGGUAAUCAUUUAGGAACCCGCUCUUAACCAGAUCGUCGAGCUGAUAUCCCAAGGACAAACACGAGUCCAAAGUGUGGCCAAAGCCUUGGUGAAACUCACACCAGGCAUCUGGCUUUGACCCCAGCACCUUGUCGCUCACCUUCUCAGGCGCUUUCAACCUAGCAGAUAUGUUAGGAAUGGCGAUCAGAUCCGCCAGUCCCAUGACAAACUUGUGCUUAGGCGGGCGGUUGUAUUCCCGGCGUGCUGGUUGCUGGCGUUCCUGACCCCUGCCCUUGUUCCUCCUAUCAUAAGGAUGGCGAGUCCUCUGGUCCUUCCUGGCCGCCGCCGCUGUCUCCAGCACCCUCUGCGGCUGGAUCCUGGUCUGGGCGCGUGGCCUAGCGGGAGCCACGCUUCCUCUCUUCUCGGCGACUUCACUCUCGUCGGCGAUGUGAGCCACCGCAAGUCGCCUGACUUCAGCAAACGUCGCAGGGUGAGCCCUGAUCAAGGCCUCGCAGAAUGGUCCCGGCAGCACGCCCUUCUUGAAUGCAUAGACCAGCAUUUCUUCAUCUUUAGCUGGCGAUCUGACCAUCUGCGCUCCAAAGCGGUUCAGGUAGUCUCUGAGGGACUCUCCCUGGUACUGCCUUAUAUCAAACAGAUCAUAAGACACCCUGGGCGGUGCCUUAUUCACGAUGUACUGCUCGACGAAAAUCUUCGAGAACUGUUGAAAACUGGUUACGUGGCCGUUAGGCAGGCUCACGAACCACUCCAACGCCGUCCCCUGGAGCGUACUCACGAACAUUUUGCAGUAGACGGCGUCUGACCCUCCUGACAGCAUCAUCUGCGUAUGGAACGUGGUGAGAUGAGCUUCAGGAUCCUCCACGCCAGUGAAAACAGCCUUAACCGGAACCACGCUUGCAGGAAUAGGCGUGUCAGUGAUCGCCUGAAUAAAAGGCAUGGGAAAAACACGAGGUGGCGACGACGGCACAACCUCUUCAGCGGAAGAACGCCCUUGCUGCUCCUGAAGAGCUUGACGCAACUCCUCAGUCACCUUGCUGAGCUCCUCAUUCCUGGCGCGAGAGGCGACCAGGUCCUCAUGCAUUCUCGCCUGUUCGAUGCGCGAGGCUUCCACAGUUGCCUGCAACGAACGCAUCAUCUCCGCCAUCUGUGCCAUGGUCAUGGCAACGGCGCCUUCAGCAGCGACGGGCGCAACCGGACUUUAACGAUUGCUUCUCAUUUUUCUCAUGAAAUUCAGCGAUCAAUCGGAGAAAACCGCGUGAGACUGCGCAAAAAGACUCAAGAACACCAUAAACCUUCAAAGAGAACCACAACUUCACCAGAAACAACCGCUCUCCCACGGACAACCAAACGAGCGAAAGAACUCAAACUCCACCGAACAAAUCACGCGUAAACAGCGGAAAACCUCACUUCACCGAAUAAAACUCGAAACGAACGGUGGAAAACGCAAAUUCACCGAACAAAUCUCAAGGAAACAGCGAACGAUGGUUGCACCAGCACACAACCACGCAGAAACUUCGAAAACCUCCAAGAACUCACGCUGUGGAUGGGAGCAAGUUUUACACGGCCCCACGGUGGGCGCCUGAUGAUCCUGCCUGUUGACCGGAACGCUGGAAACUGCCUCGUCAAAGGAUCGACGUGCGCACCGCUUCGAACCUCUGUCCUUUCCCAAGAUCUACCUCAAGAACUUGCAAAAGAACAGAGCGGCGCCGCUGCGGCCGAUCGCACUCCAACGCCCAAGUCAGUGACCNNNNNNNNNNNNNNNNNNNNNNNNNNNNNNNNNNNNNNNNNNNNNNNNNNNNNNNNNNNNNNNNNNNNNNNNNNNNNNNNNNNNNNNNNNNNNNNNNNNNAACCGUGCAAUGUCUCUCUCACAGUGUGCUCUAGAACUCGCAAGCGUAAAGAGUGUAAUCUGAACGUGCGUACCUCAGAAAGUUCGUUGAGAAAUCUUAUAUACCUGGUGACUUUCUCUCUCCUGGCAGUUACAGACUUGGACACGUGGCUCGCAUCCAACUGUACACGUGUCACCAUCUGGAGCCUCCUUGACUUGGGCGCUGCUUCUACUCUCAUUUUGGCUAAGUUACUUAUGCAUGGUACUGCCCAGUGCAUAGCUAACUUGGGAGUGCGAUCUCUACUGGAAUUGGCGAGUUAGGGCGCUCUCGUACACCUUCCCUGUGGUCUCGCCGGCCGCCUUCAUAAUCUGCAUCACCUUCAUCUUCGGCGAUGUGCUUGUUCUGGCGAUCUCCAAUCAUGUGGUCGCCUGAGUUUACAUCUGGCGACUUCAGCCGAUUCUGGUAUGCUGGAGGUCGGAGCACGCCAACUUAUCAACCGGCGACUACACGAGCUCCCCGACUUCCUUCCCUUCUGCGGAUCUGGCGCCUUGUCAACAUACCUACACUGUAGCUUGGUGCCACGUCAUCACUUCCGAGUACCAGGGCGGUACAAUACCAAUGAAAUGAUUCUCUAUGAAUAAAUCCUAAAUUAGCCAACUUAUCAACACAAACAUUCCAUUCACAAAAAAUAUGAGUAAUCCUAAACUUGAUUUUCCCACCGUAAUUAAGACAAGUAUUUCAUUGAUUACAAAACAUCCACGGAACAUUAGUGAUGUAAACCCACAAAGACUCAAAAAAAAAUCCACAAGAAGAUGACCAAGGAUGCCAACUAUGAAGGGUCAUCUCAACAAGCAAAGGAAGACCUCAUCAAUAGGAGGAAUGGACAAGGUCCAGAACACUUGAAGUUCUUCCUAUUAGUCUUCUUAAAUAUUUAAAAAAAAAUGUAGUAAAUAAGUUGGGCUCUUUUGUAAGGGUCCAAAUAGUAUAAAUAAGCUAGAAUAGAGUGCCUUUAGCAUAGUAGGGAGUAUGGGUAGCAUUCUAGCUUGUUCGUAGCCCAUUUGAAGGCAUUUUGACCUAGUUUCUAGAAGGAUAAGCCUAGAAUAAGGGAUUGACUUAGUCAAACCCUAUGAUUGCCCACUUUUUUCCCUUUUCCCAUUCUACCCUUUAAGCUUUCUUUCCAAGGCUCCUAAAUCUAUAAAUAGGGAGGCCUACCUCAUGUAUUCAUAUGUUGAAUGAAGAGUAAAGUUACUAUACACAAAUUAUGUUAGAGUUUGUGAGCAUUGUCUCUCUAAACCUUGGUCUUAUCUUGUGAGUGUUGUGAGCUCUCAAGUAGCGGCAUCUACACUUAUCUUGGAUUCAAUUCACCAUCCAAGUGGCGUGAUCCUUUACAAUUCCCCAUCUCCUAAGUUUCCUUUCACUCAACUUUUCCAUUCCAUUUCCAUUCCUAUUUUCAAUUCCAAAAUAUGUCUUAUUCUUGUUGUUGUUUCCUUAUUUUAAAUUCGGUCACUAUGUUGUUUUGCUCACCUUGUUCUUGUUAAAAUUCCGCACCUAAUUUGUCAUUCAUCUUCACCAUUAAAGGUGUUUUUCCUUUGGCCUUAUGGAAAUGAACCUUCACAUCUACUUAACACUUGUUAAGUUAAUGUCCAGUGGGAAUUUUCCUUAGGCUUCUCACCUAUAUUUGUUCUAAAAUAUAAAUCUAAGUAAAGUGUCACUAAUCAAAUAAACAAUCUGAUCUGAUCGGUCAUCGGUAGUCGAUGACGUCAGCAUCAGAGAACCACGUGGACCCCUUGCAGGGUGACACGUGGACCAGGUGGCAGAGAGGUAGGGGGACGAUCGCCAAGAGAGGUGAUCGGUGGUCAGUAACCAAGUUACCACCGACAGAUCAGGCGGCAGAGAGGUCGGGGGAUAGAUCACCCAGAAUGGUGAUCGGUGGUCAGUAGCCAAGUGACCACCAGCAGACCAGUUCCCAGACUCGCGCCUGGAGGCAGAGCGCGAGUAGCGAAUAAACACUGAUCAGUCAUCGGGUGUAUUGUCAUCGGGGUCUCGUGUUACACGCAGUUAAACUGGGACUAAGGUUCCCAGCGAGAGCGUUACGCAUGGACCUCGCAUGAGCACACCUCAAGGAAUCAUGCACGAGAAUGGCCUGAGGGAACUAGUAAGCCAGUCGGUGAUUGGUGAUUCCCUAAACCCAUUAUGUGCGUGUCAUCCAGAAGGGUAAGUCGCCUACACAGAGAGUAACGUUCGGUGAGUGUGCCUAGACCAGCCACACCCGACGCCCACUCCUAAGAGUGUGCAAUUUACCCAGAUAAGGGAAGCAUCCUAAGUUACUCCGCAAGGGCGUAGCUUAGGCAGACAAAGAGAGGCGCUAGAGCCCUUCCAGUAAGUGACACGUGUGUGGUUAGAUGUGAGUUGCAGGCCUUCCCGUGUCACCAUCUGAGAGGGGUGCGGUCCAGACAAAAGAGCACUCCGUACCGCUAAAGGUACAGACAGGCGCAGCCAAGCGCAGACAUGCGCAGACUCUCACGCUCCCCAUUGCUGAUUCUGAAGGUACACUUUCUCUGAAAAGCAUGACAGGGUUCUGACACAUGCCAGAAAAGCAUAACAGAAUUCUGUUAUGCCCAGAAGCAGGGAAAGAGAGAUAAAAGGCAGAAUCAGAGGGAGAGUGAGGGGGAGAUAGAGGAAAAACAGAGUGCAAGUUUUUCUCACACACACAUUUUUACUAAGUUUCCAGUUUCUGGUGGUUCUGUUGAACUAACUUGAUCAUCGGAGUGCAAACGGCCGCUAGAGGCGCCGUCUGUGUAUUUUGCAGGUCACAUCUUGAAGCCAUCUGAGAGAGAGAGUUCAGAAGGUGAUUCUUCAGGAGACGCAGUCGCGAAGACAGGGCAGAAAGUGUUACGAAGCGAUUCACCCACGUUCAAGUUGCCGGCAGGAUCACAAUCCUAAAAUCAAAUCACAUCAAUUAGUCCUAACAAUAAAUGCAACAUAAAGCAAGGCAUAAUCACAUUCAAGCUAUACAUUAGUAAGCCCCAUGUUUUAAGCUUCCUCCAUAACAUAUAUAACUCCAUAAAACUCAGCAACCAUAGCAGUCUGAACUUUAAGAAACACAGAGAAAACACCAAUAAACUCCCUCAUACUCCCACGAAAAUACAUCCACAAGUAGCAAGACCAGGAUAUCCCCUAGCAGCCCCAUCAGUGUUAAUUUUAACCCAACCUAGUGAAGGGAACUCUCAUCUAAUAGGAAGAGGACGAAAAACUUUACCAGUAUGAGUAUUAAUACCAAAAAACUUAAUCACGUUGAAAUCCAACAUAUCGUUAUUCAUUGAAGCUUUAGACGAAUUUCCCAUUAGACAAGUUAAAUCUUUAAUUACCGAAAUAGCCCUAGAAACAUCAAUCGUCUCCUGAAAUCUAGUAUAAUUCCUCAUACACCAUAUCAUCCAAAUAGAAAAAGUUAUCACAACAAGCUUAAUCAAUUUAACCAAAGGACUUCCUUCACUCUUAAUAAAAGAAAGAAGAUCAUAAUGACUUCAAAGAAGGCGAAAAGAUUGUUUUUGAAGCAAAUGUUAACAUACCAAAUUAUUACAUUUGAGUUAUUCGCCUUUUAGGAUGAAUCAUUUUUUUACAUAAUUGUUUAUAGUUACUUACUUUCCUCAAAAUUGUGCCAGUUUGUUAAUACUUGAACGAUUUAUUUUUUUACGUGUAUUAUUUAUCUUUAUGCAUUGUUUUAUUAAUUUUAGUAUGUUUACUUUAUUUAUUUAUUCGUAUAUGCUGAUAUUUAUUUCUUAUAUAUUAUUAUUUGAUUUGUAAUUAUAUUAUUUAUUUUCCUAUUUAAAUUUACAUAAAAAAGGUUGUACUAAUUACCAAAGUAUAAAAACUGGUAAUAGCAUAACAUACAAGACGUAUCAAGAUGCUUGCUAGGCAAUGGGGCUAUUGGUUGAUGAUAAAGAAUUUAUUGAUGCAACUAAAGAAUCUAGCUACCUUGCUUCUGCACAUCAACUGAGAAAUUUUGUUUGUUACACUACUAAUGAUGAAUACAAUGGCUAAGCCUGAUGAAGUCUGGAAAUGUACUUGGAAGUUACUACUAUUGACAUUUUAUAUAAAAAGAGGAGAGAGUUUAACUUACCAGUAUAAAUGAAAUACUUAUUCCAAAUUUAAUUUAUGAUUCAAAGUUAUGUAAUGUAUGUUUGUUUUUGUAUGUCUUAAUCCAAAGUUAACUAAUAAUUAAAAUGGUAUGUAAUAUAAAUUUCUUUUUCUAGGCCUUCAUAUUGAGGAUUAUGAAAUACAUAAUAUUUGUCUUCUGCAAAUAGAUGAAUCAUUAGUUUCAAAUGGUAAUUCUUUGAAGGACUUCAGUCUGCCUUAACCUAUUCGUUCAAGCAGAGUACGAGGCGCUGAUCGCCGGGAUUCUGCUGGCCAAGGAGAUGGGAGCGAGGGUGCUGAUGGCUAAGAGUGACUCGCUGCUAGUCACGGGGCAAGUAACAGGCGAGUUCCAGGCCAAAGAUCCAUAAAUGGCGGCUUACUUGGCGUAUGUGCAGGAAUUGAAGAGUUCCUUUGCCUCCUUUGAAGUAGUACAUGUGCCCAGAGAGCAGAAUGCCCGAGCUGACUUGCUUGCUAAGCUCGCCAGCUCAGGCAAGGGGGGUAGGCAGAGGACGGUGAUUCAAGAAACUCUGAAGACGCCAAGAGCAUUUGUAGCAGAUCAACUGGUCCUUCAGAUAAGCAAGUCGACGGAGAGAGCAGCGAGAAGCCAUAAGUCCUUGAUGCAAGAAACUCUGAGAUCGCCGAGAAUUAGAGCAUGUCAAGGAGAGAAGGUGAAUGUGAUGCAGGUCUGCGCCACCCAUGAGCCAGACACUUGGAUAACACAGUACAAGCGGUGCCUGGCAGAUGGCCUCCUCCCGCUGGAUCCGACGGAAGCUAGGAAGGUAAAGAAGAAUUCCAGCAAGUACACAUUGAUUGAUGGCGAUCUGUACAGGUUCGGGUUCACUCACCCACUCCUGGAAUACAUACACGGCGAGAAGUGCACGAGAAUCAUGGCAGAGCUCNNNNNNNNNNNNNNNNNNNNNNNNNNNNNNNNNNNNNNNNNNNNNNNNNNNNNNNNNNNNNNNNNNNNNNNNNNNNNNNNNNNNNNNNNNNNNNNNNNNNNNNNNNNNNNNNNNNNNNNNNNNNNNNNNNNNNNNNNNNNNUGACACAAGGCACCUCCCGAGGAGUUGAAGUCGAUCUAUAGCCCUUGGCCGUUUCAUACUUGGGGAAUCGACAUCCUGGGACCUUUCCCGCUGGCGAUCAGGCAGAUGAAGUACUUGGUGGUGGCGAUUGAGUAUUUCACCAAGUGGAUUGAAGCAGAACCUGUGGCCCAGAUCACCGCACACAAGAUCGAAGGUUUCGUAUGGAAGAACAUCGUGUGCCGGUUUGGAGUGCCUAAAAGCCUGGUGUCGGAUAAUGGGACGCAGUUUGCAAGCCACCUGUUGAAGAAGCUUUGCGAAGGGGUGGGAAUUCAACAAGUGUUUGCAUCCGUCGAGCACCCUCAGACAAAUGGCCAGGUGGAGUCAGCUAAUCGGGUGUAGUUGAGAGGUUUGAAGAGAAGGCUUGAAAAAGCCAAGGGAAGUUGGGCUGAGGAGGUGCCCCGUAUAGUCUGGGCGUACCACACCACCGAGCAGUCAGGAACCCAUGAGACCCCGUUCAGCUUGGUCUAUGGGUGCGAUGCCAUGAUUCCGGUGGAGAUCCAGGAGAGCUCACCGAGAUUCCAGAACUUUGUGGAGGAAGACUCGAAUGAAGAAAGAAGGCUGAACCUGGAUCUACUGGAUGAAGUCAGGGAAGAGGCGAGGUUGAAGGCCGAAGCCGUGAAGAGAAGGAUUGAACGAAGAUACAACUCGAAGGUGAUGCCAAGGGAGUUUAGAGAGGGUGAUCUGGUGAUGAGGAAGGCCCACCAGUACGAGAUGGAGAAUAAACUGUCGCCCAAGUGGACUGGACCGUUCAGGGUAACCGAGGCGCUCGGGAACGGCGCCUACCGCUUAGAGACGCUGGAAGGAGGGGCGAUUCCUCGCACCUGGAACGCCACGCACCUGAAGUUGUACUAUAGUUAAGAACUUUGUAAGUAAAGACAAACACAAAGUCACUUUACAAUGUCUCUGAUGAAACAGUUUGAAGGGGGCACUCUUUUUUCCCUAAGGAGGGUUUUUAAUGAGGCCACCCAAUAAAAGAAGAGUUUUCG
rnacentral:lncRNA from 1 species